UUGAAAUAAACCUUCGAUUAAGCUAGAUCCCCUUUGUUUAGACUAAUAUAACAAUGUUAUCUUCUACUUUGAAGAAUAGUUGUCUCAAUUUUUGACUGCAAGUCACCCCUGAUAAUAUGAUGCCCUCCCCCUUUCUAUGAUGUUGUUCUGGUUUUCUUGAUAAUAACAUUAGAUUAAGUACCUAGCCUACUUCAAGCAUUCUUUAACUCAUUCUGCACCUAUGGAUUUGCCAAACUUGCAAACAUCCUUUGCCAAUUUUUAGCAUGUGACUGCUGCUGUGCUGAGUAUGAAACCUGUUUAUCAGCUUCAUUAAACUAGUUCUUGCUUGAGUUUUCUGAUGCAUUUAAGUGUCUGCUUGUUGACUCAAUUUGGUUAUGUCUGUUUAAAUCAAUUCCUGCUUUUCUCAAUUUUGGUUUUUCUCUUCUGUCACUCAAACUCUUUGAAUCCCAUUCUUAGUCAAUGCUGCCUAAAUUAUGUCAUUUGGCCUUCCUAGUGUGAGCACUGCUCGGGGUUCAUUAGAGACUCUUAUGAACUCUGACACACUAGGAUUUGGUCCCUAAUCCCUCCUUGAACUAUUUUGGUUAACCACCCUAGUGUGAGCACUGCCCUGGGUUCUUGAAGCCUUUGGAAACUCUGACACACUAGGGCCUUGGUUCUAUAUGCUCAACCUUGUCAUGUGCUCACUGGGUGAAUUACUCAACUAUUGGUUGUUUUGUAUCUAUGAAUAUGUAACUUCGGGGCUGUUGUGAAUUGUGAGAAUGAAGGUCUGGCCUGUCCAGGUGUAUUUGGGCCUGCUGUAAGCUCCCUAUACCUAUAUCUACUCUGUAAUUUACUAUAUUCGUUCUGGGUCUGUAAUAAUUAUUGUAAUAAUAUUUGGGGUAUUAGUGAAAUUGGGAAAGGGAGUUUUAUCUUAUACUUGCAACAAGUUGGGUAGAAAUCCUGCAUAUAGGUUCGAUAAUGUGUUAUUGUAUGUCGUGUAUUAGAAAUCAUGCCUAUAGGUAUCUUAUUAUGUCCAGUCAUUGUAUGUUAGCAAUCCUGCCUAUAGGUCCAAUACUUGGUUUCAAUUGUGUUCUUUUUCUGCUUGUUAGAAACCCUGCCUAUAAGAAAUAGUGUGAUUCAAUGUGCAUGCAAAGUUCUGUUUACAUGUUGCCCUACCCGUGAAAUAUAGAAAUCAUGUCUAUAGGGUCUAAAAUCAGAUUAAUUGUAGAAAGCAUGCCUAUAGGUCUGAAUCUAUUCAAUUAUCAUUUUGCCCGUUUGUUCAGAAGGUUUCAAACACUGUGUUAUUAUCCUCACUAGAAAACAUGCCUAUAGGAUCAAAACAAGUGAUUCUGAAUAUGCUUCUGUGAUUGCCACUAUUUAUUAUUGUGUAAAAUAUCUAGACAUCAUGCCAGUAGGUUUAAUCUCAUUAUGUUAAAAUCAGUAGGCAAAUCAUGUAGGUUUUGGUAAUCGUAUUAAGGAAUGACUUUUGUGUAUAACUGUCUGCCCAUUAAUUCAGCAUCACAUAGAGACCCUGCCUAUAGGAUUCUGUAACUUUAAUUAAUUAAAAUCUGCCAAUGUUAAUCAGUUUGGCGUACAUUUGUUGUCUAAAUGCGGACUAACAUGAGCCCUUACUUGCUUAUAUGUGAAAGUCCUAAACUAUUUUGUAUGUCGCUUAGUAUUUUUCUUUUUGAGCAACCUAAGUUAAAGUCUAGAACCACCCUAAAAUAAAGGUCCAAAUACCUCCUGGACCAUAGGCAUGGGACGAGUAGUGCACGCAUAGAGCACGAUUUAGAAUUGAUUAGUGCGCUUUAGGUAAACAACUUAAAGAUAGUAAUCAGGUAAUAGGAGAUGAUAGUCUGUGCCCGCUGAAUAAUAUGAGUAACACCCCUUCUUGAGGGAGUUACAAAAUAUUAUUUAUGUUGUACGGGGUGAUCCUUUAGGCUAAAAAAACUUAGGACCCCUACCUCUGUUUAAAGUCAAUCGUUUAUUUUACUUGCCCAAAUCGUUUCCCUUCCCUUAGACUAAUUCAUAUAAUUCGAGUUCGGUCGGGACCCACCGUUGUGGACCUCGAGAAGUGCCUAACACCUUUCCCUCAAGGUAAUUUGAGCCCUUACCUGAUCUUUGGUGACGCAACUGGUUAAUCCAGAGUUAUUUACAAAUAGGUGCCCUAACGCACCUCAACCCCUUAGGGGGCGACUCUCUCUUUUAAUACCCUUCCUUAAAUGAGUUGUCACGUGUCGAAACCCGAUUUCACGAGAAAAAGGAGCGCGACAGCAUGGCGACUCUACUGGGGAUAUCUUUAGGCUCUUACCAUAAUGAACUUGGUCUAUAUGAAUUAGUCUCUCUCGAUAAACGUGUCUUUAUUAUUUUGCUGAUACUUGAACAUCCCCCUCCCAUUCUCCCUUUUAUUGCUACAUGCACACCCUCUUCCCUAUUUCCCCUUUAUAUGAACUUACAUGCAACUCUUCGCUUAAUCUGGUUGCAAUAUGCAUCCCCUCCGUUAUUUCCUAAUCAUGUUCACUGGCUCCAACUUUUUAAAUUUUGUCUUUCCAAAUCCUUACCUCUUUAUUUGCUUUAUCAUAAUUUUUUCCAUUAUACGAACUAACUUCUUCCCUGUUUUUCUUUCUUUUCUGUCUUUACAUUUAUUAAAUACUGCAUUUAUCGCUUUAUCUUGCAAAAUACUUGACAACGUGUUGUUUUAUCUUUGCAUAAUUGCAUACUCUACAUUAUAUUCCACUCGUGCACAAUUAAUAUCAUAGCGGCACUUGAUGAGUGUCCGCGCCCUUCCUAUAUUACCCUUUUUAAAUUUGGAGAGGCUUAUUUACGGCAAAACUAGUCGAUCACCGGUGCAAUCGACGGUUCCGUGCCUUUCCCUCUCAAGUUGUCCACUUGAGGGUACCGGUCUAGACUCUUAUAGAAAUCCCUACUCUGAUAUUAAAUGUGCAUGCAUCAUGUCUAUACCUAGCAUGGGUUAGAACGAUGUCCGCAUAAUAACCCUCUAAGGCAAGCCUUGUCCAAAGCCUAUCGGGAUUUCCAUAAUCCCAACGGGCACCAUCAUGAUUUGUGCAUUAUUUGGAGAAAACGUGCCGAUAUGCUAAUCAUUAAUAUGUAAAUAGUCGAAUCCGGAGGGAGAGAUGGCUAACUUUAUCUGUUUUGUAGAAAUGAGGCACAAAGUCCCCUGGUUCGGCAUGGUCCGAAGUAUCUCACCUCUGUUGCUCGAUUGGUGGUAAAUUCUCUCACCAAGUGACAAAAACCAUGUGAAAAGAGUCCUCGAAAAUUUACCUUCUUUGGUGGACACUCAACCAAACAAUGUACUGAUCAGACUUGGACUCAUUGAAGAAAGCACUUGAGGUGAAGACCAAUGAGCGAUUGCGACAACUACGGACCCCUUAACUAGGUUUUUUACUAAUACUAACUAAUAGGCUUUCAGAAGCUUUUCCACACAAAGAGGGGAGGAUGAAUUUAUCCAGUUAAGGCAUUCUUNNNNNNNNNNNNNNNNNNNNNNNNACGGAAAGCAUGGGAGAAAGAUGCACAAACGAAAAAGGGCUAAAAAAAAAAGGACGAAGUAAUUUCGUAUAUAAAGAUAUGGGUUUGAAGCCGCUACUAUGUUCUGGGAUGAAAAGAGGGAUGUUUUCCAUUUUGGUAAUAUAGAGAUGACUCCCCUUCUUGAGGAAAUAGGAGGCUUUACUGGGCCUCUCUGAGAUAGCCCUGGUCUGUUGGUACCAGAAAAUCGUACUUCUCGAGGGUUUCUGAAAAUGAUGGGUUUUAGAAAGAAUGAUGAGUUAGUUUGCCUGAAGAAGUCUUAUAUAACUUUUGACUUCCUUUACGAGCGUUAUGGGCACAACACGUCCUACUGUAUCUGUCAUGAUGAGUUUUCCAUCACUUCUCUGGGCUGGACUCAUCGCCGGGUUUUUGUGCUCAGUGUCUGUUUUCUGGGAAUGCUAGUAUUCCCAAUACAAGGAGAAAGGAUCCACACUCGUUUAGCUAUGGUUACCAAGACCUUAAUGGAAGGAAUUGAGGGACAGACUUACACUAUCGUCCCAAUGAUCGUGGCAGAGAUAUACCGAGCCUUGGACCGUUGUAAGAAGGGAUUUAGGCAUUUUGAGGGUUAUAAUUUGUUGCUGCAAAUAUGGCUGUUGGAACACCUUCAAAGAGGACAGUACAGUCAAGAAUUUCUGCGGCGGCCAUGGAAUGACCACAUAGAUUUUCACCAUCCUAAAAGAAUGACUUUCAUCCCAGACAGGUUCGCACAACCAGAAAACGCUGUGGAUUGGGUACACUUCUUUAGGAAUUUGACUGACGACAAGGUCCAUUGGAUGUUCGAGUGGUUCACUACUAGCGAGUUCAUAAUCAGGUCAAGAGAAGUCCCUCACUUAGUGAUCAUUGGAUUAAGGGGUAUCUAUCCUUAUGCUCCUAUCAGGGUCAUGAGGCAGGCUGGGAGGAAACAAGUCAUACCACGAGUUUCCAAGAUAGUUCACUACAAAGCAGACUUCCAGGGUGAUGCCAUUCCAUUCAAGUGUGAGGCACAACACAUGUGGCGUCUAAAGAUCAUUGUGGAAAAUAAUACCAUCGAGUCAGAUCGAUACCACGCCAGUCAUGUGUAUUUCUACCCAUCAUGGUUGGAUGAUGACAUAGCAGGAGAAGUCAAGCCAGGGAUUGAUCAGGAAACAGGGUCAUAGACGACGCUGCUGAAGCACAAGUAAAAUAUAGGAGGUUACGCAAAAAGAUCUUUGAGUCUGAGGCCAGACCCUUAGAACAGCACAAAGUGGACAUGGAAGCAAUCAACGAAUGGAGAGGAUUCGCUACAAAAUCAACAGAAAAGUUGGAGUAUUUAGAGCAGGGUCUGAUAGAGCUUGAAGUGAAGAUGAGGAAAAGGAUCAUGGAUUGUCAGAAUGCAGAGGGCAAUGAAGGAGGACAUCUAGCAAGGGCAUAUCUGCUGCUGGACAUGCGCGACCAGGGGAAUCUAAUCGACGGGGCUAAGAAGGCCAAGCUUGGAGAAGGUCCCUCUGGGACCGAAUAGAUUAGAAUUGAUGUUUACUUGUUUUUCUUGAGUUGUUUUAGAAUUUGAUUGUAAUAAGACAAAUGCCACUAUUAACUCCUUUUGAUUAUUGUUGUUUUAGAGAUUUGGUCUAUUUAUCACAUUAAUGAAAUGAUGCAAUUAUUGGCAUUAAGUUUCUCCAAAUCUACAUGUCGCUAGGCCUACCUCGGGCACAAUGAGGUCCCCAAGUUAGGACGCGAAUUUAUAAUUCUGCAAUACGUGUUUAAAUAUUGCAAAUAUCCUUUCAAAACUCCCUACUGACUUGUUUACCUUUUUGCUUCUCUUUGUUUUGAUUAUUCACAUCCCCUAAGGUUGGUUCGUGCAUACUGGCAUCGUCAGCAUACCAUACCAGAUCAAGAGGUGCUCCAUCUCCUCCUCCUCCAAGUGAUCCUAAAAGUAAGGGAAAAGAUAAGAAGGAUGACAUGAGUGGUAUCAGGAAAGACAACGCUACACAUGCAGAAAAUGUUGAGACUUCAGAUGGUCGGAGUACCCCGACACAGAAUGAUUUGGUUCUACGAUUGGAGCAGAAAAUAUUGGAGUUACAAGGGGAACUUGAGCAGGUCGCAACUUGGCAAACCUCUCCCUCACCUUAAACGUCCCAGAUAUCAACCAACAGAACGCCCAAAACCCAGCACCUCCUCAAAACAUACCAAACCAGCAUCCACAAAAUCCUUCCACACCUCAUCAAUACGCCACGCCUCCCCAAAAUCCUAAUCCUCCACCAGUACCAACUCCUCAUCAGCACCAACCUCAUCCAACCCAAAACCCACAAACCACUACCUACCAUACUCCUCAAAACACGCCACAACCUACCCCCGAUCCACAAAACUCAACCAAUGAUCACCACUACACCCAAAUCCCCGGUAUCCAUCAAAACAACCACAUAUACGUAGAACUCUACCUCACCCUGCACAACAAACCCCAUACACACCAGAAUCUGCCGAGAAGGACCUGCUCAUCAAGAAUAUGGCAGAGGAACUUAAGAAGCUCACAAGUCAUGUUCAAGGCGUCGAAGGGGGUAAAGACAUUAAGGGUUUGAACUAUGAAGAUCUUUGUAUUCGGCCGGACGUAGAACUGCCAGAGGGUUACAAACCUCCCAAGUUCGAGAUAUUCGACGGAACAUGUGACCCAAAGGUGCAUCUAAGGACAUACUGUGACAAGCUCGUAGGAGUCGGAAAAGAUGAAAGAAUUUGCAUGAAGUUAUUUUUGAGGAGCCUCACUGGAGACGCCCUAUCUUGGUAUAUCAGUCAAAAUCCAAAGAAGUGGGUUAACUGAGUAAGCAUGGCGUCAGAUUUCGUGGAUCGGUUCAGAUUCAAUACGGAGAAUGCACCAGAUGUCUUCUAAAUCCAGAAUCUAAAGAAGAAGCUGACAGAGACUUUCCGCGAAUAUGCUACGAGGUGGAGAUCGGAAGCUACAAAAGUAAGGCCGGCAUUGGAAGAAGAGCAGAUGAACAAAUUCUUUGUCCGGGCCCAAGAUCCGCAAUACUAUGAGAGGUUAAUGGUUAUUGAAAAUCACAAAUUCUCCGACAUUAUCAAAUUGGGAGAAAGAAUUGAAGAAGGAAUUAAAAGCGGGAUGGUAACCAAUUUUGAGGCAUUACAAGCCACUAACAAGGCCUUGCAGUCAGGAGGCAUAUCCAAGAAGAAGGAAGUAGGGGCCGUGAUGGUGGCCCAAGGUCCGAAAUCUCCUCUUACAUACCAAACACCUCCACCCACAUAUCAACCUUCACCUCCCAGAUAUCGGCAACCCGCCACCACCUACCACACUUAUAACACCUAACCAGUAUAUUACCACUCACCGCCAGCUCGCCAAAACUAUCAGAAACCCAGACCAAACUUCAGCCGCAGGCAGCCCAGAAAAUACACCCCUAUUUCUGAACCUAUCGAUCAGUUAUAUGAAAGGCUGAAAGUUGCUGGUUAUGUCACUCCUAUUCCCAUUGUUACCAUGGAAAACUCCUCUCAAUGGGUCAAUCCAAAUAAAACAUGUGCCUACCACUCCGGCAUGAAGGGUCAUACCAUUGAUGAAUGCCGCACUCUGAAAGACAAGAUCCAGCCACUAAUCGAUACCAAGGUUAUAUAAUCAAAGGAGGCUGCACCUAACGUUUGCAACAAUUCCCUCCCGGAUCACAGGGGCGAGGGGGUGAAUGUGAAAGAGACUGAUGAAGAAUGGGACCCGGUAGGGUCAAUCGGCUUAUUCGAGAAGGGGAUGAUCCUAAGAAACCUGCAGUCACUCUCACUCCUAUUGUGGUACAGAUACAGCCACCAGUAGAAGUUGAGGUAGCCGCACUCACUCAGUUCGAGGUGGAAGUAACAACACCUGCAGUUGCACCUGCUCCGUUUGAAGUAGAAGUGACCACACCCUUCACUAUGACGGUGGCACCCGCACCAUCCUUCAAUUACAAAGCCAUACCCUGGGACUAUGUUGCAGAAGCUAGGAGGAAAGGAAAAGCAAAAAUGGAAGAAGCUGGUGCCGCACAAGGGUUGACCAUUACUGGUAGAGUUUACACACCUGAGCAUCUAGAGGGAACAAGUAAAGAUGUUGCUUCCAAGCAGCCUAUCAUUGAAACCGUCCUGGAUGAUAUUUGGAGAAAAGUGCAAGCAAGAGAAUACUCUGUAGUGGACCAUCUGAACAAAACCCCUGCUCAGAUAUCUAUUUUAUCAUUACUGUAGAAUUCUGAAGCACAUAGGAAUGCCUUGAUGAGGUAUUGAACGAAGCUUACAUGCCCAACAAUAUCACUAGUGGGGAAAUGGCUAACAUGGUAGGACAAGUACUGGAGAGCCAUAAGAUCACUUUCCAUGAAGACAAAUUGCUGCCGGAAGGAAUAAGCCAUAUCAGGGCACUGCAUAUCACGGUACAAUGUGAAGAUAAAUUCAUUGCCAGGGUUUUGAUAGAUGGAGCUUCCAGUCUCAACAUCUGUCCAUUGACGACUUUGAAGAGAUUGGGCAAAGGAUUGCAUAAAAUACGGGCAGGAACCAUGAACGUAAAAACAUUCGACGGAUCUCAAAGGGCCACGAACGGGGAAACCAAUCUUUGCUUACAAAUGGGCCCGACUUGGUUUGAUGUUGAAUUACAAGUACUCGACAUAUCCGCCUCAUACAACUUAUUGCUGGGACGACCUUGGAUACACGCCGCUAAGGCUGUGGCUUCCACUUUGCACCAGGCUGUAAAGUUUGAAUGGAACCAUCAGGAGGUGAUCAUUCAUGGAGGCGGGAGUAAUCCUAUUUAUACUAAUCAGACUGUUCCAGUCGUGGAAAAUAGAAGGAAAUUGGGUGGAGAGUCUUAUCAUCGCAUCAAGUGCGACAAUGCAAUUGAAAAGGACAAGUGGUGGAGCUGCAAAAUAGAGAGCAUACUGGCAUGGGCAGGAUAUGAACCCGGUAAAGGGCUCGGGAAAAAUCUCCAAGGUAUUGCCAAACCAAUACAGCUAAAACGUCACGGCACGACCUUUGGAUUGGGAUAUCAGUACACCUGGCAUGAGUACUAGAAUUGGUCGCCACCAUGGCACGAGCCUUACUACCCCCUUGAACAGCCAAUACCGCAUCUGAGCCAAUCCUUCCAUCAAGCUGAUAUGAUGUGGGGAUCCGAGGAGGACGAAGUGCUCGCUGGUUUGAGGAAUUUAUUUCUAGAAGAGAGAGACAUGGAUUGGAGUGUAAUAGUUGAGGAGGAGGAGGAGGAAGGCCUCGUCAUCCAGACGGUAGAGAAGGGAGCUGUCCUCAGAAACUGGAAAGCCACACCAUCAAGGGCCCGCCGAGUCCUGGGGUAGUGUGGCUGCUAGUGUCAUUUAUUUUGAAAACAAUUCUUCUUGAGCAUUUUGUUUUAAAACAUUUUAUUUUUCAGUAUUUCGUUUUGGAAAACGUUGUUUGAAUCAUUAAAAUCGCUUUGUUUAACUUUAAUAUUUAUCGAUGGCUGAAUGUUUUAUUAUUUAUUACUAUUUUCUAUAUCUUUCUCUCUACAACAUUACUAUUUCUUACCUUGAUGAACCAACUACUGUGACAUGUAAUGAGACAACACAACAUAAGGAUAGUGACUCGGAAGAAAUAGAAGAAGAAGAUGUAAUACCUGAGGAAAUUGUCAGAGAAGUUGAGAAUUUUGAGAAUAAGCCUAAGUCCAACCUGGACGAAACUGAGAUAGUCAACCUGGGAGAUUCUGAAACAAUCAAAGAAACUCACAUAAGCAUUCAUUUGUCACAUCAGAGAAGGAGGAGUACAUUCAUUUCCUGAAAGAGUAUGAAGACAUUUUCGCAUGGUCGUAUGAUGAUAUGACCGGAUUGAGCACAUCCAUAGUGGCUUAUAAAUUACCUACCAAUCCAAUGUGUCCAUCAGUAAAGCAGAAGCUCAGAAAGUUCAAGCCGGAUAUGAGUCUGAAAAUUAAAGAAGAAGUCACCAAGCAAAUCGAAGCUAAGGUCCACAGGGUAGUUGAAUAUCCGACUUGGUUGGCCAACAUUGUGCCGGUUCCGAAGAAAGACGGGAUAGUCAGGGUGUGUGUCGACUAUCGGGAUUUAAACAGAGCAAGUCCCAAAGAUGAUUUCCUACUACCAAAUAUACACAUACUGAUCGACAAUUGCGCCAAGCAUGAACUCCAAUCCUUUGUAGAUUGCUUCCCGGGUUAUCAUCAGAUCUGGAUGGAUGAAGAAGAUGCCGAGAAAACAACUUUCAUCACGCCAUGGGGAGUGUACUAUUACAAAAUGAUGUUGUUUGGUCUAAAGAAUGCUGGGUCCACCUACAUUAGGGCCAUGACAACUAUUUUCCAUGACAUGAUACAUAAGGAGAUAGAAGUAUAUGUGGACGACGUCAUCAUCAAAUCCAAGAAGGCUGCAGAUCACAUAACAGAUUUAAGAAAGUUCUUUGACCGGCUACAGAGGUACAAUUUGAAACUGAAUCCCGCAAAAUGUUUCUUUGGAGUUCGUGAUGGAAAAUUUCUAAGAUUCAUCGUCAGCCGCCGAGGAAUUGAGUUAGACCCAUCAAAGGUCAAGGCCAUCCAGGACAUACCUCCGCCAAAGAACAAGAAAAACGUAAUGAGUUUCUUGGGACGUCUCAAUUACAUCAGCCUCUUCAUAGCACAAUCAACCAUGAUAUGUGAGCCGAUUUUCAAAAUGUUAAAGAAGGAUGCCGCCACCGGUUGGGCUGAAGACUGUCACAAGGCUUUCGACAGAAUCAAAGAAUACUUACCCACACCACCAGUCCUAGUCCCGCCAGAGCCUGGUAGACCACUGUUGCUCUAUCUCUCCAUAUUAGAUGGGGCUUUCGGUUGUGUCUUAGGACAACAUGACGAUACAAGGAGAAACGAACAGGCCAUAUAUUAUCUGAGAAAGAAGUUUACACCCUACGAAGCACGGUAUUCUCUGCUGGAACGCACUUGCUGUGCUCUGACAUGGAUAGCCCAAAAACUGAGGCACUACUUCUGUGCCAAUACCACAUAUCUCAUAUCAAGGAUGGAUCUUUGAAGUACAUCUUCCAGAAGCCUAUGCCUACAGGAAAGAUGGCCAAAUGGCAGAUAUUGUUGAGUGAAUUUGACAUCAUAUUUGUCAGAAGGCAGUUAAGGGACAAACGUUAGCAUAUCAUCUUACAGAAAACCCCGUAGGAGGAGAAUACGAACCAUUAAAAACGUAUUUUCCUAAUGAAGAAGUAUCAUUCAUAGGAGAGGAUAUUGCUAAAGCCUAUGACGGGUGGAGAGUGUUCUUCGAUGGAGCUGCAAAUUUCAAAGGAGUAAGUAUCGGAGCCGUUUUGGUGUCGGAAACUGGUCAACAUUACCCGGUGUCUGUAAAACUCAGAUUCCCAUGUACCAACAAUAUGGCAGAGUAUGAAACUUGCAUAUUAGGGCUUAAUUUGGUUGUUGACGUGAAUAUCCCGAAAUUGCUGGUAAUCGAUGAUUCAGACCUGCUGGUACACCAGGUACAAGGAGAAUGGGCUACAAAGAACACUAAGAUACUUCCAUAUCUGCAUCACGUACAAGAGAUGAUGAAGAGAUUCACGAAGAUAGAGUUCAGGCAUGGCCCCAGAAUCCAGAAUGAGUUCGCAAACGCAUUGGCCACUUUGUCCUCCAUGAUACAACACCCGGACAAGAAUUUCAUCGAUCCCAUUCCGGUAAGAAUUCAUAAUCAGCCGGCUUACUGUGCUCAUGUUGAAGAAGAAACAGAUGGAAAUCCAUGGUUUCACGAUAUCAAGGAUUAUUUGGAAAAAGGAGAAUGCCCAGAGCAUGCAAAUCAUACUCAGAAACGCACACUCUGGAGAUUGUCCAACCAUUUCUUCCAAAGCGGAGGAAUUCUGUAUAGAAGAACUGCAGAUCUAGGGCUAUUACGGUGUGUUGACGCCAAGGAAGCCUCCAAAUUGCUUGAAGAGAUACACACUGGAACCUGCGGCCCUUAUAUGAAUGGUUUCGUCCUAGCCAAGAAGAUACUUAGAGCCGGAUACUUUUGGAUGACUAUGGAGACAGACUGCAUCAGGUAUGUCCAGAAAUGUCAAUAAUGCUAGAUACACGUAGAUAUGAUACGGGUAUCGCCCAAUGAACUCAAUGCAACAAGUGCACCUUGGCCUUUUGCCGCUUGGGGAAUGGAUGUCAUUGGACCAAUCGAUCCCACCGCUUCGAACGGGCACAUGUUCAUUCUAGUAGCCAUAGACUACUUCACAAAAUGGGUUGAAGCUGCAUCUUACAAAGUCGUAACCAAGAAAGUCAUCGCAGAUUUUGUCAGAGAUUGUAUUGUUUGCUGAUUCAGGGUAACAAAAUCCAUCAUCACCGAUAAUGCCGCCAAUCUCAACAGUGACCUAAUGAAAGUUAUGUGCGAGACCUUCAAAAUCAAACAUAAAAACUCCACAGCAUACCAGCCCCAAAUGAAUGGAGUCGUGGAGGCCGCCAACAAGAAUAUUAAGAAGAUACUAAGGAAGAUGUUAAAGAAUCACAAACAAUGCACGAGAAGUUACCAUUUGCCUUAUUAGGAUACCAUACCACAGUCCGCAUAUCAACCGGGGCAACUCCUUACCUAUUGGUCUACGGUACUUAAGCUGUCAUCCGCGCCGAGGUGGAAAUUCCUUCCUUGAGAAUUAUACAAGAAGCUAAACUCAGUGAUGCAGAAUGGAUAAGGAGCCGCUAUGAACAAUUAGCUCUCAUUGACGGGAAAAGAAUGAAUGCAGUGUGUCAUGGUCAGCUCUAUCAGAAUAGAAUGUCCAGAGCUUUCAACAAAAGGGUCAAACCUAGACAGUUCGCACUAGGGCAGCUGGUGCUGAAACGAAUCUUUCCACAUCAAGAUGAAGCCAAAGGAAAAUUCUCACCCAACUGGCAAGGACCCUACAUGGUUCACAGAGUACUAACAGGAGGAGCACUCAUACUCACAGAAAUGGAUGGACAAAUUUGGCAAAAGCCUAUCAACUCAGAUGCAGUCAAAAGAUAUUAUGUUUAAACUGUUUACAUUUCUUCAUAUGAUAUCACUGAACUACGCUUGAACCUGAUUCCCGUUUAAGAAGGGAUACGUAGGCAGCCCUAUAGGUUCGGUCACAAUACAAUAAAAUUUUCAUUUUUCCUACAAUUAGAAACAGGGGCAGAAUUUUUAGGAGGACCCUCAAAAUUCCGGAGCAAGUUCAGCCAACGGCACCAUAUGCGGAACACCCAGAAAUUCGUCUAGAUAACUGGGGCAGAAUUUUGAGAAGGAUGCUCAAAAUUCUAUGACAAGAAGAUCGCGGUGUCUCUGAUAGUGUCACAGUUACUGGUUCACCUAAUUAUUUUAAAAUUACAUAUUGCUAUGUUUUGAAUAACUAUGCACGCAUAUUUUUCAAAAACUUUAUUUUUAGCCAGAUGCUACCCAUGGUAACUCGAGCAGGAUUUCAAUGCGGAGCAGAGAAAAGCAAGCAGGCGAAGGCACUAACCAGCCUUCCCCGCAAAACUCACAAUUUUUCUUUGGAUGCAGGAACAAGGAAUAUUCAAAAAUACGCGCACCUUAGAAUCACUAUCUUCAUAACAACAAAGCUACCGAACUCAUCUCCAGCUAAGAAAUACCCUGCUAUCAUUUAUUAUCUAUUCAUUGCAUGAGACUAAGCAUUGUCUCGAAUCUUGCAUGAGGCUAAGCCCUGCCUCCUCAACUGCAUAAGGCUAAGCUCUGCCUUCCCAUUACAUGAGACUAAGCAUUGUCUCGAAUCUUGCAUGAGGCUAAGCCCUGCCUCCUCAACUGCAUAAGGCUAAGCUCUACCUUCCCAUUGCAUGAGACUAAGCAUUGUUGAUCGGCUCCAACCCUACACCACUAGAUAAUGGCGAGGAGGGGUCGAUGCAGUUUUACCCGAUAGGUCGGGAUCGAUAUACACAGGGAGUUAAUAUUGGUUGGGAGUUGGGUUUCUACCUAAUCUAGCUAUGCGUCUUGUCUUUAAUUGCACUUCUAAUCAUGGUUGGGAUUGUCUCUAUUAUAAUUUGAAAACUAUUAAUUGCUGAAAAUAAUCUAAGUACAAUAUUUUUGUAGGAGUUUUUCAAAUGAUAAAAAGCACUAGGGAAGUGACUUACACCUAGGCGAGUAUCUAAUGGGGUCUAAAAUCUAGGACUAGCUUGUUAUGAUUGGGGUCAUGAUAUAAUCUUUACACAUAAUUACUCACUCUAUACCUCUCGGUAAUUUGAGUGACUUUGUCCGGUUUGGCUUUCUCAAGCCUAAAUGGGUGUUCAAACAAUGCAAGUGAAAUUGGCUCAAGUCGAGUAUUACUAUCUUUAGGUUUAACCCUUUAAUUGGGGCUAUCAAUCUCUUGAAUUCACCCAAUUGCUUGUUAGCCCACCUUACCUAGACUUGGGCUCUCUUUCUCAAGAAGUGCCUAAAUCAAAAAGGCAUGAAUCAGUGUUUGCAACCACCAAUUCUACAAUUAAAGCAUGAAACAAGCUAAAUAUCACUAACCCAUAACAAUUAAGCCCUAAACUUGAAGACCCAUUAAAUACCCACACUAGGGUCGGGUCACAACCCUAGCUAAUGGGUUUAGCUAUCAACGAUGGAGAUGUAAUAUAAGCCAUAAAAGUCAAAUACAAGAAGAAAAUCUAAAAAUAUAAGGUAAAGCUACUCUAAAAUUACUCAAAACAGUAAAAUACAGUUGUUCAUGUGUUCCUUAAAAUCAGACUUAACCUAAAAAUGUGAAAAAGAUCUAUUUAUACACAGCUAAAAUUACUGGACAAAAAUACCCCUACGGAGGUUCCGCUGACAGCGUAAUACUGGGCACGUCCACGCUUAGCCAUUCGCGGCCGCGCAAUAACGAGUGCGGUUCGCUUUUUUAUACAUUUGGAUCUGGACUGGAGUUUGUUUCGCGGACCGCUUAAAUCCAGUCGCGUCCGCGUUUGCGUCUAUCACAGCCGCGUAAAAUGUUCGCGGACCGCGUUCCUCAGUUUAGCUUUACUUGCAAACUCUCUGAACCCCUUAUCUCGCUCCCAGCGGAAUUUCCACCGCUUCCGCAUCAAGUGACUUCGCGGCCGUGUAAUUUAGACGCGGGCCACGCUCUUUGUUUGAACCAAGAUUGCAAGGCCUGUGAACCUCGCUCCUCACUGUCAGCAUAAUUUCACUCGCGGCAGUGCCACUGGUUUCGCGGCCGCGCUUUUGUAGUGCGGUCAGCGAUGGUGUUUUCUCAAAAUUUCAGCUUCCCUGAUCCUCUAUCUCGUCGACCGCAGAAUAUUAUCUGCCUCAGUGGUGAACCCUACGCAGCCGCACUUUUCCAUCGCGGUCAGCGGUUCAGUUUCAGCCUUUGGCUUGGGCAAGUUUGACUCUUCAUGAGCUUAUUUUGGCUUCUUUGCCUCAUUUUGACCAAAACCCGCAAGCAAGCACCUUAAGUUAGCUUUCAGGAAUACCUUAACGCAUUUUUGACCCAAAACCUAAGCAAAAGAGAGCAAAUAGUAGGCUAAAAUCCCUAGUUAUCAACUCCCCCAAACUUAAGCCUUUGCUUGUCCUCAAGCAAACAAGGUAAUUCUCACCUCUGCAAGAAAAAGAAAGGAAAAUUUUAGCUGUCCUAAUAUGACUUCAUCAAGCAUCAAUUGGGACUAAUAAUUACCCUCAACACAAAUGCAUUAUCAACAAUAUUAUGUUAUGACUUUUUGAGUUUCAUAGGUCUAAUGUGACACAAGAGCAUCAAGAGUUGACUCAAUUCAUCAAGGAAACUCGCACUCUCAGGUAGGUCAAUGUGGAUCCCAGACUCCUUCUCCUCUACUCUCCAUGAGCUCAUCUCCUCUUAUAGAAUGUGACACUCAAAACCAGGAUUGUAAAGAAGUGCGCUCAUCACUCUUAAAAGAAUGUCACAAGUCCGGCUCUAUGUACCAUAGGCUUGCCCCUCAUGUAAAUCACCAAUAAUGUAAUCUCACCACUAUAGGGCUUUAGCGGGGUGUAAUGAAGGCUUUUUGGAUCAAGGUCGGACAUAAUGAACUAUGAUGGUAUCAUCUUUCCUUAAGCACUCCAUUUUUUUCAAUUUGGCUCAUGCUUUCUUGACUCUUUGAGUCAUUUUCUUCUUCCUCGGGGGAACUAGAAAGACACAUUGUCACUCUUUCUUGACUCUUUAAGCACUCCAUUGUUUUCUUGAAUCCUUUCAACCUUUGCUUUUCUUUUGACAUGCUUCUUUUUGGCUUUUCAUCCUUUUCUUUUCCUUUCUUUUUCAUCAAUUCCUUUUGUUCUUUGAACCUUUCAUCACCUUGUAAUUCCUCGUCUCUCCCCAAACUUAUGUUUUUGCAUAUUGUUCAUCAUGAAUGCUAAGAAAAGAUUGGGUGCCAAGAGAGGGUCAUUAUAGAACGGAUGAAGGCUUGUAAUGUGGUUAUUUAAUGAAAACGUCUUAGGCUCAAAGGGGUUGACUAAGGAUAUUAUACUGGUAGGCUAUGGAGUCUUCAAAAUUCAACUGGGACCAAGAAGAGCCUAUAAUCACUUCUCAAGUCAAGCUACACUUAGAAUUUUGCCUAGAAAAAUAUUCUGGGCAAGUUCUAGACUUGUUGGCACAAGAUUUGGACUUUGCAAUUCAAAACCUCACCUCUCAUGCUACUGGAUUGUUAAAGAGAGUAUAGUAGAGGGCCCAUAACAACCCUAGAUAAGCUUGAAGAUCACAUAUGGCUAACAGAAACCACUUGAUGAUAGUUUUAGUCAACUCAAGAAUCUAAAGGUCACAACUAGAGCUAAUCUUGUCGACAAACUUAUCUCUAACCAUGAGGUCGAAGGUAAAUGUGCUAGUGCCAAAUGAAGCUUACUUGAGUCACUUUUAUUCAUUACUACUAUAUAUCAAAACAAAAAGAAAAACUGACACAAUCCCUUAAGAAGGUUUCACGCCAUCCAUCGUUGGGAAGAGCCACCCGGUUCACACAAAUUCCACCUUUGGAAAGAACCGUGGCAUUAAGAAAACCAAAGACUUAUUGAUCACGAAAAAAUGUAAAAAGAAGCUACUAAAGAAAAUAAGAAGCUAAGCUAUUAAGGAAAAUUACAUAAGAAGUUAUAAAGGAUGUUUAUAAUUAUUCUGAUAGGGAGCGCCUGUGAAAAACCCUCGUUGUUCCAAUAAGGUCAACAUGACAUUUGUAAUCUGAAAAUUGCCCGCCCGGAUUCGGGGUGGGACAUUGCACUGGCGUAACCUUAAUUGGGAAGCACCCAAUGAUCUGCCCGUGGAGGAGGUAGGGGAGGGUCUGGAAUAUUGUCAUUGGCCUGGCAACCUCUUCUUUGAGCUUGAGGUGCUAGAUGUGCAUCAUCCUCACCAUUAUCAUCUACCUCCUCCCCCGGGAAAACAUUGCCGAAAGGAUCAGCCAUUUUGUACCUAAAGUAAUUAACACACAAAAGUUAGUUAAAAUAGAAGGAAAGAAAAACAAUACACAUAACUAGUCAGAUAGAUAGCCAAAACCGUUUAACUCCCCGGCAACGGCGCCAAAAAGUGAUCGGUUCCAACCCUACACCACUAUAUAAUGGCGAGGAGUGGUCGAUGCAGUUUUACCCGAUAUGUCGGGAUCGAUAUUCACAAGGAGUUAAUAUUGGUUUGGAGUUGGGUUUCUACCUAAUCUAGCUAUGCGUGUUGUCUUUAAUUGCACUUCUAAUCAUGGUUGGGAUUAUCUCUAUUCUAAUUUGAAAACUAUUAAUUGCUGAAAAUAAUGUAAGUACAACGUUUUUGUAGGAGUUUUUCAAAUGAUAAAAAGCACUAGGGAAGUGACUUACACCUAGGCGAGUAUCUAAUGGGGUCUAAAAUCUAGGACUAGCUUGUUAUUAUUGGGGUCAUGAUAUAAUCUUUACACAUAAUUACUCACUCUAUACCUCUCGGUAAUUUGAGUGACUUUGUCCGAUUUGGCUUUCUCAAGCCUAAAUGGGUGUUCAAACAAUGCAAGUGAAAUUGGCUCAAGUCGGGUAUUACUAUCUCUAGGUUUAACCCUUUAAUCGGGGCUAUCAAUCUCUUGAAUUCACCCCAAUUCCUUGUUAGCCCACCUUACCUAGACUUGGGCUCUCUUUCUCAAGAAGAGCCUAAGUCAAAAAGCAUGAAUCAGUAUUUGCAACUACCAAUUCUACAAUUAAAGCAUGAAACAAGCUAAAUAUCACUAACCCAUAACAAUUAAGCCCUAAACUUGAAGACCCGUUAAAUACCGACACUAGGGUUGGGUCACAACCCUAGCUAAUAGUUUUAGCUACUCAUAAUAAUGAAAGGAAUCAAAGAUGGAGAUGUAAUAUAAGCCAUAAAAGUCAAAUACAAGAAGAAAAUCUAAAGAUAUAAGCUAAAGCUACUUUACAAUUACUCAAAACAGUAAAAUACGGUUGUUCACGUGUUCCUUAAAAUCAGACUUAACCUAAAAAUGUGAAAAAGAUCUAUUUAUACACAGCUAAAAUUACUGGACAAAAAUACCCCUACGGAGGUUCCGCUGACAGCGUAAUACUGGGCGCGUCCGCGCUUAGCCAUUCACGGCCGCACAAUAACGAACGCAGUCCACUUUUUUCUACAUUUGGAUCUGGACUGGAGUUUGUUUUGCGGACCGCUUAAAUCCAGUCGCGUCCGCGUUUGCUUCUAUCGUGGCCGCGUAAAAUGUUCGCGGACCGUGCUCCUGAGCUUAGCUUUACUUGCAAACUCUCUGAACCCCUUAUCUCGCUCCCAGCGUAAUUUCCACCGCUUCCGCGUCAGGUGACUUCACGGGCGCGUAAAUUAGACACGAGCCGCAUUCUUUGUUUGAACCAAGAUUGCAAGGCCUCUGAACCUCGCUCCUCGCUGUCAGCGUAAUUUCACUCACGGCCGCGCCACUGGUUUUGCGGCCGUGCUUUUGUAGCGUGGUCAGCGAUGGUGUUUUCUCAAAAUUGCAGCUUCUCUGAACCUUUAUCUCGCCGACUGCGGAAUAUUAUCCACCUCAGCGGUGAACCCUACGCGGUUGCGCUUUUCCACCGCAGUCAACGGUUCAGUUUUAGCCUUUGGCUUGUGCAAGUUUGACUCUUCAUGAGCUUAUUUUGGCUUCUUUGCCUCAUUUUGACCAAAACCUGCAAGCAAGCACCUUAAGUUAGCUUUCGAGAAUACCUUAACGCAUUUUUGACCCAAAACCUAAGCAAAAGAGAGCAAAUAGUUGGCUAAAAUCCGUAGUUAUCAAUUGUCUCGAAUCUUGNNNNNNNNNNNNNNNNNNNNNNNNNNCUAAGCUCUUCCUUCCCAUUGUAUGAGACUAAGCAUUGUCUCCAAUCUUGUAUGAGGCUAAGACAUGCCUCCUUAAUUGCAUAAGGCUAGGCUUUGCCUUCCCAUUGCAUGAGACUAAGCAUUGUCUCCAAUCUUGCAUAAGGCUAAGCCCCGCCUCCUCAACUGCAUAAGGCUAAGCUCUACCUUCCCAUUGCAUGAAUCUAAGCAUUGUCUCCAAUCUUGCAUAAGGCUAAGCCUUGCAUCCUUAACUGCAUAAGGCUAAGCUCUGCCUUCCCCGCACGAGACUAAGCAUUGUCUCUCCUUGCAUAACCACGAAUGCUGCACUAUUAAAAAUGUUGCAAUAUUCUCUUCUCUCAGGGCUAAGCUAUGCCCCCGAUCUUACACAAGACUAAGCUUUGUCUUGUUUCAAGCAUCAUGUCUUUGCAUCUCAUGGGCUGAAACAUAGCCAAACUUUCCAAAGGCGUCAUAGUCCGAAGGCAUCAUCUUCAUAGCCGGAAGACACCAUGCCAUGGCCGAGGAUCUUUCAAUAUUGCACAUCAUUAUUCAAAGGCAUCAUGGUUAAGAGGCACCAUCUUGAUAGCCCGAGAACAUCAUUUCAUCGCUUGCGAAUCCCCUAUCUCACAAUUAAUAGCCCAGGAUGUCAUGGUCUAAGGACGUCAUCCUCACCGUCCAAAGAUAACCCACAUGGUCCAAAGGAAAUUUGUAUCAUGUUUAAAUUCAUGCAAUACUCUAUAUGUAUUUGUAUGCAUCGUAUUUUGAGUCUGCACGUGAUCCAAGAAGUAACCGUUCUCCUAACGGGAGCAAUCUUCACUCCAGUUUCCUUUCAACGUUCAUAUCCUUCAAUCAUUUUAAACGUAACCGAUCACCGUCUGUUACCCAUUCCCAUCCGAUAACCAGUCAAAUAUCCGCAACCGUCCGUUACCCAUUCCCAAUACUAAUAUUGUCCUAUCCAGAAUAUUUUGCCUGUUCUUAUAAUAACUCCAUCGGUUUAUUCUAUCGUUGGAUCCAGAACUACACAUGGCCUGAUUCCUAUAAAACCAGGGAUAUGUAGGUAGCUCAGAAACCAGGGUCCGGCCAAUAUUUUUCAAUUCACCGCAUUNNNNNNNNNNNNNNNNNNNNNNNNNNNNNNNNNNNNNNNNNNNNNNNNNNNNNNNNNNNNNNNNNNNNNNNNNNNNNNNNNNNNNNNNNNNNNNNNNNNNNNNNNNNNNNNNNNNNNNNNNNNNNNNNNNNNNNNNNNNNNNNNNNNNNNNNNNNNNNNNNNNNNNNNNNNNNNNNNNNNNNNNNNNNNNNNNNNNNNNNNNNNNNNNNNNNNNNNNNNNNNNNNNNNNNNNNNNNNNNNNNNNNNNNNNNNNNNNNNNNNNNNNNNNNNNNNNNNNNNNNNNNNNNNNNNNNNNNNNNNNNNNNNNNNNNNNNNNNNNNNNNNNNNNNNNNNNNNNNNNNNNNNNNNNNNNNNNNNNNNNNNNNNNNNNNNNNNNNNNNNNNNNNNNNNNNNNNNNNNNNNNNNNNNNNNNNNNNNNNNNNNNNNNNNNNNNNNNNNNNNNNNNNNNNNNNNNNNNNNNNNNNNNNNNNNNNNNNNNNNNNNNNNNNNNNNNNNNNNNNNNNNNNNNNNNNNNNNNNNNNNNNNNNNNNNNNNNNNNNNNNNNNNNNNNNNNNNNNNNNNNNNNNNNNNNNNNNNNNNNNNNNNNNNNNNNNNNNNNNNNNNNNNNNNNNNNNNNNNNNNNNNNNNNNNNNNNNNNNNNNNNNNNNNNNNNNNNNNNNNNNNNNNNNNNNNNNNNNNNNNNNNNNNNNNNNNNNNNNNNNNNNNNNNNNNNNNNNNNNNNNNNNNNNNNNNNNNNNNNNNNNNNNNNNNNNNNNNNNNNNNNNNNNNNNNNNNNNNNNNNNNNNNNNNNNNNNNNNNNNNNNNNNNNNNNNNNNNNNNNNNNNNNNNNNNNNNNNNNNNNNNNNNNNNNNNNNNNNNNNNNNNNNNNNNNNNNNNNNNNNNNNNNNNNNNNNNNNNNNNNNNNNNNNNNNNNNNNNNNNNNNNNNNNNNNNNNNNNNNNNNNNNNNNNNNNNNNNNNNNNNNNNNNNNNNNNNNNNNNNNNNNNNNNNNNNNNNNNNNNNNNNNNNNNNNNNNNNNNNNNNNNNNNNNNNNNNNNNNNNNNNNNNNNNNNNNNNNNNNNNNNNNNNNNNNNNACUUUCAAAAUAGUACAUAUACAUCAUCAUUUGAUUUACAAACAUACACAAGUAUUUUUCAUAAUUUUUCAUGAUUUUUAAAAGCUUUAAAUCAAUUUAUUUCUGCUUAUAAAUAUCCAAUAAUUACCCUCCAAAUUAUUUUAUGAUGAUUCAAUCAUCUAAACUUAUGACUUAUACCAAUAUGAGGUUUUAAAUAUUUUCAAUGCGUUGAUCAUAAUUACAUUUGUAUAGUUUAGAGCUAAAUUGAAUAUUUUGCAAUAAUAGCCCAUAUGCAUAUAUAAUUACAUUAUCUACACAAACAAUGAAUUUUUAUAUUUUUAUAAUGUUAAGUAAUCAUUUUAAAUUAUUUUUAUGCACAAAUAAUAUUUUUUUUAUUUAUUACCUAUUUUUAUAAAUUAUAUUUUGCUAAAUAUUGUGUAUUUAAAUAAUGGCCUAAUUUUAAACCUAUUUUUCGGACCUAAUACACCAACCCAAUACCCCUGGUCCAAAACCCAUUAGCCCAGUCACCAUACCCACUUAAAUACCCGACCCAAUCCAUUUUAAAUCAUGGUCGUUGAUCUCUGAGAUCAACGGCCCAUAUUUAUUUCCUGAUUUAAUUAACCUAACCCACCCCAAACCCUAAAUCAUUCUUACCACCUCGCCACCCUAGAACUCUCUCGUCUCUCAUCUCGCAUGAACCCUAGCCUCUGUUCGAUCAAACCCCCCAAAUCAGACCCCAGAACGGAAUCCACCAUGGAUUACCUUACCUUAUUUGCAUAUCCUCACUACUGGCCACUCGCAUAUGAUCCUAUUUAGUUGCUUGCCUAAUAUGGCAAGCAAAUCUUGCCAAAAUCGAACCAAAUCAGUUCAAGUCUCUGAUUUCUGUGGCUAUUCUGCCUAUAUUCAUCAUUGAUUCUUUGUGAGUAACGAGCAUGUUCAUAUCUUUCUGUCAUUCUUACUUACCCCAAAUUAGGGUUAUCAAACCCUUUCAAUCGGACCUAAAUAGGUCUGAUUUUUUAACACUAUUCUGCUUCCAUUCAUCCUAUCUCGUAUGAUUGUUUUACCUUAAUUGGUAUUAUCACUGAUUUUGUACUUUCCCUAAACUAGGGUUUGAAUUUUCUUUUCCUUUUCUUACUGAUUCUAGUGAAUCUUUCCUUUCUGUGUUCGAUUACCUUCUUUCUUUACAUUUUUCCUGACUUUUACUUUAAUAUUUUGCUUAAAUAUUCUGAAUAAUUUUUGUUUUGGUAUUAUUUGUGUCUCCCUUAAUAUUUGCUUAAAUAUUCUGAAUAAUUUCUUUGUUUUGGUAUUAUUUGUGUUUCCUUUAAUACCUGCCCGAUAUUCUGAAUAAUUUUAUGUUUUUAUGCUUCCCUAAUUUUAACUGCCCUAACAUUAUGAACGAUUUUAUUCUUAGUAUUAUGUGUUUCUGCCUUAAAUAUUCUGAAUAAUUUUAAGUACUUCCUUAACUCGCUAUAUCCCUUAAUUUAUUCCCUAAAUUACCUAUAACUGAUUCUGCAAAUAUUUUCUUGCAUAUUACUGAUUUUUUUCCAUGUUUAUAUAUUGAUUUCUAUCACUAUAUAUACUCUUCCCCCAUUCCCUUUAGAGGAGCUUGGACUUUCUGAACUUACUACAACCUUACUAGACCUAAAGUUACUCUAUAUUCUGUCUUUGGCCGGCUGGAAGCCAAUGCCACUUGAUUCUGAGCUAUUGCUAUACUUCUUCUGCGCAUUUUCUUCGCUUAAUUGGUGAGUCACUUGACAUCUGCACUUUCAUUCUUUCGUAUAUCCCUGAUUUCCACAUAUGAUUAGCACCGAAUCCAUGAUCCAAUAUGCAUGUGAGUGAUGUUUAGGCAUUAUCUUUACCAGUUUUGUAUGUCUUAGUUCCUUUAACACUUAAUUGCUCCUAAUGUUACUUUUUCUGAAGUUGUUUGAACUUCUUUAAGGUCUAUCCAGUUAGGGUAUCAACCCUUAAGUGCCAAUGAACAUGUCUAUCCCCUUACCCUAAAUCCCUGUAGUGAAUGCCUCACAUCUGUGACUCUUGUUGCUAGUUGUAAUAUGCCUCUUUGCUAUUAUGUCAACAUGAUCACUCGAUCCCCACACCCCUCUGAUGUUGUUUGUAAUGACUGUCUCAUCAUGCUUGAAUUGCUACUUUGAAAUAAACCUUUGUUUAGACCAAUAUAACAAUGUUAUCUGCUACUUUGAAGAAUAGCUGUCUCAAUUUGUGACUGCAAGUCACCCCUGAUAAUUUGAUGCCCUCCCCCUUUCUAUGAUGUUGUUUUGGUUUUCUUGAUAAUAACAUUAGGUUAAGUACUUGGCCUACUUCAAGCAUGCUUUAACUCAUUCUGCACCUAUGGCUUUGCCAAACUUGCAAACAUGCUUUGCCAAUUUUUAGCAUGUAACUGUUGUUGUGCUGAGUAUGAAACCUAUUUAUCAGCUUCAUUAAACUAGUUCUUGCUUGCAUUUUGUGAUGCAUUUAAGUGUCUGCUUGUUGACUCAAUUUGGUUAUGUCUAUUUAAAUCAAUUCAUGUUUUUCUCAAUUUUGGUCUUUCUCUUCUGUCACUAAAACUCUUUAAAUCCCAUUCUUAGCCAAUGCUGCCUAAAUUCUGUCCUUUGGCCUUUCUAGUGUGAGCACUGCUCGGAGUUCAUUAGAGACCUUUGUGAACUCUGACACACUAGGAUUUGGUCCCUAAUCCCUCCUUGAACUAUCUUGGUUAACCACCCUAGUGUGAGCACUGCCCUGGGUUCUUGAAGCCCUUGGGAACUCUGACACACUAGGGCCUUGGUUCUAUAUGCUCAACCUUGUCAUGUGCUCACUCGGUGAAUUACUCAACUAUUGGCUAUUUUGUAUCUAUGAAUAUGUAACUUUGGGGCUGUUGUGAAUUGUGAGAAUGAAGGUCUGGCCUGUCCGGGUGUAUUUGGGCCUGCUGUAGGCUCCCUAUAGCUAUAUCUACUCUGUAAUUUACUAUAUUCGUUCUGGGUCUGUAAUAAUUAUUGUAACAAUAUUUGGGGUAUUAGUGAAACUGGGAAAGAGAUUUUUAUCUUAUACUUGCAACAAGUUGGGUAGAAAUUCUGCCUAUAGGUUUGAUAAUGUGUUAUUGUAUGUCGUGUGUUAGAAAUCAUGCCUAUAGGUAUCUUAUCAUGUUCAGUCAUUGUAUGUUAGCAAUCCUGCCUAUAGGUCCAAUACUUGGUUCAAUUGUGUUCUUUUUCUGCUUGUUAGAAACCCUGCCUAUAAGAAAUAGUGUGAUUCAAUGUGCAUACAAAGUUUUGUUUACAUGUUGCCCUACUCGCGAAUUAUAGAAAUCAUGUCUAUAGGGUCUAAAAUCGGAUUAAUUGUAGAAAGCAUGCCUAUAGGUCUGAAUCCGUUCAAUUAUCAUUUUGCCCGUUUGUUCAGGAGUUUUCAAUCACUGUGUUAUUAUCCUCACUAGAAAACAUGCCUAUAGGGUCAAAACAAGUAAUUUUGAAUAUGCCUCUGUGAUUGCCACUAUUUAUUAUUGCGUAAAAUACCUAGACAUCAUGCCAGUAGGUUUAAUCUCAUUAUGCUAAAAUUAGUAGGCAAAUCAUGUAGGUUUUGGUAAUCGUAUUAAGGAAUGACUUUUGUGUAUAACUGUCUGCCCAUUAAUUCAGUAUCACAUAGAGACGUUGCCUAUAGGAUUUUGCAACUUUAAUUAAUUAAAAUUUGUCAAUAUUAAUCAGUUUGGCGUACAUUUGUUGUCUAAAUGCGGAGCCUAACUUGAGCCCUUACUUGCUUAUAUGUGAAAUUCCUAAACUGUUUUGUAUGUCGCUUAGUAUUGUCCCUUUUGAGCAACUUAAGUUAAAGUCUAGAAUCACCCUAAAAUAAAGGUCCAAAUGCCUCCUGGACCAUAGGCAGGGGACGGGUAGUGCACGCAUAGAGCACGAUUUAGAAUUGAACUUUAGGUAAACAACUUAAAGAUAGUAAUCAGGUAGCAGGAGAUGAUAGUCUGUGCCCGCUGAAUAAUAUGAGUAACACCCCAUCUUGAAGGAGUUACGAAAUAUUAUUUAUGUUGUACGGGGUGAUCCUUUAGGCUAAAAAACUUAGGACCCCCACCUCUGUUUAAAGUCAAUCAUUUAUUUUACUGCCCAAAUCGUUUCCAUUCCCUUAGACUAAUUCAUAUAAUUCGAGUUCGGCCAGGACCUACCGUUGUGGACCUCGAGGAGUGCCUAACACCUUCUCCUCAAGGUAAUUUGAGCCCUUACCCGAUCUUUGGUGACGCAACUGGUUAAUCCAGAGUUAUUUGCAAAUAGGUGCCCUAACGCAUCUUAACCCGUUAGGUGGCGACUCUCUAUUUUAAUACACUUCCUUAAAAGAGUUGUCACGUGUCGAAACCCGAUUUUACGAGAAAAAAGGGCGCGACAUCAAGUUGGUAUCAGAGCUCUAGGUUCAUAGGUAUUUUGAGUCACAAGAAGGUUUAGUAGAGUCUCGCGGAUCGGUACCGAGACAUCUGUACUUAUCUUCAAGAGGCUAUGGAACUGUUAGGAAAGCUUCACUUCUUUGAUUCCUUAUCGUGCAAAUUUGUUGACUUCAAAAUUCUAAAUCUCUACCUUUCUAUUCUGUCACAUAUAGUGAGGACAAGCACAGCUGGAUCUGAUGAUCAGACAUUCGUGCCCACUGCUAGAGCCGCAAAAGGCUGGGGCCGGGGUAGAGGCCAAGGACAGGCACGUGGUGUAGCUAGAGCACCUGUAUGAGAUGCUAAUGAGGAGCCACCAGUAGCUCCAGUUGGGGGGCAGGCACCCGAGAUGCCUGUUACUACCCUUGUUCUUCGGGAGACCCUCGCCAAGUGUUUGAGCAUGUUUGGCACUCUAGCAAAGGUAGGGUUGAUUCCACUUGCUCUUUCCACACCCCAGGCUGGGGGAGGAGCACAGACUCCCGCAGCCCAUACCCCAGAGUAGCAGGUCCAGGUUGACCAGGUCCCAGAGGUCAUACCAGUUUAGCCGGUUGUCCUAGUUUAGCCCGGGUUACGGUAGCAGCAUCUGAGUAGGAACAUAUCUUGCUCAAGAGGUACAAGAAGUACCAUCCUUCUACAUUCAGUGGCCUAGCUACAAAGGACGCACAGGGUUUUCUUGAUGAGUGCCUUCGUAUCCUCCGUACUAUGGGUAUUGUGGAGUCGAGUGGGGUUGCUUUCACUAUGUUCCAGUUUAACAGAGUGACUUAUUAGUGGUGGCAAGCAUACGAGUUGGGUAGGGGUCGAGGCAGCUGCACUCACAUGGGCUCAGAUUUCAGAGAUGUUCAUGAGAGAGUUUGUUCCCCAGAGCCUUUAUGAUGCAUGGCGCACGGAGUCUGAGCAGCUGCGCCAGGGUGCUAUGACCGUAUCAAAGUAUGUUGUCAAGUUCAGUGAGUUGUCCAGACAUGCACCAGCCUUAGUCUCCACAGUCAUAGAGCGAGUGUCGAUUUAUCAAGGGGCUCAACCAUGGUAUUAGAUUCAGCAUGGCUCGAGAGUUAGAAACGGAUACCCUGUACCAACAGGUUAUAAAGAUCGCUCGAAGAUUGGAGGGUAUGUACGGCCAGGAGAGAGAGGAGAGGGAGUCCAAGAGGCCUCGAGAUUCUAGCACAUAUAGCGGUGCCCUAUUACAUCUCAUGUUUUUCGUACGUUAAAGUUUCGUCUUCAGUUAAUUGACGUAGACUCGCGGAUGAGAUUUUUUUGAGAUUAUAAGCAUUAUGCUAUUUCAAACACGUGAUGAGUAAAUUCGUGAAGGAGAAAAGGUAAGCUAAUAGAAGAAAAUGAGUUUUGUCGAAGUUUGGCAAUUUGAAAUAAAAUUCGGUCCAAACUAUAAUACCUGGUAUUUAUGGACUAGUGUCAUAUAAGGUACUACAUGACCAUGAUAUUAAGGUGUACAAGGUAUGUUAAAAGUGAGUAGUAUUUUAAGUACGUGGAGAUAAUUUUUAAUUAUAUAGGUAAUUGGUUAAUUAUUGGGUAAUAGGAUAUUACCUAAUUAAUUGGGGAUAUAUUGUAUAAGAAUUAAAAUGGCAUUAUGUGGCAGCCCCCCCUCCCAAUUCAUAUUAAGUGACUCAUAAUCUAGAUUGAAGGUGGCCAACUAAAAGUUAUACACAUGACACUUACGUGUAAAGACAUAAAUGAGAAGUUUGGCAUUUUGGCUUUAUUUGGCCUUAAGAUAAUCAAGUAAGUAAUCUUAUCAUUUUCUUCCUAUUUCAAAAAUUGCAAAACAGACGUUAGAAAUUCCUACAAGGAUUCAUAACAUCUUCAAAUAAGAAUUCAUAACAUCUUCAAAGAGAAUUCAUAACAUCUUCAACCAAUUCCUACAAAAUUCCAACGAGAUUUUUUUAGCACCUUAGCAACUUGAGAUUUUGCAAUUCUAAGGGAGUACGGUGCAACCUUUUUCAAGAAUAUCAUACGGAUUUUUUCUUACUCCAAAUAUGUUAAGGCUAAACCCUUCCUUCAUUUUGGCAUGAUCUCGUAAUUAUAUGAGUUUGAUAACGAGGCUUAAAGAGAAAUUCAUAUUGCUGAAUUUAUGUACAUUUCCUAGUCGUAUAAGUUACAAUAUUCUCCCUUAUCGAGAUAUUAUAUUCGAUUGAGUAUUAUUUUCUUCCAGUCAAGAGAGUAGAGCUUCUAUACAUACAGUAUUUUCACCACCAUCAAGCUAUAAUCGGUGGGCAAACCCCUAUUGGGCAACCUCUGAUCAGAUGGUAAGUUAUAUACCGAGCCUAUUGUGGCCCAGCGCCUAUGAGCGAGCCCAGUUGGCCGAGAUACAAAGCCUAGUAUGGCCGAGCGCCUAUGAGCGAGGCUACUACGCCAGAGCAGUUAUAUAUAUACCGAGCCAUAUAAGGCCGGACAACUAUUUUACUUACUGUAUUGAGAGAGUUGAUUUAGUAUCAGCAGGUAAGCAUAUCUUUAUAUUAUCUUUGACUCUCAGUUACUUCAGUUAUUAUAUUAUCAGUUCAGUUUUAGCUUUCAGUUAUUUUAUUGCCUUGCAUACUCGGUACAUUAUUUCGUACUGAUGUCCCUUUUUCGGGGGAUGCUGCAUUUCAUGCGUGCAGGUUCAGACAGACAGAUGGGUAGACUCCUCAGUAGGUGUUGCCCGAGUUUAGCUUUAUCGGUAAGCUCCACGUCCUUCGGAGUUGCCAGGUCUAGAAGUUUUGUUUACAUCUUAUGUAUAUAUGUAUAUAGGUUAUGGGUAGGUCGGGGCCCUAUUCCGAUCACAGUACAACCAUCAGUAGUAGGCUUGUAGACAUAUACAUNNNNNNNNNNNNNNNNNNNNNNNNNNNNNNNNNNNNNNNNNNNNNNNNNNNNNNNNNNNNNNNNNNNNNNNNNNNNNNNNNNNNNNNNNGUAGUUAUGACGGCCUUGUCGGUCCAGCUUUAUAUUGAUGCUUAGUCUGCAUUCGCAAGUGUCUUGCAAUGUGGCUCAUGGCCAAAGUAUGACAUUAUAUAUUCGGAGUCUCUUAGUCGCAAGUUGGUAUGCAAGGAUAGGUGAGGCACCGGGUGCUGGUCUCGCCCCCCAAGAUCGGGGCGUGACAAAAGUGGUAACAGAGCAGUUCUAUCCUAGGGAGUCUACAAAGCCGUGUCUAGUAGGGUCUUGUUUAUUGAUGUGUGGUGGACCGCAUUAUAUAAGCAGGGGACUACAGGGCAUUUAGGAGUUGAUUACCCUUCUUUCAAAUCUAAAACGUGCUAUAGAACUGAGUUAUAGGAAAUUUGAGUUAAACUUACGUGUUGGCAUUUGCAUGCACAGAUGACGAUGACUAGGAAGUCUACGGCUAGCCAGAGGAGAGAUACAGCAGGAGGUGGGGGACUAGCAGGGUAACCCCAGUAGAUGGGGCCCAAUCGGAGGCCCAGGGAGAGACCCCUACUCAGCCGUUACCGGCUCCUCCACCACCAGAGGAGAUUCCUAAGGAGACCGCACAUCCAGUUCCCCCUCUGCUUCUAUCGGAUCAGGAAUUGAGGGGUGCGGUGCAUUUGUUGACAUAGUUGGUAGCUACCCAGUAACAGGCUAGGGCAUCCGCUAGUGCAGGAUCUUUUGAGGGGUCUGGGAGUUCAAGGGUCCAAGAGUUUAUUGCUUUGAGUCCCCCAAAGUUCACGGGGACAGAUCAGAGGGAGGACUCGCAGGAUUUCAUAGAUCAGUUUCACAUGAUCUUUCGGGUUAUGCAUGCCACGGAGAAAGAGACAGUUGAGUUAGCCACUUUUCGACUCCGAGAUAUAGCCAUCCUUUGGUACGAGGGAUGGGAAAGGUCCAGGGGACGUGAUGCACCUCCAGCUAUUUGGGAGGAUUUUUCGGAUGCCUUCCUUGACUAGUACUUACCGCGGGAGAUCUGACAGGCUUGAGUCGAUCUAUUUUUACCUCAGGCACGGAAAUAUGAGUGUUCGAGAGUAUAGUUACCAUUUUGACUCAUUGGCCAGAUAUGCACCAUCCAUAUUUGCUACUAUGGGGGACAGGAUUCACAAGUUUAUAGCAGGGUUAGCCCCAGAGUUGACCGAGGCAUGUGCCACCGCUACAUUGCAGGAUAGUAUGGAUAUCUCCCGGAUUCAAGCAUUCGCCCAAAAUAUAGAAAGGGGUAGGCGUCGGCAGCAGGGUACAAAGAGGACUGAGUUGGGAUAGCGUAAGAGGAUGAGAUUUGCCAGGUCUCAGGAGCAGUCUUAGAGUAGUUAUAGUCCCCGGUACUUCGAAUGGCCAACUAGGCCUCUGCCACCUCAGUUACAGGGUUACAGGUAUGACCGUUAUACUCAAUCAGGACUAAAUGAGAGCUCACAUGCAUCGGGUUUGCAGCGACAGCGAGGUUCACGGCAGAUAUGGUCAUUUUCGUUGCGGUGUGACAUCUGUGGUAGAGUACACUUGGGCCAAUGCCGAGUCGGUUCCGAUGCUUGUUAUACAUGUGGACAUCCGGGGCAUAUGAUGUGAGAUUGCCCAAAUAGAGAUUUUGGGGGUAUGGCAUAACAAGCGAAUUCAGUAAUAGGAUCAUCUAUAUCCAUGCAUCCUUCAGGGCGCGAGUCUCAAUCUUCGGCUGGUAGAGGUCGAGGCAGAGGUAGAGGUUCCAGUUCACGUAGUAACCAGAAUCGUAGCUAUGCUUUAGCGGGUCGACAGGACCAGGAAUCUUCACCAGACGUUGUGACGGGUAUGUUGACCAUUUGCUCUCAUGAUGCUUAUGCCUUGAUAGACCCAGGAUCUACUUUAUCGUGUAUUACCCCAUUUGUCAGUGGGAAGUUUGGUAUAGUGCCUGAAAUACUAAGUGAUCAUUUUGCGGUAUCUAUACCGGAUGGAGAAUCGAUUAUUGCUAGAAGGGUUUAUCGAGGUUGUACGGUGUCAGUUUAUGGUAGUCAGACCUCAACCGACCUAGUUGAGCUAGAGAUGUUGGAUUUUGAUGCUAUCAUGGGCAUGGACUGGUUGGCAUCUUGCUAUGCCACAGUUGAUUGUUGAGAAAAGACAGCCAGAUUUCAUUUUCCGGGUGAGCCAGUCCUUGAAUGGGUAGGUAAUACAGCAACACCCGGAGGUAGGUUUAUUUCCUAUCUGAAGGCAAGGAAAAUGAUCGCAAAAGGGUGCAUUUAUCAUAUUGUGCGAGUUAGAGAUGUAGAUGCAGAGAUACCUACACUUCAGUCUAUUCCAGUAGUAAAAGAGUACGCGGAUGUAUUUCCAGAUGAACUUCCAGGUGUUCCUCCAGAGCGAGAGAUUGAUUUUGUUAUCGAUUUUCUUUUGGGAACUCAACCAAUAUCCAUCCCUCCGUAUAGAAUGGCACCUGCCGAAUUGAAGGAGUUGAAGGAGUAGUUAAAAGAUUUGCUGGAGAAAGGUUUUAUUAGGCCCAGUACCUCACCUUGGGGUGCACCGGUACUGUUUGUACGCAAGAAAGACGGCUCGCUGAGGAAGUGUAUCGAUUAUAGGUAGCUGAACAAGGUAACUAUUAAGAAUAAGUACCCACUUCCAAGGAUAGAUGACUUGUUUGAUCAGUUGUAGGGAGCUAGAUGCUUUUCAAAGAUAGAUUUGAGGUCGGGGUACCACUAGGACAGAGUUCGAGAGAAAGAUAUUCCCAAGACAGCCUUCAGGACCCGAUAUGGCCACUUUGAGUUCCUUGUCAUGUCCUUCGGGUUGACGAAUGCACCUGCCGUAUUUAUGGCUUAAUGAAUAGCCUAUUCCGGCCAUUUUUAGAUCUAUCGCGAUAGUAUUUAUUGAUGACAUUUUGGUUUAUUCACGUUCAGAGGAUGAGCAUGCGGACCACCUGCAAGCGGUACUACCACUCCGACAGAGGUUCGUAGCUUUCUAGGUUUAGCAGGAUACUACAGGAGGUUCGUAGAGGGAUUUUCUUCCCUUUUGGCACCAUUAACAAAGUUGACGCAGAAAGCAACUAAGUUUCAGUGGAUGGAGGCUUGCGAGCAGAGUUUCCAUGAGCUUAAGAACAGGUUGACCUCAGCGCCAGUUCUAGCACUUCCAGAGGGUCCAGAUGGUUAUGCCAUGUAUUGCGAUGCCUCAGGUGUCGGGUUAGGAUGUAUCCUGAUGCAACAUGGGAAAGUAAUUGUGAAUGCUUCAAGGUAGUUAAGGAAGCACGAGCGGAAUUAUCUGACCCACGACCUCGAGUUAGCUGCGGUUGUCCAUGCACUUAAGAUAUGGCGGCAUUAUUUAUAUAGUGUUCAUGUUGAUGUAUUUACAGAUCAUAAAAGCCUGCAAUAUAUCUUUAAGCAAAAAGAGUUGAAUUUAUGACAGAGGCGAUGGCUUGAGUUAUUGAAAGAUUACGAUGUUAACAUUCUCUACCAUCCAAGGAAAUCUAAUAUGGUAGCAGAUGCCUUAAGUCGCCGAUCUAUGGGUAGCUUAGCACAUGUAGAGGCCGAAAAAAGACAAUUAACUAGAGAGAUUCAUCAAUUGGCUUGUUUAGGGGGUGAUUCGUAGACUCUGACGAUGGUGGAGUUGUACUCCAAAAUACUGCAAAAUCAUCUCUCACAGCUGAAGUAGAGGAGAGGCAGUACGAGGACCCAGAGUUGGUCGAGUUGAGAGAGCGAGUUCCGCAGCAGAAGAAGUCGUUGUUAGAACUCAAGGGAGAUGGGGUUCUCGGAUACAGGGGUCGUUUGUGUGUUCCAGAAGUAGCAGGGCUACGAGACAGGAUUAUGUCAGAGGCACAUUAUUCGUGGUACUCCAUUCAUCCUGGGUCGACGAAGAUGUAUCAUGACAUUAAAGAUGUGUACUGGUGGAAUGAUAUGAAAAAAGACAUUGCUGAGUUUGUCGCUCAGUGUCCUAGUUGCCAGCAGGUGAAGGUAGAGUACAAGAAGCCUGGAGGGCUAAUGCAGACUAUAGAGAUCCCAACAUGGAAAUGGGAGGCGAAAAACAUGGACUUUAUCAGGGGUUUACCUCAUUCUCAUCAUAAGCUCGAUUCCAUAUGGGUGAUAGUCGAUAGGCUCACAAAAUUAGCUUAUUUCUUACCAGUCAGAUCUACAUAUAUAGCAGAAGAUUAUGCAAAGCUAUAUAUUAAGGAGAUAGUACGGCUACACGGAGUACCAGUAUCUAUUUUAUCUGACCGUGGGGCCCAGUUUACAACACAUUUUUAGAGGUCAUUUCAGAAAGGUCUAGGGAGUUAGGUGAAUCUCAGCAUAGCUUUUUAUCAACAGAUUGAUGGACAAGCUGAGCGCACAAUUCAGACGCUCAAGGAUAUGUUACGAGCAUGUGUGUUGGAUUUUAAAAGAAGUUGGGAUGAACAUCUACCUCUUAUCGAGUUUGCAUAUAAUAACAGUUACCACUCUAGUAUCCAGAUGGCUCCGCACGAGGCUUUGUAUGGGCGUAAGUGCAGAUCUCCUAUAAGGUGGUUUGAUGUUGGAGAAUCUGGGUUACAUGGGCCAGACCUGGUUCAGUAGGUCGUAGAGAAAGUAAAGCUUAUCCGGGAGCGACUGUUGACAGCCCAAAGUCGUCAAAAGUCAUAUUAUGACGUGCGGCGACGAGACUUAGAGUUCGGGGUUAAUGACUGGGUAUUCUUAAAAGUGUCACCUAUGAAGGACGUGAUGAGGUUCGGCGAGAAGGGCAAGCUUAGCCCACGGUAUAUUGGUCCUUAUAGGAUUAUUCGGAGAGUGGGCCAAGUAGCUUAUGAGUUGGAAUUGCCCUUAGAAUUGGAGUCUGUCCAUCCGGUUUAUCACGUAUCCAUGCUACGGAAGUGCAUUGGCGAUCCUACCCGAGUGGUGCCCACAGAUGAUGUACAGAUUAUGGAGGACUUUUCAUACGAGGAAAUUCCAGUUGCCAUCCUAGACCGACAAAUCUGUAAGCUUUGAAAUAAGGAGUUAGCCUCCGUGAAGGUUUUAUGGAGGAGCAAUAAUGUGGAAGAGAUGACGUGGGAAGCGGAGGAAGAAAUGAAGUCUAAAUACCCCCCACCUAUUUCAAACUGAAGAUAUAGCUCGAGGUGAGAUACCUCAGCACAGCUCUAUUCAGGCCAGUAGGUCAUCAGGUAAGCUCUUAUAUUUGACUUUCAGAAUUUAUAAUGGACAGCUGUGUGAAGCCAAGUGUUGCUAUUUAUAAAGAUGGGCCAUGUGUGGCAUGUAUAGUCUAUUUUCUGGCUACGUACAGGUUGGUUUUAGUCUGGUUCACAGAGGAGACUCUGGAAAAAUUUUCCCAAAAUCUCUAAGAAAAAACAUUCGAGGACGAAUGUUUUUAAGGGGGGAAGGAUGUUACAUCUCUCGUUUUUCGUGCGUUAAAGUUUUAUCUUCAGUUAAUUGACGUAGACUCGGGGAUGAGAUUUUCUUGAUAUUAUAAGCAUUAUGCUAUUUCAAACACGUGAUGAGUAAAUUCGUGAAGGAGAGAAGGUAAGCUAAUAGAAGAAAAUGAGUUUCGUCAAAGUUUGGCAAUUUGGGAUAAAAUUCGGUCCAAACUAUAAUACUCGUUAUUUAUGGACUAAUGCUAUACAAGGUACUACAUGACCAUGAUAUUAAGGUGUACACGGUAUGUUAAAAGUGAGUAGUAUUUUAAGUAAGUUGAGAUAAUUCUUAAUUAUGUGGGUAAUUGGUUAAUUAUUGGGUAAAAGGAUAUUACCUAAUUAAUUGGGGAUAUAUUGGAUAAGAAUUAAAAUGGCAUUAUGUGGCAGCACCCCCCUCCCCCCCAUUCAGAUUAAGUGACUCAUAAUCUAGAUUGAAGGUGGCCAAAUAAAAGUUAUACACUUGACACUUACGUGUAAAGAAAUAAUGAGAAGUUUGGCAUUUUGUCUUCAUUUGGCCUUAAGAUAAUCAAGUAAGUAAUCUUAUCAUUUUCUUCCUAUUUCAAACAUUGCAAAACAGACAUUAGCAAUUCCUACAAGUAUUCAUAACAUCUUCAAAUGAGAAUUCAUAACAUCUUCAAAGAGAAUUCAUAACAUCUUCAACCAAUUCCGACAAAUAUUCCAACGAGAUUUCUUAGCAGCUUAGCAACGUGAGAUUUUGCGAUUCUAAGGGAGUACGGUGCAACCUUUUCCAAGAAUAUCAUAUGGAUUUUUCCCUACUCCGGGUAUGUUAAGGCUAAACCCUUCCUUCAUUUUGGCAUGAUCUCAUAAUUACAUGAGUUUGAUAACGAGGCAUAAAGAGAAAUUCAUAUUGCUGAAUUUAUUUACAUUUCCUAGUCUUAUAAGUUACAAUAUUCUCCCUUAUCGGGAUAUCAUAUUCGAUUGAGUAUUGUUUUCUUCCAGUCAAGAGAGCAGAGAAUCUAUAUAUACAGUAUUUUCACCACCAUCGAGCUAUAAUCGGUUGGCAAACCCCUAUUGGGCAACCUCUGAUCAGAUAGUAAGUUAUAUACCGAGCCUACUGUGGUCGAGCGCCUAUGAGCGAGCCCAGUUGGCCGAGAUAUAAAGCCUAGUAUGGUCGAACGCCUAUGAGCGAGCCUUCUACGGCAGAGCAUAUAUAUAUAUAUAUACUGAGCCUUAUAGGGCCGGACAACUAUUUUACUUACUGUAUUGAGAGAGUUGAUUUAGUAUCAGCAGGAAAACAUAUCUUUAAAUUAUCUUUGACUCCCAGUUACUUCAGUUAUUAUAUUAUCAGUUCAGUUUCAGCUUUCAGUUAUUUUAUUGCCUUGCAUAUUCAGGUACAUUAUUUCGUACUGAUGUCCCUUUUUGGGGGGACGCUACAUUUCAUGCGUGCAGGUUCAGACAGACAUAUGGGUAGACCUCCUCAGUAGGUGUUGCCCGAGUUCAGCUUUAUCCGUAAGCUCCACGUCCUUCGGAGUUGCCGGGUCUAGAAGUUUUGUGUAUAUACGUAUAUAGGUUAUGGGUAGGUCAGGGCCCUGUUCCGAUCACAGUACAACCAUUAGUAGAAGCUUGUAGACAUAUCCUAUCAGUUAGUGCAGUAUGUUGGGCUUGUAGGCCUUUUAUGUAUAUUUUGUUGGUUUGCCAGCUGUAGUAGUUAUGACGGCCUUGUCGGCCUAUCUUUAUAUUGAUGUUUAGUCUGCAUUCGCAACUGUCUUGCAAUGUGGCCCAUGGCCAAAGUAUGACAUUAUAUGUUCGGAGUCCCUUAGUCGCAAGUUAGUACGCAAGGAUAGGUGAGGUAUCGGGUGCCGGUCUCGCCCCCCAAGAUCGGGGCGUGACAUGCCCGUGCCCCAGUUGCAGCCCAUCAUGGUAGAAUCUAUGUGAGUCAUCCCAUUCAUUCAACACUUCCAGCUUCCAGCAGUAUUCCGGCCACUCCCAUGUCUCAGGUUUCCUAUUAUGUACCGCCACUGUCUACUGCACCUCCUGCACGGGGUGCUUUCAGUGGUCAGUCCAGUCGAUCAGGCCCGAGCCAGUCUCAACAACCACGUCCUCCGAGAGCUUGUUUUGAGUGUGGUGACACUCUUCAUAUGGAGAGGGACUUCCGCAUACUCAAGAGGGGUGCACCUCCAUAGACUACUCAAGCUCCAAGUAUUCAACAGGGGCCCCAUACUUCUCAGGCUGUGGUUACCGCACCAGUUGCCACUCCACCUGCACAGCCAGCUAUAGGUGGAGGUCGGGCGAGUAGGGAUCGCCCUAGAGGGGGAGGCCAGGCCAGAUGUUAUGCUAUACCGACUAGGACGGAUGCAGUUGCAUCAGACUCAAUCAUCACAUGUAUUGUUCAAGUUUGUCAUAGAGAGGCAUCAGUCUUAUUUGAUCCAGGCUCCACUUAUUCCUAUGUAUCGUCUUACUUUGCUUGGUAUUUGGGUGUAUCCCGUGAUUCUUUGAGUUCUCAUGUGUAUAUGUCCACGCCUGUGGGAGAUUCCAUUAUCGUUGACCGUGCGUAUCGGCCAUGUUUAGUUAUUCUUGGUGGUUUUGAGACCAGAGCUGAUCUAUUGUUGCUCAUUAUGGUAGAUUUUGAUUAUGGACAUGGACUGGUUGUCGCCCUAUCAUGCUAUUCUUGAUUGUCACGCCAAGACGGUGAUGUUGACUAUGCUAGGUUUGCCAUGCUUGGAGUGGAGGGGUGCUUUGGAUUAUGUUCCUAGCAGGGUGGUGUCUUUCCUUAUGGCACAACAGAUGGUUGUGAAAGGGUGUGAUGCAUAUCUAGCCUUUGUGAGGGAUGUUAGUGUUAAUACUCCUACCUUUGAGUCAGUUCCGAUAGUGAGAGACUAUCUAGAUGUAUUUCUAGCGGAUCUUCCAAGCAUGCCGCCUGAUAGGGAUAUCAAUUUUGGUAUUGAUUUUUUCGGACACUCAGCCCAUUUCUAUUCUGUCAUAUCGUAUGGCCCCAGUAGAGCUGAAGGAGUUAAAGUAGCAGUUACAAGAGUUGCUUGAUAAGAGCUUCAUUCGGCCUAGUGUGUCAUAUUGGGGUGAUCUGGUAUUGUUUAUAAAGAAGAAGGAUGAUUCUAUUCGCAUGUGUAUUGAUUAUCGGCAGUCGAACAAGGUUAAAGUUAAGAACAGUAUCCACUACCACACAUUGAUGACCUAUUUGAUCAUCUACAGAGUGCUAGAGUUUUCUCAAAGAUUGGUCUGCGGUCAGGCUAUCAUCAGUUGAAGAUUCAGGAUCCGGAUAUUCUAAAGACUGCCUUCAAGACUCGAUAUGGUCAUUACGAGUUCCUUGUGAUGUAAUUUGGCUUGACCAAUGCCCCAGCAGCAUUCAUGCACUUAAUGUACAGUGUAUUCCAACCCUAUCUUGACUCAUUCAUCAUUGUGUUUACUGACGAUACCUUGGUGUACUCCCGGAGCCUGGAGGAUCAUGAGCAGCACUUGAGGAUUGUGCUUUAUACCUUGAGAGAAAAGAAAUUGUAAGCAAAAUUUUCAAAGUGUGAAUUCUGGCUUGAUUCGGUGGCUUUUGUGGGACCUCUAGUGUCGAGUGAGCGAAUCAAGGUAGAUCCGAAAAUGAUUGUAGUAGUGCAGAGUUGGAUUAGACCGUCUGCAACUACUGAGAUCCAUAGUUUUCUUGGUUUGGCAAGGUAUUACUGUCGAUUCAUGGAGGGCUUCUAAUCUAUUGUUGCACCUAUGACCAGAUUGAACCAGAAAAGUGCUCCGUUCAGGUGGACCAAGGAGUGUGAGGAGAGCAUUCAAAAUCUCAAUAUUGAUUGACUACAACCCCAGUGUUAGUGUUGCCUACAAGUUCGUGAUCUUACACUGUGUAUAGUGAUGCGUCGCGUUUUGGCCUUGGCAAAGUGUUGAUGCAACACGAUAGGGUGAUUGCCUACGUGUCUAGACAAUUGAAAGUACAUGAGAAGAAUUAUCAUGUCCAUGACCUUGAGUUAGUAGCUAUUGUACCUGCCUUGGAGAUUUGGCGGCACUAUUUGUACAGUGUUCCUUGUGAGAUCUAUACUGACCACCGAAAUCUACAGCAUUUGUUCAAACAGAAGGAUCUUAACUUGCAUCAGUGGAAAUGGUUAGAGCUGCUUAAAGACUAUGAUAUCACCAUUCUAUAUUAUCCCUAGAAGGUCGAUGUGGUGGUCGAUGCCUUGAAUUGUAAGGCGGAGAGCUUGGGCAGUUUAGCAUAUCUAUCAGCAGCGGAGAGGCCAUUAGCAUUGGAUGUUCAGGCCUUGGCCGAACAGUUUGUUAGAUUAGAUGUUUCAGAGCCGAGUUGCAUUUUGGCUUGUGUGGUUUCUCGAUCUUCUCUAUAUGAUCGUAACAGAGUGUCCGUAAGACGAUCCCCAUUUUCUUGUCCUCAGGGACACGAUUCGGCACGGUGAUGCCAAGAAGGUCACUAUUGGGGAUGACGAUGUGUUACAGAUGUACGGUCGGCUAUGUGUACCCAAUGUAUAUGGUUUGCGUGAAUUGAUUCUUCAGGAGGCCCACAGUUCGCGGUACUCCAUUUAUUUGAGUACCGCUAAGAUGUAUCAGGACUUGAGGCAGCAUUAUUGAUGGAGGAGGAUGAAGAAAGACAUGGUGGAGUAUGUAGCUCAGUGCCUAAAUUAUCAACAGGUGGAGUAUGAGCACCAGUGGCCAGGUGGAUUGCUUUAAAGGCUAAAGAUUUCCAAGUGGAAAUAGGAGUAAGUUACCAUGGAUUUCAUUGUUGGGCUCCCACAAACUCAGAGGAAGUUUGAUACAAUAUGGGUGAUUGUGGAUAGAUUGACCAAGUCUGAUCAUUUCAUUCUAGUGGUGAUUACUUAUUCUUAAAAGCAGUUAGGUCAGGUCUAUAUUCGCGAGAUUGUUCGACUUCAUGGCGUACAAGUAUCCAUCAUCUCUGACCAGGGUACGCGGUUAACAUCGCGAUUCUGGAGGGCCGUACAACGUGAGUUAGGCACACGGGUUGAGUUGAGUAUAGCAUUCCACCCUCAGACGGAUGGACACUCCGAGUGCACUAUUCAGAUAUUGGAGGGUCGUGCAUGUGUUAUGGAGCUCGGGGGUUCUUGGGAUCAAUUCUUGGUGCUUGUGGAGUUUUCCUACAACAGCAGCUACUAAUCGAGCACUCAGAUGGCUCCGUAUGACGCCUUGUAUGGGAGGCGGUGUCGGUCUCCGGUAGGGGUGGGCAUAAAAUCUGAAAAUCCGAAAACCGUACCGCACCGAAUUAAUUCGGUAUUUUGAUAUCGGUUCUUCAGUUCUUCGGUCUUAAUUCGGUAUAAUUUGUUCGGGAGUUCGCUACUUCGGUACGGUUUCGAUAUUGAACUUUCGAUACUUCGGUAUACCAAAAUACCGAAUUUUUUAACUAAACCUCCCUUCACUAUCCAACCCAUACUUAUCAAUUCCCAACCCAAAGUUUCAACUUGUUAGUUAGUACCCCUCACCAGUAGCCAAAUAAGACUAAGCCCAUCUUAGUCCCUUACCCUUACUCCCUUUUCCUUUGUCUCUUAUUUUGGUCUGAGAGCUUUAGCAGUAAAGUGGAAUCUAAUUGCUUUCUGACCGAAUUUCAUUUAAUUUGAUCAGCCGCGGGUAUUUCACCCCCAAUGUUAAAAGCUGCUUCAGGUGUAUUAUAAAACUCCACUUUAUACAUCAAGCAACUUUUGUUCUCUCUUACAUUGACAAAAUAGUUCAUGACAAAUAGUACUUGACAAGUUAUUUAACCUAAGCAAAAAAGAUAAGCACUCCCAUAAAAGUAGUUGGAAUGAUUAAUUAGGACAACAUGACUAGCCUAUUCAAUUUUCAAGCAAAACUAUUCGAGAUGGAUUCUACGCCAACUUCUGUCCAUACCGUAAUGUUUCUUCGGAAUUGCAAAAAUCUUAGAAGUCCAAGGUCACUCAGCCGAAUUGUUUUUUGUUUGUUGCCAUAAGCCAUAACUAGGAGUCACAGUAGAUUAUAUAACAAAACGGUUUGUUGUAUGUUAGUGUUACUUCUUGAAUUUGUUUCUUUCUGUUGCCAGAACUAUGCAACUGGACAGUAUAGACUUCAUUAUAUUAGAAUUUCUCAUAUAUUUAUGUAAUUUCUAAUUAAUUAGAAUUCACUACUUACUCGUUCAAGACUUGGUGUGAUACCGAAACCGUACCGAAACAAACAAGAAAAUACUGAACCGUACCGAAUUACUUUGGUACGGUAUUUGGUAUGCACAAUUGAUAAACUAAAUACCGAAAUACCGUACCACAAUUCUUAAAUACCGUACCGAACUACCGAACGGCCACCCCUAGUCUUCGGUGGGUUGGUUUGAGUCGGGCGAGGCUAGACUAUUUGGUACUAACCUAGUUCAGGAUGCUUUGAAAAAAGAUAAAUUUAUUCAAGAUCGGCUUCGCACAGCCCAAUCUAGACAGAAGAAUUAUGUGGACCGGAAGGUUCGCGAUGUUAUGUUCAUAGUUGGGGAGUGGGCCUUGCUCCGGGUUUUACCCAUGAAGGGUGUUAUGAGGUUCGAAAAGAAAGGUAAGUUAAGCCCUAGGUAUAUCGGACCUUUUCAGAUUCUUAAGAGGAUUGGAGAGGUAGACUACAAGCUUGCACUACCACCAAGUCUAGCUGCAGUUAUCCAAUAUUCCAUGUUUCUAUGCUCCGGAAGUACCACGGUGAUCCAUCAUGUGUUAGAUUAUAGCUUAGUCCAGUUGGACAAGUAUUUGUCCUAUGUUGAGGAGCCGGUAACCAUUUUGGACAGGCAGGUCCGAAAGUUGAGGUCGAAGAACAUUGCAUCAGUGAAGGUUCACUGGAGGGGUCAACCAGUCGAGGAGGCGAAUUGAGAGACCGAGCAUGAUAUAUGUAGUCGUUAUCCUCAUCUUUUCACCACUUCAGGUAUGUCUCUAUACUCGUUCAAGGACGAACGUUUGAUUUAAGAGGGGGAGGAUGUAACGACCCAGCCAGUCGUUUUGAGUAUUUUAUCUCCAAUUCCCUAUUUAUUGCCUCAUCUAUGUUUUAUUAUGGUUAUGUAAUUUGCCGGGGUGUUUGGUUUUGAUUUCGGGUGAGUUUCAGAGUGUAAUGGGACACAUAGUCAUAAGUUGGAGGCUUAAGUUGAAAUAGUUGACCGUAGUUUAACUUUUAUGUAGAUGACUCCAGAUUGAAUUUUUCAAGGUUCCAAUAGCUCCAUACGGUGAUUUUGGACUUAGGAGCAUGUCUGGAUGUUGAUUUGGAGGUUCGUAGGUCGUUUCAGAUUGAUUUAGCGAAAGUUAGAAAGUUAAAGGUUUAGAAGGUUGGAAAGUUUGAUGGGGAGUUAACAUUAUUGAUAUCGGGGUCCGAUUAUGGUUUCGAAAGUUGGAAUAGGUCCAUCAUAUCAUUUAUGACUUGUGUGUAAAAUUUGAAGUCAAUCGGAGUUGUUUUGGUAUGAAUUGGCAGUAGUUUUUAAAAUCAGAAAUUCAUAGUUUUAAUAGGCUUGAAUUGGGUUGCGAUUCGUGAAAUCAAUGUUGUUUGAUGUGAUUUUGGCCUCGAGUAGGUCUGUUAUGUAUUUUGGAACUUUUUGGUAUAUUCAGACGGGGUCACGUGGGCCCCGGGUGUGAUUCGGAUUGAAUCCGGAACCAAAUUGGACUUAGACUUUUUGCUGAAGUUCCAGCCCUUCUGGUAUCAUUGCACCUGCGGAGGGAUUAGCCGCAGGUGCGGACUCGCGGAUGCGAGUGGUGAAGCGCAUAAGAGAAGAGGGGCAGCCCAGGUCUGGGCUCGUAGGUUCGAACACCUAGGCGCAGGUGCGCCUCCGCAGGAGCGAACCUUGCUUUCGCAGAAGAGGAAUUUGGGGGAAGGCCUUGGGCAGGACCGCAGGUGCGGUCGUUUUCUCCGCAGAAGCGGGCUCGCAGUGCGAGUAAGUGGUCCGCAGCAGCGGAAUCUCAGGACAUAAGUCGGAACCGCACCUGCGAUGGUUUUUUCGUAGGUGCGGCGUCACAGGUGCGACUGAGUGACCGCAGAUGCGGAAUCACUAUGCAGAAAAGGGCUAAGUUCGAGGGUUUGAUUUCAUUAGUCAAAGUUUGGACCUAGAGAACUCAUUUUGUGGCGAUUGUUUGAGUGAUUUUCAUGAAAUUCAUAGUGGUAAGAGAUUAUAACUCGGUUUUGGUUAUAUUACACGAAUCCAUUGUUACUUUCAUCAUUUAUUUAGUGAUUUGAGUUAGAAAUUUGGGAAACAUUUGUGAUAACUUCUUAGGCUAAAUUUUGGGCAAUUGAAAGGCGAUUUGAGGUCGGAUUUGAGUAAUUCUUAUAUGAUUAGACUCGUUAUCGAAUAUAUAUUCGGAUUUUAUAAUUUUGGUCGGGUAUCGAGACGGGGGCCCGGUUGAAUUUUUGAGUUGACUAUUUAUUUUUUUUUAAUGAUCGUAACUUUAUUGUUCGGAAUAGUUUUCUAUAGUUUAUAUUUAUGGAAUGAAGUUGCUUUGGCUAGAUUCGAGCCGUUCGUAGUUGGAUAAUCGAGGGAAAGGCUUACUUUGUAUAGGGGAAUUACCCCUUAGGACUGGUGUUGGUUUGCGUUAACUGUGAUAUCUGAAAGCCGUGUGCACAAGGUGACAAGUGUGUACACGAGUUAAAUGUGAAAAUUUACCGGUUUUAGCUAUGUAUAUUACUUUCAUGCCAUAAUUGAGUUACCUUAACAUGUUAUAAUCAUCAUCGUUAUUCUAUCUUCACAUGCUCUACUUGUCUUAUCCCUUACUUUUUAAUUGCCUCUACAUGUUUAGUUGAAGUAUUGCUUCCUCUAUUCCUUAAUCAUUAUUUAACCAUUGAGUUCUUUACUUGAAGUUUUUAUUUUUAGAAUAUCUUGUUGUUGAAAUUGUUAUUGAGUUAUAAUGGCCAUGAUUUACAUUGAGGCAAAGUUAUAAAGUUGUGAAAUACUAUCCUUUUUGAGUUAUUCACUUCCGGUUGUUAUUGCGAGACUCUUGUGCAUAUUGUGGUUGAGCCAUGGGCUAUUUAUUAUGAAAAUACUAGUGUUGUGGGUUUUCUUGGCAAGUUGUGAUAUAGGGCACUUAAGGUGCAAUUUGUGAUAUGUUGUGAUAUUGAUAAACAUGUUGUGGUAUAAGGUUUUUGGGUUGAAACGCAUGCAGUGAGAUAAGGUGGGCUUGAUACGCGUGUUGCUAGUAGGAGAACUGCUUGAAGCCACGCGGUAUGAUAAGGUGAGCUAAAACGCGGGAAGCUAUUUCGAAAAAAUUAAUUUUCAAAACUAAAUGCAAGACUCCCACGGUGAUAUAAAGAAAGAUUAUGAAUUGUGUUGUGAUUUGAUACUACGAGGCGGUACCUCAGUAGUGACUCUUGUGAAUACUUUUCGAUUACUUCACUUGUGUUUUGGUUGUUCUUUGUUUCCGUGGCAUAACAUUCCUUGUUUUCUUCCAUGAUACAUUGUUUGCCUUAGUUCAGUGUAGCCAAUAUUGGUGUAUUACUUGUUUCAUUUCCAUUGUUAUUAUUACGUUGUUAAUUACUCGUUCAGUUUCUUAUUUAUUUGAGUAGGGCCUUGACCUGACCUCGUCACUACUCUACCGAUGUUAGGCUUGGCACUUAUUGGGUACCGUUGUGGUGUACUCAUGCUACGCUUCUGCACAUCUUUUUGUUCAGAUCCAGGUACCUCUUAUCAGUUUAGACAAUAGUGAGACGAGCUUAGCUUCGGUGAUUUCAAGGUAUACAUGUCGGCGUAAGCAUGCCUCGGAGUCACCCUCUAUCUAGUUUAUUUUAUUUUUCUUUUCCUUUUUAUAGACAUUGAUAUAUAGGGAUGUUCAGUACUAUCUUAUAGAGCUUGUGACUUAUUUUCGUCGGAUUUUAGAAAGGGUAUUCUAUUGAGCUACGAAGUUUUCUUUUAUGUUAAUUGUUGAGUAUUUGAAAGUUUCUUCAUUAUUUUAGUCAAAUUCCGAAUGUAUGUUAUGCUUACCUAGUCUUAGAGAUUAGGUGCCAUCACGACAUCCAACGGAGGAAAAUUGGGGUCGUGACAGACCUCCUCAAAUUUUAUGAGCAUACAAUACCCAAAAUAUCGACGACUCUCGGAGUGCUCCAAAUCACCCAACACAAUAUGUUUAUCCCCAUCUUCUUUCAAGAGUUUAUGGAAGUAUGUCUGCCUUCUUCGUCUAAUUUGUUCUCUUCAAUCAAAACUCUGAUUCCUCAUCUUUGAUGCACUUCACUUGAUCCAAAUCAUGAGCCUUAUUUUCUCUCACCUUGUACAGCAUGUACAUCUUUUUGUCCUCACCUUUGACCCCAAGUGCUUCAUACAAACGUCAAAACGCUCCAAUCUUAGCCGCAAUAACUGCUAACUUCGCCUCCUUCUUAGCCCUGCUAUACCACUCCAUGUUCAUCCUCUUCUCCACCUCGUCUAUGCUCUCCACUAGCUUCAAAAGCACCGCUUUCUUAGCUUUUGCUUUUCUGGGAACCUCUUCACUCCACCACCAAUUCCCUUUAUGCCCUCUAGUGUAACUCUUUGAGACUCCUAACACCACUCUCGCAGCUUCUUUAAUACUACUCGCGUCCCCACUGCUCUUCCCGGUCCUCAUAGCCAGCAAUUUCUCUCCCAACUCCUGAGCUUUGUCUUUAGUCAAGGUCCCCGCCUGAUAAUAUUUUUAGUCAUUAACCUAAGCGAUCCCAAUUUAAAAUGCUUAAUAAACCAAUGUCAUUGCAGUUUAUGUUGACAAAAUUUUCAAAUUCAAGAGUAGCAAUUUUUAUGAAUAAUACUUGGAGCGAGACAGCGUAUACCUUAGUUUGAUAGUAUUAGUUACUGGUACCGAUGUUAGUACUUUACUUUCACACUUGAUUAUUGUUUAUGCAGAUCAAGUUACACGACAAAGCAAAAGGUCAACUAAUUGUGUCUAUUGAAAAAAGAGAAGAAGAAACGGGGUCCAAGCUCCAUGAUUCAACUCAUGUAGUGGUGGAAUUUAAAGGUCGAAAGUAUGUGGGGUCCUUUCCUUUUUCUCUAUACCAAAAAAUGUACUAACUAUUUCAUUUUCGUUAUAUCCAUCGUUGUUUAUAUUGCAAUAAUAAAUACAUGAUACCGUCUUUUAUAUAUUCACUAAUAUUAUUUAACUAUAAAAAAUAAUAAUUUGAUGCAUGAGAUAUUUCGCAUUCAUGUAGGGUCCGAAAGAGAACCGCACCUUAAGGGGUGUGAUAGUUUAUCAUGUGUUCAAUUAUAAUAAAUUAUAUAUAAUUUAUCACUUAAUUAACCAUAAUAAAUCGAUUUAAUUUUAUGUAUUCAUGAAAUGUGAUAAGUUUUUAUCCCUUUAUAUUGCAUUUUUGGAGAAAAGGUGCUGCUAUUAUGAAGAGUACAGCUUAUAUUAUAUGUAUCCACAACAUCAAAAAAAAUUCUUUUAAACUAUCAGAACAUUCUACAUAUAUGUAACUUUAUAAAUUUGAAAAUGAGAUAAAUUAACUACUAUAACAUGAAAAACAAUUGCUAGGAGGAACUUUCCCCAAACCAAAAAACAAAACAAUCCUUAUUUGAAUUCUCAUUUCAUACGUAAAAUAAUUCUGACCAUGGUGAGAUUUGAGCACACCGUAAUUGAAAGUGGUAUUGCUUUUUCUUUGUGAGUGAGACUGACAAGUGAAAGUUUACCAGACAAAAUAAAGGAGAGGCCAAUGGUCAUGCCAGAAUAUCUUAGUAAGGAAGGAGAUGGAGAGUCCAAUUAUAAUAAGGGUCCUCCCCAUGGAUGGAAGUUUCCCUCGUAGAAUCCUUUUAACUUUUUUAUUUUCCCCAUGUGGAGUCAUUAACUAAUAAACCCAUGUUUUUUCAAAUAUAAAUUUUCUCAAAUAUUACAACAACAAUAAUUACUACACUUUAUUAAUUUUAAAGUUUCGACUGCCGAUUACAUAAGUUCUCACUAUCAGUAAAUUUUAUACUUGGCAGAAUUCUUCUUUUUGUAAAUUGUCAAGUUUUACGUUGUUUGUUAGCUUUGAAAACUCAAUUCCGAUGUCGUUUAUUCAAAAAUCAAACUUUGAUCAAUUCUAGCAACUUAAACUUUUAAAAAUGGAACUAAGUAUUCAAAUUCACUCCCAAAACUUUUCGAAAUCAAACCAACCAUCCUCGCAAAUUACAAAACCAACAUAUGGAAAGCAUCAAAUAGGAUAGCGGGGCUCAAAUACACAAAAUAACUGAUCAAAUCAUUACAUUCUGCGUCAUUGUUUACCCUAAAAUUUGGAUAACAAUUAAACAUAUAUUGUGAUUUUAAGAAUAUGUGAUUUCGUCCAAUACCAAUUGAUAAACGAAAAAAUAAAUAGAUGUAUUAGGCUGUAAAAUAAAUCAAACUAGUGUGUAAGCGAAGCCUCGACCUCGAAUCAAAGUAACCUCGAGGUGAUAUGGUAAGAACAAUAAAGAAUAAAGCAACUCUGAUGAACAGUAAGUAGAGCAAUAAGCAAGAAAGAAAUGAUUGUAUAUAUUUUUCUCACUGAGCCAUGAUGAUUACAAAUGAAUGGAAUUCCUCUUUAUAUAGUAGAGGAAUCCUAAUUAAAAUAUAUUUCUAAUUAUAGUAGGAAAUCAUGUCAACGGCUGAUUAACCGUUAUAGACUUGAUUCGAUCCGAGAUUUACGCCACGAUCCUCGAUCAAUCGCGGAUAUCUCGCCCUUUCCGUUAUAAAGCUAUGCCGAUAUUACUCAAAGUCUGUCUCUCUCUGGCCUCGAUUGAUGUCGACCUCAAUCUGAAAAGAGGCUUUGAUUUCGGACUCGACGUCCUAGCUCUUAGAUGUAACAUUCUUAUCCCGACUAAAUAGUGAAAUCGGGUACCCGAUUUCUACCGUAUACAGAUAGUCCCCUCGUUUCUUAGAAUAAAAUGAUAAGAAACGACUUGAGCCUCGAUUUUCUUAUGACCUCGAUAAACAGUGAUGUCAUCCCCAAGACGUAAGCGAUGGAAGUGACCAAAACGUCCCGUCGGUAUAGAUUCCCAAACCAUUAAUGCGCGUCAGUGGGCGGUCGGCCACUAGCGUCGUCGAACCGUCACCGUAGUUCUAUAAAUAUGGACUCUUUUGUUGAAACAAAACUUUUACUUCCAUUCUCAUCAAUCCUUCUAAGUUUCAGACUCUCUCCAUCUCUUCUCUUUCAUCACUCGUUGAGUUAGCCUUGUUAGUUUUAAAACACCAAACUUCAACACUUUCUGCUUUCUUCUGCUUGAAUCAAUGGCAAAAACUUCCAAAACCGUUCCACAAAGGAGAAAGCUUCCUCUUCUUCUUCCCGGCCGGCCAGUGAUAAAGCGCCGAUGGAACCGCUCCCUCAUGAGUAUGUUCCCGGCCCAUAUGUCUUAAAAUCCAACUUCAAAGUAGAGAACCUUUCUGUAACACCCCGAAAAAUUUUGAAGUACUUAAGUGCAAAGCCCGAUAAAAUUUGCAAAGAAAAUAAUGUUUCAUGGUGCCGGACUAGGCUUACGUGUUUGAGGAUUUUAGAAAUUUUUCGCGGCAAGGGCUCGGACUUUUUGGGUUGAACAACGCACCGAAAAGUAAAAAAAAAAUUUUGACGAAAAAGUGCAUUUCUGCGGUCCAUUAUGCGACCGCAGAAUCACUCUGCGGACCGCAUAAUAGACGCAGAGUGAGGCAGUUGAUUGGGUCAGUUGGAAGCAACUAUGCGGUCGACUAUGCGACCGCAUAACUGUUAUGCGGUGCAUUAUGCGACCUCAUAAUAGUUAUGCAGACCGUAUAGUGACCGCAUACACAGGAAGUUCUUUUGGCUAUUUUGUAACCAAAUAUGCAACCGAUAUGCGGUCCGUAUAUCGGUUAUGCGAUCACAUACCUUGUUCUGGAGCUCCAUUUUUGGGUUUUUAAAACCCGACCCUAUUUCGUUAAAUACACUCUUUGGGCCAUUUUUGAGACAUAAUCUGAUAUUUUAGAGUGAGAGAGAGUGCCCUAGAGUGAGAAGGUGUUGUUCAAUAAAUUUUCUUCAAUUCUUGCUCACGUUUUGGAAGAUUAAGAAGGGAAGCUCACUAAGUCUUCAUCCUAGAGGUAUGAUUCUACACCCUAAACCCUUAUUUCGAAAUUUUCUGAAAAUGGGUAACUAGCAAGAUAAAUUUCUGGGCAUGAGAGUUGUUUAUUCUACAUGCAUGUAUUAAAGGGUGUAGGAAGAUUGUUGAGCUAAAAAUGGUACAGAUUGGGUUGUGGGAUGAUGAAAUCCUUCAUAAAAAUGACAUUGAAACCUUAUGCACACCUAGUGUUUGAUAAAAUGCUCAAGCGAGCUAGAACCAUGAUCAUCUUCCUAAUUUUAGUUCAAUUUGUUAUAUUUCUAUAAUAGAUUGAAGUUGCUAAGAAUUCCGAAAUAUUUAGAGUGUAAGAAAGCUCAAGUGAGGUAUGUUGGCUAAACUCUUCUCUUAGAAUUGAAUCCCGCGAUAUUCAUGUAAAUUAUGUAGGUCCCAAGUGAUUUAUUAUGAAAUUGGCUAUUCCGAGUAAGAUUGGGUUGGAAGAUAUAUGUUCAACAAGCAUCCCAAAUGCUCUAUUCAUGUUAUGUUACCAAUUGAAGAUGUGUCAAAAUAUAGGUUGUGCAUUAAUAAUGUUUCGACUUUAAGUCAAGUUCAAAUGAAGGCUAUUANNNNNNNNNNNNNNNNNNNNNNNGAAAUUGAUAAUGUGAGCAUGAAAUACUGAAUAUGGCCAACGUGCCAAGAAUAAUCUUAUAAUUAUGGCCACUAGUGCCAAUGAAAUGAUAAGAUGUGAAAGUAUUAUGAAAUGCGAUGAUUGAUACAAAAGGGUUGAUGUCUCAAAUAAGACGGCUUAGCCGGUCGGGUCGUGAUCGGACACCAUGCCGCGCACACAUGGUGGUGAUUGUGCUGGAAAUUGUAAUUGAAAUGGUAAUUGAAAUUGUAAUUGAAAUCGUAAUCUUACUCCGUGUUAAAGACGGUGGUAUUAAUAUUGAGAGAAAUUAUGGUUGAUGUCUCUAAUGAGAUGGCCUAGCCGAUCGGGUCGUGAUCGGACUCCGUGCUAAGAGUACGGUGGUACCAGUAUUGUGAAUAAUGGUAUUGUGGACAAUGGUAUAUAGAUACUAAACAUUUCCCAAUGUGAGAUAUGAAAAUUAAUUUGAACACUGUCUUGAUCCUAAAUUGAGGUUUGAUGUUGAUUAAGGCUUUCAUUGAUAUUAUGAUAAUCUUAUUUGUAUUAUUUGUCAUUCUAUUGAGAGAGUGUUUAGUUAUACAUACUAGUUCUAUUCGACAGUACUAACGUCCCUUUUGUCGGGGAAGCUGCAUCUUUCAAUGGAUGCAGGUGGUUCCACAGCAGAAGAUAUUGGUCAGUGAUAGUAGUGCACCUUCUUCCCAGCUGACUUGGUGAGCCCCACUUCAUUCCGAGGUCAUGAAUCUUUUGUACUUUGUGUAUUCUAUUUGAGGUAUAGCCGGGGCCUUGUUGCCGGCAUUAUCAUUGUACUCUUCUUUAUCUAUAGAGGCUCCGUAGACAUAAUGUGGGUUGUGUAUUGGUGCUGGAGAAAGACAAACUAUGUUAUGUUGUGGACGUAUUACUUGUCCAUUUGAGACUUUAAAAUUGAUGAAACUAUUGGAAAUGAAUUGGUAUUGUAGACAUGAACACAUUUUUGCCUAAUUAAUGAUAAUAUGUAUUAUCUCCAUUCAUGGAUAAGUUUGGGUAAAAUAAAAUCUAACAGGCUUGCUCGGUCGGGUUCACUCGGUUGAGCGCCGGUCGCGCUCCUCGAUUUUGGGGCGUGACACUUUCAUUGGUCCCUGGCCGAUGUGAGCACGUGUCGAGAUAUAUCUGCUCGAUAACAGCGGGAUAUCUCGAGGAUGUGAAGAGGGAUUGUAAUUAGGGGGCCGAAGUUGUGGUACAUAUCCCCGCUCCUGAAGAGAGUAUUACCACCCACGUAGAGGGGUUUCUAAGUGUUUACACUUACCCCUUCACAUUGGGUCCCCUCGACCCAGUUAUCAUAAACUUCUGCAAGAGGUACCAGGUCACCCUCGGCCAAGUUCACCCCUCUUUCUGGCGUAUCGUGAUCAUGCUCCUAUUCUUUUCCAGCAAGGUCGGGGGGCUGCCGUUCACUCUCAGCCAUCUUAUGCGAUUAUAUCGACCCCGACUCUUACGAGGGUUGAUCAAGCUCCAGCGCCGAGCAACCAAGGCUUUAUUCUCGAGCGUCGAUGAGGACAAGGACCGGGGUUGGAUGAGCUGAUUUGUUCAAGUGAGAACCUGCGACCUCAUCCCAAAGGAAAAAUUGCCGUCCCCCGAGAGGUGCAACCCCGAGCGUAAGUAACAUCUUACUCAUUAGUCUUCAUAUUCCCAUUUUUUGACUUAUAUAAUGUCUUUAUUUGUCAUGGAACGGUUGCCUGGAUGCCUCGAGCGGUUCCUGACCUCGAGGAAUGGGUUCGGAAGUUGGCCUCGACUUCCUCCUAUGCCGAGCGCUGCUGGUGUGAAGGCAAAGGGCAAAUGGGAGGCAAAGAAUCAUGGUGAGCGUUUUUUUCUUAUUUCUGAGGUGCUAAUCAUAUUUCAUUUUUUGACUAAGUUUCCUUUUGUGUAGGCCUGAACAAGGAUGCGAUUUUAAGGCCUCCGAGCGGCGAGGAAAAGGCCAAGUCCCCGGUUUUGAAAUCGGGGAAAGGCAAGAAGAGGAAGGGGGUCUCAUUGUCCGAGGACCCCAAACCCAAAGCUCGAAGGACCAGACGGAAGGUCAUUUCUCUCACCAUGGACUCGGUCCGAAGUUUGAGAGAAGAAGAAGAAGAAGAAGAAGAAGAAGAAGAAGAAGAAGUUGACGCCUCGACGUUGGUGGCUCGACCCAAGAAGACUGUCGAGGCCGCCAAACCUUCAAAACCGGAGGUGGUUGCUGAGAUCAAGACUCAUGAUGAGGAGGCUUCCAAGAAAAGUUCGGGUGUUGACCCCGAAUCGCCUGAGGUCGAGAUUUUCCCUCGACCAUCCACAAACAUACCAGAGGGGGCAGUUCUGAGACCCCGAGAGCCGAUCAGAGCGCCCCGAGUGACUCGCUCGGGGCAGUGAUAGCAGGUCAUUCACCUUCUCUGCCGGCUUACUCCGAGGAAGCGAUAAGAGAGGCUCGGGCCAUGAGGACCCCCGACAUAGGCAGAGUCCCUAGUGAAGAGGAUCCCUUUCGGGAUUGCUUUACCGGGUUCGAUGACACCUCUGAACUUAACGAUGCGUCCACCCUUUUUGAAGAGGCCAACCGUCUUCUAUCUCGAGUAAGUAUUAAUUGUUAUAGUUCUCUUUUUCUUUUCCAUCUUUUAGUGUAACUUAAUUUCUUCCCAUAUAGGCUUUUUCCAAGUCUCGGGCCGAUCUGGCUGUGAGGCCAAGCUCCAGAAGACUUCAGAGGAGAGAAAUACUCCCAAGCUCCUUUGUGGACAAAAGGAUGAAGAGCUCAGGGACAUUCGAGCAGAUUUGGCCAAGGCUCAUAAUGAGGAGGCCGAGCUGAACGAGAAGGUAACUGUCAUUUUGAUCAAAUACGGACUUGAUCCAAGGGUGAAGACUAACAUUUCGAUGUCUCGGUUGCAGCAAAAAAUUGAGAAGAUCGAGCUGUUACAGGGGGAAGUCGAUCAAGUUACACCGGUGGAAAGAAGGCAUGGACUACCUUGCUACGGAGAAAGAGGCUGCUUUGGCCCAACUAUCAUCGGCCGAAGUUCAACUUAGGAGUGUUAAGGAGAAGAAUUCGGCUCAGACCAAAAGGAUCGAUGAGCUCAAGGGUGAACUUGCUAAGGUCCCAACAAAGGCCAAGAAGGCGAAGACUACGGCCGACAAAUCGGUGGCCAUGUAUCUGGAUGAUGCCUAGGCUGCCGAAGCACAGCUAAGGGAGGCCCUUGAUCGAGUUCAGUGGACUACCGACCUUGCCAAGCACCAAUCUCGAAGGGAGACCCUCGAGUAAAUCCAUGCUCGAGGUUUUGACCUCUCUGAGGACUUAGCACAGGCAAAGGUGCAUGAAGCUGAUGCCAGGUUGCUUGCCUCCUCCGUUGAUGACGAUGAUGAUGAAGGCAGCCAAGGCCGGUCCGAUAAUGGCGAGGGGACCGAAGAAGAGGCUGCCCACGAGGAAGAAGUCAACCCCGGUUAUAGUUAGGACUUUUGUACAUAGUUUUCCUUUUUUCUUCUUUCUUCUGUGUAAGACCUUUGUCGGUCUUCGUACAUAUUUUUGUUCAAGUAUAUAAAGAUUUUCCCUUUGAAUUCCUUCUCAAAUUCUAUCUUCAAUCUUGCUUUGUGCCUUGUAAAAUUUUGGCACAUUUUGUGUUUUUUGCAUAAUAUGUUCGAGACUUCGAUUUUGAUCAAAGUCACAAUAGUAUUGUUUUUAUAGUCGAGUUCGUGUAAGACUCGAACUCGAAGCAAUAGAACCCUUAGGUUUGUAUUGAGUAAUAAUGGAUCCUUGAUCUGUAGUCAAGUAAGUUUUUAUUCGAACUCGAGAUAGUGGAACCCAUAGGUUCGUAUCGAGUAAUAAUGUAUUCUCGAACUCUAAGUGCAUUGGCCCUUAGGCUCUUUGUAUCGGGACGAUAUGACCUUUUCCUUUUUUCGGCUUAAAGACUUUUGUAAAAUUUUGUUAUGCCUUAGCAUGUAUUUUUUACCCAUUGGGUUUUUUGAGGGUUUGAAAUUGAUUGAAACCCCUUUACCUUUUGUGCCUUGGCACAAAUUUUUAUUUGAAUAAUUUGAUACCUCUUAAGGUUUUUCGAGGGCUGAUAUUAUCAAAGCCCUUUGAUUAUUUCGUCGAGGGUAGCCUUUUUUAACCGGUUUUCAAAAAAUUAGAAGGCCUAUUUUUAUUGCGGGAUUCGGACGUCUCCGAGCCGCGUUAAUUUGGCUGUAGCCUUUGGGUAUGUCUCUUGGGAUUAUUUUCCAAUAACACUUCAAACUUGUUCGAAGUGUUAGUCCCCGAGAAUGAUGGCAUUGGCCUAUAAAUCGAGGAAUGCCUCUUUGAGGUCUUAUGGUUUCGCAUUUAGAUAAUUCAAACAUGUUGAUUUUCAAUGACAGUCCCCAAGUAGGGGGUCGAUCGUUCGAGGUGUAAUUGCACUUCGGCCCUUGAGCCAUUUUUCAUAGAAAAUCAUAAGUAUGGAGCUCGUAAAGUAGAAUUUUUUUUUUGAAGCACCAGAUAUUUGAUAAGGAAAAGUACUUCUUUGAAUAGUUCAUACAUGCGUACAUGUUUUGCCAUUCGACCGUUUGGCCCAUUACAAAGUUUUCCUAUCGAGGCAAUUUUGACAUGAAGUAUUUUUCCUUGAAAAUAAAUUAUCCGAGGGUGAUGCCCCCCAGUAUUCGAGGUUGAAUGUAAGGAGACCUAAGAUACUCUAAGUCAGCACGAACAAUGGUUGUCUCAUUAAAAACCUUGCCGGAAAAACCCAUUUGGGAUAAAAACAGGUCGAAGGAAAAAAGAGUGCAACGCAUGCUUUAGGGUCCUAAUAUCUUCCUGCUUGAUGAUAACUCCGAUAUUUUUGCCCGAACACCUGAAAAUAAGUUAGCAUAAAAUGUAAAUAAAAAAGGAGAAAGUUAUACCUUAAUAGUAAUAUCGCUUGAGGAGUGAGAUGUUCCAAUUGUUUGGCAGUUGCUCGCCAUUUAUUGUGCCUAGCUUGUAAGAUCCCUUUCCGACGAUAUGGAGGACUUGAUAAGGUCCUUCCCAAUUAGGGCUGAGUUUUCCUUCAUUAGGGUCUCGAGUGUUGAUGGUGACUUCCCUCAGGAUCAAGUCCCCGAUUCUGAAGUGGCGAAGGUUGGUCCUUUGAUUAUAAUACCUUUCAAUGCGUUGUUUUUGAGCGGCCAUUCGAACGAGGGCAGCUUCUCAUUUUUCAUCUAAUAGUUCGAGGCUAGUAUUCAUAGCCUCGUGAUUUGAUUCUUCCGUUGUAUAUCGAAAUCUGGUGCUGGGUUCCCCCACUUCGACUUGAAUCAAGGCUUCAGAGCUAUAUACUAAGGAGAAUGGUGUUGCCCCCAUACUGGACUUCGACGUCGUUCGAUAUGCCCAAAGGACUUCGGGUAGAAUUUCUCUCCAUUUUCCCUUGGUGUCGUUCAACCUUUUCUUCAAAUUCUGAAUGAUGGUUUUGUUCAUCGAUUCGGCUUGCCCAUUUCCACUAGGAUGAUAUGGUGUCGAUAAGAUUCUCUUUAUUUUGUGAUCUUUGAGAAACUUCGUUACCUUGUUGCUGAUGAAUUUCUUUCCAUUUUCGCAUACAAUAUCGACAGGUAUCCCAAAUCAACAUAUGAUGUGAUCCCAUAUGAAGUCUAUAACUUCUUUUUCUCUGACUUUCUCGAAGGCCUGUGCUUUAACCCAUUUAGAAAAAUAGUCAGUCAUAAAUAAAAUGAAUUUAGCUUUACCUGGGGUCGAUGGUAGAGGGCCGACGAUAUCCAUCCCCCAUUUCAUAAAUGGCCAUGGGGAUAGGACCGAAUGAAGUUAUUCUCCGGGCUGGUGGAUCAUUGGUGCGUACCUUUGACACUUAUCACAUUUUCGAACAAACUCCUUAGUAUCAUUUUCCAUACUAUCCCAAUAAUAUCCUGCUCUGAUGAUUUUAUGAACUAGUGAUUCGGUACCGGAGUGGUUCCCACAAGUACCUUCAUGAACUUCUCAUAGGACAUAAUCGGUGUUCCCUAGUCCCAAACAUACUGCUAAUAGUCCGUCGAACGUUCUUCUGUACAAUGUUCUAUCUUCAGCCAAUAUGAAUCGAGCAAAUUUUGUUCGUAGAGCCCUCGAUUCUUUAGGGUCCGAUUAGAGUUUUCCGUUUUUUAAAUACUCGAUAUAUUUAUACCUCCAGUCCCAAGUUAAGCUUGUGGAGUUUAUCUCAGCGUGACCUUCCUCGAUUACAGAUUUUGAGAGUUGAACAACAGUCCCCGAGCCGAUUUCGUUGUCCUCGACUGAUGAUCCCAAAUUUGCAAGGGCACCGGCUUCACGAUUCUGCUCUCGAGGUACAUGCUGCAAAGUUCAUUCUUUAAAACGGUGUAAAGUCACCUGCAGCUUGAUCAAAUACCUUUGCAUUAUAUCCUCUCGAGCCCCGAAUGUUUUGUUUACUUGGUUUACUAUUAGCAGGGAGUCGCAUUUGGCUUCGAUGACUUUCGCUCCCAAGCUUUUAGCUAGUUCGAGACCUACAAUCAUGGCCUCGUACUCGGCCUCAUUGUUAGUCAACUUAGAAGUUUUGAUGGAUUGUCUAAUAGUAUCGCCCGUGGGCGGCUUCAAAACGAUGCCUAGCCCGGACCCCUUCACAUACCGUCCAUAAAAAGGGUCCACAUCCCCGAUGAUGUACCCGAUUUCAAUAAAAGUUCCUUUGAGGGUAGGAGUGUAGUCGGCCACGAAGUCUGCCAAAAUUUGAGACUUGAUAGCCGUUCGGGGUUGAUAUUCGAUAUCAUACCCACAAAGUUUGACGGCCCAUUUGGCCAAUCGGCCCGACAGUUCGGGCUUAUGAAAAACAUUACGAAGUGGGUAAGUGGUCAAUACAUAUAUGGGGUGACAUUGAAAAUAUGGUUUUAGCUUCCUAGAGGCGCUUAUUAAAGCAAGUGCCAACUUUUCUAAGUGUGGAUAUCUAGUUUCUGUUUCACCUAGAGUUCGACUUACGUAAUAAAUAGGAAAUUGCGUACCUUGCUCUUCUCGAACUAGGACACCACUUAUCGUAAUUUUCGAGACUGCCAAAUAUAAGUAGAGUUUUUCAUCUGCCUUUGGAGUAUGGAGCAAAGGUGGGCUCGAGAGGUAUCGUUUCAAUUCUUCUAACGCAUAUUGGCAUUCCGUAGUCCAGGCGAAAUCGUUCUUCUUUUUGAGUAUAGAAAAGAACUUGUGGCUUCGAUCCGACGAUCUCGAGAUGAAUGGGUCUAAGGCAGCUAUCCGCCCCGUCAGCCUUUGUACGGCUUUAACGCUGUCUACGACAGUGAUGUCUUUGAUAGCCUUGAUUUUAUCGGGGUUGAUCUCGAUCCCUCGAUUCAACACCAUGAAGCCAACGAAUUUGCCCUAACCGACCCCGAAAGCACAUUUCUCGGGGUUGAGUUUCAUGUUGUAUUUCCUUAAUAUCUUGAAUGUUUCCUGCAAAUGUAUCAAAUGGUCCUCUGCGCGCACGAACUUAACUAGCAUGUCAUCAAUAUAUACUUCCAUUUACUUACCUAUUUGGUCUUCGAAUAUUUUAUUUACUAGGCGUUGGUAGUCAGCUCCUGUGUUUUUUAGCCCAAAUGGCAUUACGUUAUAACAAUAUGUUCCAUACUUGAUGAUAAAUGAAGUCUUUUCUUGGUCUUCCGGGUUCAUUUGAAUUUGAUUGUACCCGGAAUAGGCGUCGAGAAAACUAAGGAUCUCGUGGCCGGCCGUGGCGUCGAUCAUGCGAUCGAUGUUAGGCAAUGGAAAAGAAUCUUUGGUGCAUGCCUUGUUCAAAUCCUUAUAAUUCACACAAAUCCUAAGUUUGUUCCCUUUUUUAGGGACUACGACUACAUUUACUAACCAUUCGGGAUAUUUUACCUCCCGAAUGGACCCUAUUUUGAAAAUUUUAGUUACCUCAUCCUUGAUGAAUGCAUGCUUUACCUCAGACUGCGGCCUUCUCUUUUGCUUCACUGGCCUGAACAUUGGGUCCAGGCUCAAUAGAUGUGUUGUUAUCUCUGGUGGGAUCCCUGUCAUGUCUAAGUGGGACCAAGCAAAAAAAAUUAUGUUAUCGAUAAGGAAUUUAAUAAGCUUUUUCCUGAGUUCGGGGGUUAACCCCAUCCCCAGGUAUACCUUUCGCUCGGGUAGGUAGUCGAUCAAUAUAAACUGUUCCAGCUCUUCGACCGUUGAUUUGGUGGUGUCGAAUUCUUCGGGAACGACAAAGGUUCGAGGGGUCAAACAAUCUUCAUCUUCUUCUCCCUCUAUUUCUUGAUUCCCUGAUUCAGUCGAGGCUGGUGGCUGUGAUUGCUAUUUGGCUUCUUGUUUCCCUUUGAUGUUCGAUCCUUUCAAUGUUGACGUCGCCGAUAUUGGUAUUACCUUAUCAACCGCGAACAUAUCCUUUGCAGCAUGUUGCUCCCCGUACAAUAUUUUUACCCCGUCCAACAUCGAGAAUUUUAUCAUUUGGUGGAGAGUUGAAGGGACUGCCCUUAUAUUGUGAAUCCAUGGCCUCCCGAGUAGGGCAUUGUACCUCAUAUCGCCCUCGAUCACGUGGAAUUUGGUAUCUUGGAUAGUUCCAGCCAUGUUCACUGGUAGGAUGAUCUCUCCUUUAGUUGUCUCGUUGGCCAUAUUUAAACCGUUCAAGACCCGAGCUGCGGGCAUGAUUUGAUCUUGUAGGCCGAGCUGCUCCACGACCCUUGAUCGGAUGAUAUUUGCCGAGCUACCUGGAUCCACUAAAACACGCUUAACUUGAACUUUAUUUAACAAGAUAGAAAUUACCAAAGCGUCGUUGUGAGGUUGAGAAAUUCCUUCUGCUUCCUCGUCGUUGAAUGAUACGGCUCCUUCUGGCACAUAAUCUCGGGUCCGUUUUUCCCUGGUAAUUGAUACCUUAGUGCGUUUGAAUAUGGGCCUUUGUGAAAUAUCGACACUGCCGACGAUCAUAUGGAUUACAUGUUGCGGCUCCUCCUGUUCAUUUUUUCUGUUGGCGUCCCUUUCUCUGAAAUGAUUCUUGGCUCGAUCACUUAGGAACUCUCGAAGGUGGCCUUCGUUGAAUAGAUGGGCUACCUCCUCCCUUAACUGUCUGCAAUCUUCGGUCCUGUGACCAUGCGUGCCAUGAUAUUUACACAUCAAAUUGGGGUUUCGUUGGGAAGGAUCAGUCUGGAUGGGUCUAGGCAAUCUAGUAUCUUUGAUUCUUCCAAUUGCCGAUACAAUGCCCGAAGCGUCGAUACUAAAAUUAUAUUUUGACAACCGAGGUGCCUCUGUAUGAUCGGUAUAUUUAUCAAAACCACUUUUGCUCAUAAGUCCCCAAGAAUUCUGUCAUCGAUCACUUCUUCGAUCAUUUCGGGCGGAAUUGCGUCACGGGCUGCUGUUUCGGCGAUCUACAAUGUACGACGGAUAUCGGUCUUUGUUCAACCGUGGCUCUCUAUCGACGUCCCUAUGAUUUUUAGUUGCUGACCUGUUUGGAUACACUGAACCGGAAGGAGUUCUUAAUUGUUCAUCUUCAACCCUGAUCUUCGAUUGGUACCGAUUGUAUACAUCGGCCCAAGUCACCGUUGGAUAUUCGAUCAAAUUUUGCUUCAGUUGACGUGACUCUACCGAACUUCGUUCAUUCAAUCCCUGAGUGAAAGCUUGAACGGCCCAAUCAUCCAUGACCUGUGGCAACUCUAUGCGUUCCAUUUGAAAUCGGGAUACUAACUCCCUCAGCAUUUCAUUAUCCUUCUAUUUUACCUUGAAAAGGUCCGAUUUCCUUGUCGCAACCUUUAUGGCCCCGGCAUGUGCCUUUAUGAAAGAAUCUGCUAACAUGGCAAAUGAGUCAAUGGAAUUUGGUGGUAGAUUGUGGUACCAAAUCAUUGCCCCCUUCGAUAAUGUCUCUCUGAACUUUUUCAUUAAAACAUAUUCGAUCUCAUCAUCUUCCAAAUUGUUACCUUUGAUGGCGCAUGUAUAGGAGGUGACAUGCUCGUUAGGAUGGGUGGUCCCAUUGUACUUAGGUAUGUCCGGCAUACGAAACUUUUUUGGAAUGGGCUUCGGAGCCGCACUUGGGGGAAACGGCUUAUGUACAAAUUUUUUUGAAUCCAUCCCUUUCAAAAUUGACGGUGCCCGCGGUAUAUGAUCAACUCGAGAUGUGUAUGUCUCCAUUUUCUUAUCAUUAGCUUCAAUUUUCUUUUAUCCCAACUCGAUUCUUUUGGUGAGCUCCUCGAGCAUUUUUAUUAUUGCAGGAUCGGUCCCCGAUUCAUUAUUAUUCGACCUCUCUGGUACUGGCUCGGCACGACGGGUGGCUUCUAGUUCGACCCCACUCAGAGUUCUAUGCUGAUUUUGCAGCUGUGCAAUAGCGGCUUGCUGAGCCUGUAGCAUUUAAAAUAUUACCUGGAGAUUAACUCCUCCAUCUCCUCUACCCUGUGCACCUUGGCCACUAGAUCGGUCUUCUCUACGUACACUCCUUUCGGGGUCUGGGCCCAGGUCUACAUUAAAAGCAACGUGCGAACUGACGUCGACUGGGUUGGCAACCGGUGCUCCCCCGAGAUCAGCUUGUGGCACUUCGACCCCUGGUGCAAUUACAUUGUCAUUCUCCCCGUGAAAUCCGAGGCCAUUGUCACCAUGUUAGGCGCAUUUUGCAAGUUUGACAUGUUUUAACCUGAAAGCAAAAAUACUUGACAAGAACAAGCGUAAAAUAGUGUGUGUUAUCGGAUUGAGUACUGAAUAAUCACUAUUAUACUUAGCCCCACGGUGGGCGCCGAACUGUUUACCCUAAAAUUUGGAUAACAAUUAAACUUAAAUUGUGGUUCUAAGGAUAUGUGAUUUCCUCCAAUACUAAUUGAUAAACGGGAAAAUAAAUAUAUGUAUUAGGCUGUAAAAUAAAUCAAACCAGUGUGUAAGCGAAGCCUCGACCUCGAAUUAAAGUAACCUCGAGGUGAUAUGGUAAGAACAAAAAGGAAUAGAGCAACUCUGAUGAACAGUAAGUAGAGCAAUAAGAAUGAAAGAAACGAUUGCAUAUAUUUUUCUCAGUGAGCCAUGAUGAUUACAAAUGAAUGGAAUUCCUCUUUAUAUAGUAGAGGAGUCCUAAUUAAAGUAUAUUUCUAAUUACAGUAGGAAAUCAUGUCAACAGCUGAUUAACCGCUAUAGACUUGAUUUGAUCCGAGAUUUAGUCCACGAUCCUCGAUCAAUCGUGAAUUUCUCGCCCUUUCCGUUAGAAAGCUAUGACGAUAUUCAAAGUCUGUCUCUCUCUGGCCUCGAUUGAUGUCAACCUCGAUCUGAAAAGAGGCUUCGAUUUCAGACUCGACGUCCUAGCUCUUCGAUGUAGCAUUCCUAUCUCGACCCAAGUAGUGAAAUCGGGUAGCCCCGAUUUCUACCAUAUACAGUCAUAAAAUUAGGAAGACAUGAAACCGAUGCGGAAACCGAAUGCACAGCUGAUGCAAUGAUGGGAAAUAACCAAGUUAAAAAUGUAGAACUUCAUGAUGAAGCAUAUGACAAAAUCUAAUAAAGAGUUAGACUAUGUCCGACUACUGUAAUCGAAUAGGGCCCAUUCGGGAGGUUAAGUACCCGGAUUGGUUAGCAAAUGUAGUAGUAGACCCUAAAAAGGGAAAUAAAUUAAAAUUGCGUGUAGACUAUAAAGACUUGAAUAAGGCAUUCCCCAAGGACUCUUUCCCUUUGCCCAACAUCGAUCGCAUGAUCGAUGCGACCCGUCCACGAGAUCCUCAGUUUUCUCGAUGCCUAUUCCGGGUACAACAAAAUUCGAAUGGACCCGGACGAUCAGGAAAGAACGUCCUUCGUCACUAAGUACGACACCUAUUGCUAUAACGUAAUGCCAUUCGGAAUAAAAAAUGCAUGUGCCACUUACCAACAUCUAGUAAAUCGAUGUUCGAAGAACAAAUAUGAAAAUCAAUGGAGGUUUACAUUGACAUUAUGUUAGUUAAGUCCCCGCGAGCAGAGGACCAUUUGAAACAUUUGCAGGAAACCAUCAACAUAUUAAAGAAAUAUAAUAUGAAGCUGAACCCGGAGAAAUGCACAUUUGGAGCCCGGUCCGGGAAAUUCCUCGGAUUCAUGUGUCUAACUGGGGAAUCGAGAUUAAUCCCGAUAAGAUCAAGGUCAUUGAGGACAUCACCAUUGUGGACAGUGUCAAGGCCAUUUCAAAGGUUAUCCGGACACGUAGUUGCUUUGGGUCGAUUCAUCUCAAGGUCCUCCGACAAGCGCCAUCGGUUCUUCUCACUAUUUAAAAAGAAGAAUAACUUCUCAUGGACCCCGGAGUGCCAGCAAGCCUUGGGGGAACUCAAGUGAUACCUCUCGAGCCCACCUUUUCUUCAUACUCCGAAGGCAGACGAACAGUUGUACCUGUACUUAGCGGUAUCCGAGAUAGAGGUAAGUGGAGUCUUGGUCCGGGAAGAGGAAGGCAUGCAAUUUCCUAUCUUUUAUGUUAGCAGAACUCUAGGCGAGGUCGAAACUAGGUAUUCUCACCUAGAAAAAUUGGCGAUCGCUUUUCUAAGCGCUUCUAGGAAGCUAAAACUGUAUAUUCAAUGCCAUCCCAUUUGUGUUGUAACUACUUAAUCAUUGAGAAACAUAAUGUAUAAACCCGAGCUGUCGGGAUGAUUGGCCAAAUGGGUCGUGGAGAUCAGCGGGUAUGAUACCGAAUAUCGACCCCAAACCGCCAUCAAAUCUCAAAUUUUGACGGACUACAUGGCCGACUUUACGCCGGCCCUAAUACCUGAGGUCGAAAGGGAGUUGUUGUUGAACUCGGGGACUUUCUCGAGAAUCUGGACCCUCUUUACAGACGGUGCCUCAAACGCAAAGGGGUCCGGACAUGGCAUCGUGUUGAAGCCACUGAUAAUUAAUGUAGUUAGACAAUCUAUUAGGACGGUAAAGUUGACUAACAACGAGCCCGAGUAUGAGGCCAUGAUUGCAGGUCUCGAACAGGAUAAGUACGACUCCUUCCUUGUGGAAUCAAUGGGACAUUAGAAGUCCGAAAGGAACGAAUGCAAAGAUGCCUGGAUAAUUUGCAGGUAACGCUACAUCGGUUCAAGGAGUGGACUCUGCAACAUGUACCUCGAGAUCAAAACAGCAAAGCAGAUGUUCUUGCUAAUUUGGGAUUGUCGGUUGAUGACGACAAAUUCAACUUGGGAACGAUCGUGCAACUCAUGAAAUCAGUAGUGGAGGAAGGCCAUGCCGAGAUAAACUUGACAAGCUUAACCUGGGACUGGAGAAACAAGUAUAUAGAUUACCUAAUGAGUGGGAAGCUGCCCUCGGAUCUUAAGGAAUCGAGGGCUCUGUGCACAAAUGCAGCCAGGUUCAGCCUAUCCGAAGACAGCACCUUAAUCAAGAAAACGUUCGAUGGCCCACUCACCAUAUGUCUGGGACCGGGAGAUACCGAAUAUGUUUUGAGGCAAGUUCACGAAGGCACCUACGAGAACCAUUCGGGUGCCGAAUCGUUGGUUCGUAAGGUAACUAGAGCCGGAUACUACUGGAUUGACAUGAAAAAAGACACAAAGGAGUUCGUACGAAGGUGCGACAGAUGUCAGAGGCACGCACCGAUGAUUCACCAUCCCGGGGAGCUACUACGUUCGGUCUUGUCACCCUUUCCAUUCAUGAAAAAUGGAGAAUAAACAUCGUCGGUCCUCUGCCAUGGGCACCCGAUAAGGCUCAAUUUAUAUUAUUUAUGACUCACUAUUUUUCUAAGUUGGUGGAAGCCCAGGCAUUUGAGAAAUUCAGGGAGAAAGAAAUUGAUUUCAUUUGUGACCACAUAAUAUGCCGAUUCAGAAUGUCGGCCGAGAUCGUGUGCGACAAUGCGAAGCAGUUCAACGGCAGUAAGGUGAGCAAAUUUCCCGAAGACCAUAAGAUCAAAAGGAUCCUAUCAACACCCUAUCACCCUAGUGGGAAAAGGCAGGCGGAGUCUACGAACAAAACCAUAUGCCAAAACCUUAAGAAAAGGUUGACCGACGCUAAAGGUAAAUGGAGGGAAAUUUUGCCCAAAGUAUUAUGGGCAUGCCGUACAACCUCAAAAUCCAGUACAUGGGCCAUCCCGUUCUCAUUGGUCUACGGUGCCAAAGCAUUAAUACCUGUCGAAGUAGGAGAACCGAGUCUCAAGUUCUGAUAUGCGACUAAAGAAUCAAACAAUGAGGCCAUGAGUAUGAGCCUGGAACUAUUGGACGAGAGGCGCGAGGCUGCCCUCAUCCGGUUGGCUGCCCACAAGCAACGGAUCGAAAGGUAUUACAAUCGGAGAGCCAACCUCUGUCAGUUCAAUAUCGAAGACUUGGCGUUAAUAAAGGUGAGAAUAAACACUCGGAACCUGAAAGAAGAGAAACUGGGGACGAAUUGUGAAGGUCCAUAUCGAAUUAUCAAGAUCGUCGGCAAAGGAUCGUACAAACUCGAAGCGAUGAAUGGCGAGCGGCUACCAAACAACUAGAACAUAACUCACUUAAAACAAUACUACUGCUAAGGUACGACCCCAUUCAUUACUUUUCUUCACAUAUAUUAUGAAUUGGAUUAACACUUGCAGGUAACAGCUAAGGAAUGGUGCAAUUUUUAGGCCUGAAAGCACGUGUUGCACUCUUUUUCCCUUGAGCCGGUUUUGUCCCAAAUGGGUUUUUCGGUAAGGUUUUUAAUGAGGCAAUAGUGGAUCGUGUGAAACAUAGAAUUGAAGAUCGGUUAUGCACCGGAGUCGAGGAUCGCAUAAACAAUAUCCAAGCCCUUUAUACGAUCGGCCUCGAAUACUGGGGGCCAUCACCCUCGGAUAAUGAUUUUAGCAAGGAAGGAAACAUUGUGCUCGAACAGCCUAGGCUCGAUGGAUAGGAUUUGUUGUAAAGGCCAAACGGUCAAAUGAACCGUGCCCACAUAGACCACUUAAGCCAUAACACGAAGUUUGUAGACAUUUACAAUCUUGUAUGUUGCACACAGAAAUGAAAGAAUGUUUCUACCUUGCAGAUACAUAUUUCGUCUCCUAAACAUUACUAUAUUUUUUUCCUUAAAGACAUCGAGCCCAAGGUCCACCUCUAUCUGGAACCAAGAGAUCACCCCCACUCGAGGAUUAUGUCCAAGAUUAACUCGGACGGCUCGGGUUGUCAAAACCUGGGGGCACAAAAACCUAUUAGGCAGCGCUCGAACCUUAAAGGCAAUGGCCACCCCUACUCGGGGACUGUCGUCCUGGGUAAGACCGGAUGGCUGGGUAGCAAGCCUAUUGGGUAGAACCCGAACUGAAAAGGCUACGGCCAUCCUAAAAAUGGCUCGGAGACGUCCGAUGUCCGUAACCAAAACAUAAGGCCUUAAAAAUUUGCAAACCGGUUCAAAGGAUACCCUCGAAAAAAUUAUAAUCUAAACAAAUUCUAAGUAAGCACUUCAGGGAAGGCUUCAGAUCAUACUAAACCCCCACGAGUCAUAAGCAAAAUUACAUCGAAAACAAGCCUUGUUCAAACUUCCGAAUAAGACCGUAUUAUUACGCGCUAAGGCAUUCGAAAUCUUUGCAAUCGUAAAGAAAAAGCAACAAGAAACAAACUUGAAAAAUAGUCGAAGGGAAAAAAGAGGAGCCUUGUAUAUAUAUAUAAAUAAAGAUUUUUACAAAGGCCAAACGGUCUCAAUAAAAAUAUAAAAUACCAAAACGAAGAAAAAUCUACAAGGAACCUAAGCCUGAUCUUCGCCAGAGCCCGCCUCAUCAGCGGAACUAUCGGGGUCUUCUCCGUCCUUGGAUCCGCCAAAACCCUCGGAGCCUUCCUCGUCCUCGUGAUAUGCUACAUUCUUGGCCUAGCCCUCGAUCCUCUUAACAUUUUAGACCUCGGCCGAUAGAUCGAAACCCCGGGCAUGAACAUCCUCGAGAGCCUCCCUUCGGGACUGCCACUUUACGUAUUCAACAAUGUCUUUUAGGCGGUCCUGGACUGCCUCAGCAUCAGCUUUGUACUGGGCCACUAUCUCUUCAGCAUCGGCCCUCGUUAUUUCUGCCACUAACUUGGACACUUUAAGCUCCUUGGCAAGAGUAUCUCGUUCGGCAACAAUCGAGCCCAGUUGGGAUUGGAGGUCUUCGAUAUUUAGAGAUCGAGCCUCAGCUUUCUCCCACGCCGCUCGAAGUUGAGCCUCCGCCGAGGCCAGUUGCUCCCAGGAAGACUCCUUUUCUGAAGUCAAGCGAUCCAUCUUGCUUUUCCACUCUUCGACCUUGGCCUUAAAUACACCCAUCUCGGCUUAGAGUUGGUCAAGCUUAUGUUGGACCUGCGUGUUUUGACUGUUAGUCUCUAUGUCUAGCUCGUCAUCACUAACUUCAAAAAUCUUUACCCGUUCCACCAGGUUGGCAUGUUCUUUUUAAGUCGCGUCCAACUCGGCUCAGAGGCUCUUGAUUUCUCCUUCACGUUGCUCGCUGAGAAGCUUGUACAUGUCGCUCUUCUCAGCAAGCUCUUUGACUUUUGCCUCGAGUUGGCUAAGCUCAUCCCGGUAUCGAAGAAAGGUUUCAUGGUGAAACACCAAGGCCUGCAAAAUGGAGAAAGCAAAAGGCAUUAGAGUCCUUAAAACCUGAAUCCGAAGAUAAAAAAGAGUGAUAAGAGCUUACCCAACUCAGCUCCUGUUGUGCUUCGUUGAACAAGCAUUUGCGCAUCCACCUCAUUCAUUCUUUCCCGGUCUUCUUCGGUUACCAGGCACCGGAGGUAACUAGCUAUCUCAAUAGGUGCGAAAAGAACUCGGGAAUCCUCGGAAUGUAACAACUACUGAUCACUUCCGACCAGGAUCCGUGAUCGGGGCAGGGAACCGGUUAAUCAGCCUCGGGCUCAAGUUCGGCUCGCCAACAUCCAAGAAUGAACUUUUCCUCGACACCGCAAAGUCACCUAACCCGGUGACAUCUUCUUGAAUGGUUGAGUCCAUGCCAUCAACGAAGCAUCAAAGGGAUCGCUCGCUCCGUGGACCCCUUCGUUCGACCAUUCCUUCAUCGUUCGGGCUUCAUCAAACAUUGACUCUGUAAACGAGGGUAACCCUAAAAUUUCUAUAACAUCGUGCGGGGCAAAACUGGUGUCUCCAGAAGUCUCGGCCAUCGCUGCUGCACCAGCCUCAAAUAAUUGAGGAGGACUAGCCUCCAUUGUUUACCCCUCGGCUGCCACCUGCUCCUCAGGGACAGACGGCUCACGGGCCACAAAGAGUUCGUCCUCUUCGGGCUCGUCUCUGAGCCAUAAAAGUAGGUCUGAGUUAGGCACUCGGGAGCUGGAACUUUCCUUUGGCUUAUGAGCCAACCUUCUCCUUAUUUUCUUUUUCUCCGAACUCGGGGCCCUCUUCCUUUUUUUCUCUCCAGUUGUGGCUCCGGGCUGCCCCAAAGUAGGAAGAUCAGUAGGUAGAUCCUCGCCCCCUACCAAGGGCCUAAGCUCGAUGGUCUUAGGCAAGCCUGCAAAAGCAAGAAAAGAAGCAAUGAAGACUUAGUAUUGAAAACAGAAAGUCUAAUGUUGCCUAGUCCCUCCCAGUGACCCUUUGAGAGCUCGCGCCACGAGCGCUCGGCAUAAGGCAUCUACGAACAAAUGCCCCUGAUCCAUUCCUUGAGCUGAGGAAUGGCAUUUGGGACUCGAGCAAGGGCUGCACCAUAGCAAAUACCGAUAAGAUAAGGCAAGGCAAAACACAAAAUCAAUGUUCAAAAGGAAGUUACACUUACGCGAUACGUUCCAUUUCUCGGGGAAUGGCCUCCACUCGACUAGUAUCAAAUCAGCGGUCUUCACUUGGACAGAGCAUCCUUGCCAACCCCUAUCACGAUCCUCAUCGAUACUUGAAAAUGGUGCUUUGUUGGCCCGACGUACAAGCUUUAUCAGUCCCUCCCGGAAGAUUCGGGGACUGUAUAAGAAGAUUAGAUAAUCAAUGGUGAACAUGCACACAUCGAUUUUGUUCAUAAAAAAUCGGAGGAGGAUCACGAUCCUCCAUAGGGAUGGGUGGAUUGGUCGAGGCAUACAUUGUAUCUCUUAUAGAAGUCCACGAUGAUCGGGUGUACUGGGCCAUAAGGGAUAAGUAUCAACACUCAGAUAUCCCUCAUCAUGUGUAGUGAUAUCGUCAUCGAGCCCGGGAAUCACCACAUCCUUAUCCACCCAGCCGCAGUUCGAUAGGAAGAAUGGAUUUGGUAAUAGAGCAGAUGUACCGUGACACAGCCUCGCAUCGGUCUUGAACUAAAUAAGGUUUUUCAAUCUUAAAGUCAUCAUUGACCAACACACCCCCCGUGGACGAACAUUUUCAAGGGGGCUCGGCUGCUGGUUCAUCGACGGUCGCGCCUGGGGCAGUCUCCUCUACAUCAGUGGUCGGUUGAGAAGAAGAAUGAGCAUCUUUCUGGGGAACGCUCUUUGAAGUCUUUUCUAUUUCUUUUAUAUGGAUAAAAAGGUAUAAAGCUAUGAAGGAGAAUGAGGAGAUAGAGGAUGAUAACUGGCUAAUAAGCACACUGGCUUAAGUAAGGGGUAAGAGAAAGGUUGUAACUUGAAGAACGAAGGUAAGAAUAUUGAGGGAUGAAAGAAGACGGUAAUAUCAAGGUUCCUAGUGAAGUUCUUUGGAAAUGCCUAGAGGUGAAAGGUGUGUCGGUAGCUUACAUCAGGUUGAUAAAAAACAUGUAUGAUGGAGCUAAGACCCGGGUUAGGACUAUGCCUGGUGACUCGGGGCAUUUUCCGAUUGUUAUGGGGUUGCACCAAGGAUCUGCGCUCAGCCCGUUCUUACUUGCCGUGGUGAUGGAUGCACUCACACACCAUAUUUAAGGGAAGGUUCCAUGGUGUAUGUUCUUCGCUAAUGAUAUAGGUAUGAAUGAAAGUGAGGCGGCGUUAACGAGAGGUUGGAGGUUUGAAGACAUGCCCUUGAAUCUAGAGGUUUCAAGUUGAGUAGGACUAAGACAGAAUAUCUAGAGUGUAAGUUCAGCGACAUGACAGGGGAAGCAGACUUGGACGUGAGGCUUGACUCACAAGUCAUCCCCAAGAAAGAAAGUUUCAAGUACCUUGGAUCAAUUAUCCAGGGGGUGAGAAGAUAGACGAGGAUGUCACAUACCGUAUAGGGGUGGUGUGGAUAAAAGCAUCUGGAGUCCUAUAUGACAGGAAUAUGCCAUCGAAACUUAAGGGCAAGUUAUAUAAAGCAAUGGUUAGACCAGCCAUGUUAUAUGGGGAUGAGUGUUAGCCAGUCAAGAAUUUCCAUAUCCAGAAAAUGAAAGUAACAAAGAUGAGGAUGUCGAAAUGGAUGUGUGGGUACACUAGGCUGGAUAAGAUUAGGAAUGAAAAUAUUUGAGAGAAGGUGGGUGUGGCUCCCAUUGACGACAAAAUGCGGGAAGUGAGGCUUAGAUGGUUUGGGCACAUGCAGAGGAGAAGUUAAGAUGCCCCGGUUAGGAGAUCUGAGCGGUAGUCUUUGGCGGGUAUGAUAAGAGGUAGAGGGCGGCCUAAAAAGUAAUAGGGUGAGGUGAUCAGGCAGGACAUGACGCGACUUUAGAUUUUCGAGGAUAUGGCUCUUGAUAGGAAGGUGUGGAGGUUGAGCAUUAGAGUUGAAGGUGAGGAGGGAGUCGAGCGCUUUUCAUCUUUGUGUCGGGGGUGGGGCUAGUUUGUUAGGCUUUUCUCUUGGACUGCUAGAGGUGUAUGUUGUGUCCAUAGUAUUUUUCCGUUUUUCAUAGUAAUGUGGUAUUAUUAUUGGUUGUUGUUAUUGCUUUUCCAUAGAUUUUUUAUUUCUUACGAUGCUAAUAUUAUUUCUCUGAUUUUUGUUGCUGUCACGAAUGCUAUUGUCUAUUUUCGUCUUCUUGAUCUUAGGGUUCCUCGGAAGCAGCCUCUCUACCCCUCCGAGGUAAGGAUAAGGUCUGCGUAUAUUCUACCAUCCCCAGACCCCAUUUGUGAGAUUUAAUCGGAUUGUUGUUGUUGUUGACAUGUAACUAUUUUAUAUAGGAGUUUAUGUACAAAUAAACGACUUUAUAAAAAGCAUCAGCUUUAUUUUAGACAUAACCGAAAUGUUACAAUAUCUCUGAAGCAAAGUGAUAAAGUAAAAAAAAAAAAAAAAAAGAAACAAUCUACUUCAAAAAUUAAAAGAAAAAAUAAAACUAAAACCUAAAAAAGAAAAAAGAAAAGUCUAUUUUUAUAGCCUAUAUAUACCACUACAUUUCUGGUUCUGCCAUUCCAAGUUCACAAAACAACGAAGAAGACUCACUAAUCAAAAGCUCUCUUCUUUUUUUAUUACUCUAUUUCCUUCAUCUUCAUUUCCUUCUAAUUUGCUUCCCUAUUCGAGAUGAACAUUGUUAUAAAUAAUUCUGCCCUUUUCAGAACUAUGGUUUUACUCCAAAAUCACUUCUUCCCUUUGUGUGAGAUGCUUUCUUUCAUGUAAUUUUUAACGGGCUUGGCUAAGGUUGAAUUUGCUUGUUGCUCGAAUUCAAUUGUUAGCCACAAUCCCUCUCAUCUUUCACUUAGCCUUGAACCAACCAAUUCUCAUCAGAAAGUUGGAAAAAAAUGGAGUCUUUCAAUUUCAAGAACAUCAAAGCAGAGAAAGCAAACGCAAUUCUUAGGUACAAAAGGCUUCAAAGGAUCACAACGCUGUUCCGUGUCAUGGAGAUUUGCAUAUUUUUUGUCAUAAUCUCGAGAUUUUCCACUCAAUUGGCAUUUGUUUCCAAGCUUUUUAGUGAGUAUUUCAGGAAACUCCCGCUCGCCCUCAUUAGUCCCCGGUUCAUCUUCGUGCUUGGAAAUGUGAUUGUCAUCGUUUUGUUCUUGAAAUCUAGAGUCUCAUAUGCUAAAGAUAAUUCAUCAAUCAUAACCGAUUUCCAUGACGAGUAUAUGAAAGAAUGUGCAAAGCGCAUAACCAAUUACAGUGAACAGAGCAUAAGCAAUUGCAGAGAACAGAGUAUAAAUAACUACAGCGAACAGAGUAUGAAACAGGGGAAACAGUGCAUUCUUGGAGAGAGAGAAGUUGGAAGGAAAAUUCGAAAGAGCCGUUCAGAAAAUUUGCUGUGUGUCCCCCAGCAUGAGGAGACUAGAAGAGAACUGAGGCGAUCGGCAACGGUGGUCUGCCGAAGAAAUGUGGAUGAUGAGAUGAGUAGUGAAGAUUUCAGGCGAACAGUGGAGGAUUUCAUCGCCAGGCAACAGAGAUUGUUGAGGGAAGAAGAAGAGUUUUCAGCUGAUGUUUCUCCUAAUUUCAUAAGCUAGUUUUUGUUCCAUUUCUCGUUGAAUUUUAUUUUCUUAGGUAAAUGGAGAAAGGUACAACAAUCAUCUUUUUUCUUUAUGACCGCGAAGUAUGAUCCUUCUCUCCCAACGGGAAAAUUUUUAUUGCCUGUGAUAUUUAUACUAAUAAAUCAGUAAAUAUAUGACAUCUGCUCAAAUAUGGGGAAAAAAUUCAUUUAAUUACUAUUAAUAUACGCAUCGUCAUAUCAUAUUAUCAUUUAACCAAGAUAAGUUAACAUUAUUUUACUAAACAUCAAUUUUCAACUUCCUUAGCUCGAUAGUUUUCUUUCAUAGUGAACAAGAAACAGAAAAAUCAAAGUGGCUAAGAGUUUAAACUGGUAAUAGUACACUUCUGUUGGAUUAUAUAUGACAGCGGACAGUAUCAUAUUCACAUAUAAAUUAAAUAAUUAGUAUAUACGGAGAUUAUUCGAGUUACCUCUUGAAGCAUGAACAAAGCAUUAAUAUGGGUCUCCAAUUUCAAAGUAGCAAGACUGCGACCUCAGGAAAACGUUCCACAGUCUUCUAUUGUGUUAUCCAAAUAAUAUCCGGAAAGAGAAAAUUUUGGGUGGGCGAAAUUUCAAGGAAAAACGAGUGCAAAAAACGGUCAGUAUGAAAAGGUUUCCUUUAUUUGCUAUUAUUUAGGCAAGUAGGGACCACAGAAUUUAAUUGAAAAGGCUCCCUAUUAUGAAAUUAAUUUCGAAAUCUACCAUAAUAAAUUAUGAAUUAUUUCACUAAAAAUUCGUAAUUGCACUCCUUAGUUCAAUUUCAAAAUUUUUUCAUAAAACCUUAUUUAACUCCCCGUGUUAAGAUUCAGAUACUAAUCAAUUAAAUUAAAUUACUGACAAUUUAAUUUAUUGAUUACUUUCCUCAGACUUUUGCUUAACUGAUUUCAUGUGUCACAUACAAAAUUCACCGGUCAGACUUACACAUGAAAAUUUAUAAGCCUUCAUAAAGGAGUAUCAUCAAUCUCAAAAGCCGAGACAUGAAUUCUAUCAACUAAUUAUUAUUUCGCCAAUGUAUAUCAUUAUUGUCUAAUUACCAGUCUUAUUGACCCACGAAAGAAUCUCGCUUUUUAAUAAAUCAAAAUAAUAAAUAACACACACAACUAAUAAUAGUUAUAUCAAGAUUAAGAGUAAAAGUACAUUGAAUGAACUAGAGAAAUUAUUUUAAUAAGUCAGUAUAAAAUACUUAUCUCUGGUUGAUCCAUUCAGUACAUACAAAAUAUACUAACACAAGAAGUCGGAAUUAAAUCAUUCCCAUAAUCAAGAUAAAUUAUAUUUAAUCUUGUGCAACAACCAUGGUUUGUCCAAUUCAAUCAUUAGGUUGUGAACAUAAACUUUAUAGCUUAUAAGAAUCAAUGAUUUAAUCUUCCGUGUAUAAGCUAAAUCAUCUAUUAUAUAAGCAAUGGACACACGGACAAAUACAUGAUCUAUUUAAAAUAAAACUUUAUUGAAUAGAACAAAUAAAUAAAUAAUUAUUCCAUAAAGAAUACUAUAACAAUACGCAUGGUUUAUAGUAUAUCCUAACAACUUCAAUUAUCAUUUCUUGCAAGGUCGGCUCUAACAUUAUUAGAGGCAAGGCUUAUGCAUUAACCCCCAAAUUUGGGGGCUCCAUUUUUAAAAAAUAAUAGGUUUAUAACUAUUUAAAAAAUAAUAUUUAGUACUUUUAAUGUAAAAGUAGAGUUUUUAAUAUAAAAUAAAAGAAAGUUCGUUAUAUAUAUAUAUAUAAAUAAAUUAAUAAUAUGAUGUCAUGACCCAAAACUUAACUUGUCGUGAUGGCGCCUAACAUGGUACUAGGCAAGCUGACAACUCAGACAUUCCCAACACUUUCAAAUGAAAAAUGUACUGAAACAAGUUUAAAUAAUUAAAACCCUCAUAAACUCGAUACAAGAUCAUAUCUCAAUAUGGAAGUUCCCAAAACCAGGGUGUCAUUGAGUACAUGAGCAUCUAUACAACACAAGUCUAAAAUACUAUCUAAGAAAAACUGAAACUGAAUGAAUAAACUGAAAGAUAGGGAGGAGAGUCACGUCUGCGGAUGCCAAAGCAGCUAUCUCGAUGAUCUCGAAAUGUCUGCACUCUGUGAAUAAGCAAAUACCUUGACCGAAAACAGUUGGAUCUGCACACGGGGUGCAGGGUGUAGCGUGAGUACAACCAACUCCAUAAGUAACAAAUCAAAUCUUUGUACUGAAAGUAGUGACGGACUCGAAUAUUACAGCCCACAUAAAGAAUUAACAAUACGGUAAUUCACGAAAAAUAUGAGAGUGAUAUCUCAGAAAUUCAUAAUCUACAGAUAAUGGUACAAGAAUUUAGGCAUGCUUUCAGGUUUUGCAAUAAACUCAACACCGAACAGGGCAGAUCCAGCCCAAAUACAAAUAAAUCAGGGCAGAUCCCUAAUUUAUCUUAAUCGCGAUCGCGAAAAUUGCUUCGCGAUCGCGGAGCACAAUUUAACUACCCAGAUAUUCGACCUUACGCGAACGCGUCAAUCCUCACGCAAACGCGAAGGACUGCUUUCCUUAACCUACGCAAUCGCGUCCAUCUUCAGGCGAUUGCGAAGAGCAAACCCUUGACCUCAGGUGCUGCCUCUUAUACUCUACGCGAACGCAACCUUAGUCGUGCGGUCGUGAUUCACUGCAUCCUACAACUACGCGAUCGCAGCCCCUAUCUCACGAACACGUAGAGCAAAGACCUCCACUACCCAAUUAAGCCUACGCGAUCACGAACCUGUCCACGUAAUCGUGUAUAAGAAAACCAGAAUAAUGCACCAGAAAAUUUCAACAAAUCUCCAAGUCCAAAAAUUGAUCUGUUAACCAUCCGAAACUCACCCGAGGUCCGCGGGACCUUAACUAAAUAUACCAACAAGUCCUAAAAUUAGUCGAGACUUCAAAUCACAUCAAACAAUGCUAAAAUCACGAAUCGCGCAUCGAUUCAAGCCUAAUGAACUUUUAAACUUCUAACUUCUACAUUCGAUGCCGAAACCUAUCAAAUCACGUCCGAUUGACCUCAAAUUUUGCACACAAGUCACAAAUGAUAAAACAAACCUACUCCAACUUCCGAAACCCCGUUUCGAUCCCGGUAACUACAAAGUUAACUCUCGGUCAAACUUCUAAAUUUUUAACUUUCGCCAUUUCAAGAUUAACUCAACUACGAACCUCCAAACCACUAUCCAGACACACUCAGUCCAAAAUCACCCAACGAAGCUAACAAAACCAUCAAAACUCCAUUUUGAAGUCAUUUACAUAUAAGUCAACAUCGGUUUAACCUUUUCAACUAAAGCUCCCAACCUUGAGACUAAGUGUCUCAACUCAUUCUGAAACAUCCCCGGAACCGAACCAACUACCCUGACAUGUCACAUAGCAAUUAUUAAGCAUAAAAUGAGCAGUAAAUGGGGGAACGGGACCACAACUCAAAAUAACCGGUCGGGUCGUUACAUAUGACUUGCUUAAAAUGGGUAGAUAAAUAGUUUUCCCAACCUUCCAAUUUUUUACUUUUUACUCCUUCAAUAGAUAACGUGUAAAAAUUUUAGUCUCCCUUUCUUAAUUUGUUCAAGUCAAUCUUUCGUUUACCCAAUGUCUUUGUUUACCUUCAUUAUGGAUGACAAUUGAAUUUAUGUGCGGUUUUAACGAUAUAUGGAAUAAUUCAAUACAAGCGAUUAAUAACGUUAGAUUGGCAAAUUAAAGAUAGAACAAAUGGCCAAACCAGUAGUAGUAUUGAGUCCGAGCUCGGUUAUGAGAUUAACAAUUAGCGUGCCUUCGGUUCGGAGCCAAAUACUUAUGAAGAACUAUGAGCAAAAAUAAGAACUUUGAAUAACUUUUAGAAGCAGAGAAAACAAAUGUAUAUUGCAUUGGUAUGCGUGUUACAGUAUGCCUCUUGAAUAAAAACUAUCUCUUUUAUAUAGUAGAAGAGUUUCAUCCCUAGUACAAUUUUGUGAAAGGUUAAAGAUCUUCUUUUUCGUUAAUUACUGAUCUGUUGCCGAUACGGGCCGAGAUUCACGCCGUGAUACCCAGUCUCGCACGGAUAUCACAGCCCUUCACUAGCCGUGUGCAACUUCUUUGUAGUAUUUUCUAGAGUCAUGGGCUCGAACAGGGCCUGGGGUUGUGGUGUCGAUAGCUUUGAGGGCAGGUGUUUUGUUCGGGCAUUGAUACAAGAGGUUCCUAGCUUUGAUUUCGAUUCCUUAUAGUUACGUCCUUGCUUCGUUUGUCCCAUCGAGAAAUAGGGGUGCUCAUUAGCCCUUGAUUUACCCAUAUACAGAUAGUCCCCUUGUUUCUUAGAGAGUAGGUUUGCUGAAGCGAUGAGAAACGAUAGAUGUUCUCUAGUUCCUUCCUCUAUACGUUACAACUGAAAUGACGAAGAAAUCAAAACGUCCCAUCAGUCGCGUCAUUCGAAUUUCGAACACGUGUCAACCAUCGGCUAGUUGCCUUCGAAUGUGAAGCGUCGCGUACUUCCCCUAUAAAAGCUUCUAUCCUCUAUUCUUUUUCCACUUUCCGAUCAAGUUUCCACCUUCAAAUUUUCCAGCUAUCACCAACUUCUUUCAAACCUUCAUAUCUUCAUCCUUGAUCUUCAAAUUCUUAUAGUUGUUCUUAGGUUCUUACCCUGCUUUUCUUCAAAUCUUCAUACACUGCUCUUUAGAUUUCAAAGUUGUUCUUUCAAAUCUUUGUGUUUUUUCUUUAGAUUUUCAAACUUUUCUAGAUAGCAAUGGCUAAAACAUCUAAAGCAGUACCUCAGCAGGUUGCCUCUUCAUCUUCCCAACUGGCCGUUAGUACCGAGGCGGUCGCUCCCAAAAUAGUUUUUCCUUGAGACGGCUGCUCCCAGAGUGGCUACCACCGAACCGGCCCCCGAGGCCCCCUUAAAAAGCUUUAUUCCCGGGGGCUGUUCAAUUGCGAAUGACUUCAAGGUCAAGAAACCCUCAUCCAAACAAGACCGGGGUAAAGGUGCAUCGAGGUAUAUAUGCUCUGUUACCGAACAUGUCCUUCCCGUGGUCCGAGAGGACUGUAAAUGGGAAGGUAAGGACGUAGUAGUCCCCAGGCCCAAGGAUUCUAUUACUACCCACGUGGAGGGGUAUUUAAGUCUUUACACUUACCCCUUCACACUAGGCCUAGCAGACCCGGUUGUUUUGGAUUUUUGCAAAAGGUACAUGGUGUGCCAUGGGAAAAUCCACCCAUCUCUUUUGAGGAUCAUAAUCCUCCUCCAUUAUUUUAUGGACAACACCGAGUCUCGUCGGUUUACCCUCGACCACCUACUCUGUUUAUACAGUCCCCAAAUUUUUCGAGGGCGACUAAUCAAGAUUACUCGUCAGGCCAGCAAGGCCCCCUUUUCGAGCAUUGAUGAAGACCGAAACUGGCAGGAAUGCUUCGUUCGGAUGAAGACUGAUGAUCUGAUCCCUCCCGAGUUCAUGCCAUUCCACAAAAAGUGGAAUGCAUCUUGUAAGUGCGGUUAUUCCUUAAGUGUAAAUUUUUCUUCAUUUUAUUUCUCAUCAUUCGUAUUUGGUUAUGCAGCUGUUGCCCGGGUUCCAAAUGCGGUCCCCCGGCCUAAGGUGUAGAUCGAGGGCAUCUGCAAGUAGAUGUCAUACUUCGAGCGCUCAUGGUGCAAGCUUUCGAAGAGCCGAUGUGAGGCCCAUUCUCAUGGUAAGGUUCUCCUUUGAAUAGCUAUUAACUUGUUCUUAACUCACAUCAUAUUGACCUUUCUUUUUCCUUUUAUAGGUUUGCCUAAGACCACCGAACUUAGGCCUUUGGAAGGGCUUGAGGACAUGUCCUUGUCCAUUAAUCCAUCUAUUACGGGACAGCCCGGGGCUACCGCGGGGAAAAGAAGAAGAGGAAAAGAAAAUCUUCGGGCUCCUCGGGUUUCGAGGUGACCAAAAAGAAGAGGGUGGCUCGUAAGCCCAAAAAGAGUACCAGCUCUGGGGUUCCAGAUUCCGACUCGCUUCUCAGGCUCAGGAAUGAGUCGAAAGAAGACGAUAUUUUUGUUGCCCAUGGAUCGACUCCUCCCAGGGAGCAGGCCACAGCUGUGGGGAUGGACCGUGAGACCAACCACCCUCUGACUCAAGAGAUCCAGAUGGAGACAGGGGCUGAGACCCCCGAGAAGCUGGUUGCACCAAAGAAAGCGACCGGUGUAAUAGAAAUCAUGGGAAUGCCUUCUUACACCGAGUCCAUGCUUGAGGGGGCCCAAGCAGGAAAAGAGAAAUCAAAUGAAGGAGUCCACGGUGCACACGAUCCACUUCAUUCCUUCUUCAAUGGUGUGGAUUGUCUAUUUUGGAAGAUUUUUCAAGGCUGGGCGACCUGGAAGUCCCGAAGAAUGAUAUAUCUUCGGAGGCUGGUGGGCCGAGUUCAAGCCCAAAGCUGGUUGAACGGUUUCCCGCUUAGAGUGUUGACCUUGGUCACAAGAGAGCGGUUAUUCUCACUGUCUCGGAGGAUGCCCAAGUUCUAUCUACUCCCGUGAGGGUAGCCAGGUACGUCUGAUGCCUGGUGACCGAAGAUGACUGGGCAAAAAUGAACGAGGUGGAUGUGCCGUGUCUUUCCAAUGAGGCGGCAGGCGCAGUACCGGGUAAGGCAUCAUUAUAUUUUCUUGAAUUUUACUUAGGUUUUGAUAUCUCUCAUGACUUUCAUCAUUUUGCAGGCCUCGGUACUUCACCACGAGAGCUUCCUCCUGUAUCGUGUCGAGGUUAAUAAACUCAAACUUGAGCUCAAAGAGCAGGUUCAAAAGAAGGAUACGUACAAGCUCAUCAGCGAGAAACAAGACAGUGUCGUCAAGGACUUUUAGGCCGAGCUGGAUAGGGCUCAGAAGGAAGCAUUGACCCUAAGGCGGGAACAUGCCGACCUGAUCGAAAAGGUAAAGGACUUUGAGGCUAUAAAUGAGGAACUAGUCAUAGUGGAUAACAACAAAACCUCACAGGUCUAACAGAAGAUCGACCAGAUCGACCAGCUCCGAAUCAAGAUAAAUGAGGUCCAAGCCAUGGCCGACGGGUGGAAGAGCAAAAUGGACCUACUGGCUUCAGAGAAGGAAACCACCCAAGCAAAGCUUACAUCGGUAGAAGUUCAACUUUGGGUGGCGAAGAAGAAAGCCAACAAGCGGUCCCAGCUGAAUGACAAUCUCCGAGCACAAUGGAGCUCAGCUCUAGUAGAGCGGGACGCCCUCGGUAUAGAAGACAAAGCAGUAAAGUCCAAGUUGGACACAACCUGCGCCGAUGCCGAAGCGAUGGUGGCCCUGUACAAGGCCGAUGUCAAAGCAGCUGAGGCCCCCCGAACACCAAUGCCGAAUAUAUGAGGCGAUUAUCUCAAAGGGAAACCCUUGAAGAGAUUCAUGCCCGAGGCUUUGACAUGUCGGCCGAGAUCAAGGAAGCAAAAAAUUUUAAGGCCAAGGCGAAGAAACUUUCCGAGCCCGAAGGUGCUAAAGACUCUAAGGGUUCUGAUGGAUCCGAAAGUUCUGACGAUUUUGGCGACUAAUCAGGCCCCAGUGAAGAUCAGGCAUGAAUGCCUUAGAACCUUUUUAGUUUUUGUCUUAUGUAUAUUUUUUGUUUAUAUUGAGGCCAUUUUUGUUAGGCCUUUGUAAAUACAUUCUGGAAUAUAUAAAAUCUCCCUUUCUGGCAAUUUUGAGUCUCUACCUUUUUAGCAUCUUUUCAUAAUUUCUAUUCUUGCAAAUAUUUCUAAUGCCUUAGCAUAGAAUCAAAUGUAGUAAUAAAUCGUUCAAUUUCGGACGUCUGAACAGAGCCUGACUUUGAUGCAACUUUAUUUGCUCGAGGCUUUGAAAACUCGGAGUGACCAAAAAAUUUUAAGUGAUUUUAGACAAUGAUUUUGUCGAGGGUAACCUUUCAACAGGUUUUGAAUUUUUAUGAAGGCCUUAUGUUUUUAUUACGAUCUUCGGACGUCUCUUAUCCUUUUUUAGGGUGGUUGUAGCCUUUGUGUUUAGGCACUACCUAAUAGAUUUUGUGCCUUCAGGAUUUGGUAGCCCGAGUUGCCUGAAGACUAUUAGUAUGACAGUCCCCGAGUAGGGGUAGCCCUUGGGCUUAAUAGUCUCCGAAUAGGAUUAAGAUAUAUGUAUUAAGAGGCAAAAAUAUGUGAUAGCAAUGUGGAAACCUUCUUUCAUUUCUGUGUGUAAAGUACAUGAUCGAAAGCGGGCAAAAUCUUGUAUCACGGCUAAGGUGGCUAUGUGGGCACGGUUCACUUGACAUUUGGCCUGUACAAUAAAUCCUAACCACCGAGCCUAAGCUAUUCAAGUAUAAUGUUUCCUUCUUUCCUUGCUAAGAACCUUAACUCGAGGGUGAUUGCCCUUGUAUUCGAGGUCGUUCUUGAGAGGACUCGGAUAUUGUUGAUGCGCCCAUUGACUUCGAUUUAAGACCAGCCUACAAAUCUAAGAUAGCACGAUUUGCUGUUGCCUUGUUAAAAAACUUGCCGAAAAAACCAUCUGGGACAAAAUUGGUUCGAGAAAAAAAAGAGUGCAACGCAUGCUUUCGAUCCCAAUUGUAACAUUCUACCUUGGUCAUUGCCUGCAAGUGUUAGUCCGAUUCAUAAUAUUAUUAAAAAGUAAAUGAGAUUGUACCUUAGCAGUAGUGCCACUUUAAGUGCGUCACGUUCCAAUUGUUCCGUAGCUGCACACUAUUUGCUGCGGUAAUUCUGACGACUCAAUAUGGUCCUUCCCAAUUCGGCCCCAGCUUUCCCUCAUUCGGGUUCCGGGUGUGUAGUGUUACUUUCCUUAACACCAAGUCCCCGAUCUUGAAGUGUCAUAGAUUGGCUCUUCGGUUGUCAUAUCUUUCUAUCCGAUGUUUCUGGGCGGCCAACCGGACUAGGGCGCCCUCACGCCUAUCAUCCAACAGUUCCAGUCUCGUGCUUAGGGCCUCACCAUUUGAUUCCUCAGUCACAUAUCGGAACUUGAGGCUCGGUUCUCCCACUUUGACUGGUAUCAACACUUCGGCACCACUGACCAAUGAAAACGGGGUGGCCCCGGUACUAGACUUCGAAGUUUUACGCUAUGCCUACAAGAUUUCGGGCAAUAUUUCUUUCCAUUUCCCGUUGGCAUCAGUCAACCUCUUUUGUAGGUUUUGAAGUAUGGUCGUGUUUGUUGAUUCCGAUUGUCCGUUCCCACUAGGGUAAUAUGGUGUCGAUAGUAUAUUAAUAAUCUUAUGGUCUUCGAAAAACUUAUUUACCUUUCUGCCGAUGAAUUGCUUCUCAUUAUCACAUACGAUCUCGGUGGUAUCCUGAACCAGCAUAUUAUGUGGUCCCAAAUGAAGUCAAUGACUUCUUUUUCCCAGAAUUUCUUGAACGCUUGAGCCGAACCUAUUUAGAAGAAUAAUAGUUCAUUAACAGUAUGAAUUGAACCUUACCAGGAGCCCACGGCAAGGACCAAUGAUGUCCAUUCUCUACUUCAUGAAUGGCCAUGGGGACAAAACCGAAUAUAGUAGCUCUCCGGGUUGAUGGAUCAUCGAUGUGUGUCUCUAACAGUCGUCGCAUCUUUGUACGAAGUCCUUUGCAUCUUUUGCUAUAUCGAUCCAGUAAUAGCUGGCCCUGAUUAUCUUCCGAACCAAAGAUUCUGCCCCUGAAUGGUUUUCGCAAGUGCCUUCAUGAACUUCUCUAAAGACAUAUUCGGUAUCUCCUGGCCCCAAUCAUAUGGCGAGCGGGCCAUGGAAUGUUCUUCUGAACAGAGUCCCUUCAGACUGGCUAAACCCAACCUCUUUCGUGCAUAGAGCUCUAGAUUCUUUAGGAUUAGAGGGAAAUUUAUCAGUCUUCAAAUAAUCUAUGUAUUUGUUUCUCCAAUCCCAAGAUAAACUUGUUGAUUUUAAUUCGGCAUGUCCUUCUUCUACUACCGAUUCCAUGAGUUGUACUACUGUUCUUGAACUGAAUUCAUCGUCAUCAAUCGAUGACCCCAAGUUAGUUAGAGUAUCGGCUUCACUAUUUUGAUCUCGGGGCACGUGUUAUAGGGUCCAUUCCAUUAAUUGAUGAAGCGUUACCUGCAAUUGUCUAAAUACCUUUGCAUUUGUACCUCUUUUACUUCGGACGUCCCAUUGUCCCUUCGGACUGGCGCCAAUUUUUGGAGGUGAGGAUACCUUUUUUCGGCCUAGCCUAGAGUUCUACUAACAUAGUAAAUAGGAAAUUGCAUACCUUCCUCUUCUCGGACUAAGACUCCAUUUACCACCACCUCGGGUACUGCCAAGUAAAGGUACAACUGCUCAUCCGCCUUUAGAGUAUGGAGCAGGGGUGGACUCUAAAGGUACCGUUUGAGUUCUUCAAAGCUAGUUAGCACUCUAGAGUACAAGAAAAGUUAUUCUUCUUCUUCAGUAAUGAUACCAAUGGCUUUUGUCUGAGGACCUCGAUAUGAACUAGACCAGGGCGACCAUGCACCCAGUUAGCCUUUGAACGGCCUUGACACUGUUCACCAUGGUGAUGUCUUCUAUAUCUUUGAUUUUAUCGGGGUUGAUCUCGGUCCCUCAAUUGGACACCAUGAACCCAUGAAAUUUUUCGGACCAGACCCCAAAUGUGCAUUUUUCGGGGUUCAACUUCCUAUUAUAUCUCUUCAAUAUGUCAAAGGUUUCCUGAAAAUGUUUCAAAUAGUCCUUUUCUCGAAGGGACUUAACUAACAUAUCGUCACUAUAAACUUCCAUCGAUUCUCCUAUCUGUUCUUUGAACAUCCAAUUUACAAGGCGUUGAUAAGUGGCACUGGCAUUCUUUAGUUCGAACGGCAAUACAUUAUAACAAUAAGUGUCAAAUUUAGUGAUAAAGGAAGUUUUUCUUGAUUGCUCGGGUCCAUCUAGAUUUGGUUGUACCUAGAAUAGGCGUCGAGAAAGUGGAGUAUCUCGUGCCCGGUUGUCGCAUCGAUCAUACGAUUGAUGUUAGGCAAAGGAAAAGAGUCCUUAGGGCAUGCCUUAUUCAAGUCUUUUUAAUCUACGCACAUACUUAAUUUAUUUUCCUUUUUAGGCACUACCACUAUGUUAGCUAACCUGUCCGGGUAUUUAACUUCCCAAAUGAAACUUAUUUUAAGGAGUUUAAAUACCUCGUCUUUGAUGAAGGCAUGCUUGACUUCGGACUGAGGCCUCCUCUUUUGUUUAACCAACAGAACUUCUGAUCCAAAUUCAGCUUGUGAGUGGUUAUCUCCAACGGGAUCCCUGUCAUAUCAAGAUGGGACCAGGCAAAACAAGAUAUGUUAGUUUAAAAGAAACUAAUGAGUUCUUUCCUCAUCUUGGGGGUCAACCCCGUGCCCAGGUAUACAUUUCAAUCCGUCAGGUGUUCGGUCAAUAUAACUUGCUCCAGUUCUUUGACCGUAGAUUUAGUGGUGUCGAUAUCAUCAGGAGAUAUGAACGAUCUAAGAACUCCGUAAUCAUCUUCCUCAUUGACUUCUAGUUCCUCCGGUCCGAUCGGGACCGGCAUCGAUGAUUGCUAUUUAACUUUGGCCUUUCUGGUCGGCUCCCUGCUUUUUAAUGUCCAAAAGGCAGGUACUGGGUUUACUUCAUUGACUGCAAACAAAUCCUUUACAACCGGCUGCUCUCCGUCCAAUGUCUUGAUCCCUCCCGAUGUAGGUAACUUUAAUGCAUGUUACAAGGUUGAAAGUAUCGCCCUCAUGUUGUGAACCCAUGGUCUUCCCAAUAGAGCAUUAUAUCUCAUAUCCCCUUAGAUCACAUAGAAUUUUGUUUCCUGAAUGGUCCCGACGGUGUUCAACGGUAGGGUUAUCUCCCCUUUAGUAGUUUCACAUGCCAUGUUAAAUUCGUUCAACACCCGGACUGCUGGCACUAUAUGGUCUUAUAAACCCUGCUCUACAACCCUUGAUCUAAUGAUGUUGGCCGAGCUACAUGGAUCAAUCAACACACAUUUAACUCAAGAUUUAUUUAUAAGUACACAUAUUACCAGUGCUCCAUUAUACAGUUGUACGAUGCCUUUGGCAUCCUCAUCGUUGAACGAAAUGGUUCCUUCCGGGAUAUAGUCUCGGGUUCGUUUUUCCCUUGUGAUGGAUACCUUAGUGUGCUUUAGUAUUAGUCCCUGGGGACAUCGAAUCCUCCAAUGAUCAUGUUGAUGAUGUGUUGAGGUUCUUCUUGUUCGGUCUGUUUGUUGGAGUCCUUGUUCCUGAAGUGAUUUUUGGCUCGAUCACUCAGAAAUUACCGGAGAUGCCCGUUACUAAAUAACCAGGACACUUCUUCUCUUAAUUGUUGGCAGUCCUCGGUUCUAAGGCCAUGAGUGCCAUGAUACUUACACAUCAAGUUAGGGUCUCUCUGGGUAGGGUCAGACUGCAAUGGUUGAGGCCACUUGGUAUCCUUGAUGCGCCCGAUGGCAGAUAUGAUACUGGCUGCAUCGAUAUUAAUGUUAUAUCCCGUUAACCUUGGUGCCUCCCUGGCCCGAGUGGCCUGUCGAAACCGUUUUUACUCAUGAGUCCCGGCUAUUGUGGCCUCAAUCAUUCCUCUAUUUGUUUCUCGUAGUGUUAAGCCUAGAUCCGUUACCUCUUCGAUCUCCGUUAUACAGUUGAUACCGGUAUCUGUUCGGUCUUGGUUCAUGAUCGAUGACUCUCUUAGACCUGUCAUUAGUUCUGAUGGGAUAACCAGACUCGGAGGGGCCCCCAAGUUGAUCGUCCUCGACUCUAAUUUUUGACUGGCACCUGCUACAGACGUCGGCCUACGUUACCGCCAGGUAUUGUAUCAAAUUCUAUUUCAACUGCUGUGAAGCCAAGGAGCUUCAGGGGGUUGAGUCCUUGAGUGAAUGCCUGAACGACCCAAUCAUCCGCAACCAGAGGCAGGUCCAUCCGUUCCAUUUGAAACCUCGAUACGAAUUCCCUGAGCAUUUCGUUGUUUCUUUGUUUUACCUUGAAAAGGCCUUAUUUUCUGGUCUCGGCCUUGAUGGCCCCGGCAUGCACUUUCACAAAGGCAUCUGUAAGCAUAGCAAGCGAAUCAAUAGAAUUUGGGGGUAAGUUGUGAUACCAUAUCAUUGCUCCCUUUGACAGGGUUUCUUUAAACUGUUUUAAUAAAACUGACUCGAUUUUGUCAUCUUCUAAGUUAUUUCCCUUUAUGGCCCACAUGUACGAUAUUACGUGCUCAUUUGGAUCUAUGAUUCCAUUAUACUUCGGAAUAUCGGGCAUACGAAACUUCUUCGGAAUUGGCUUCGGUGUCGCGCUAGGAGGAAAAGGCUUUUGGACAAAUUUCUUGGAGUCCAGACCUUUCAAUAUCGGGGGCGCUCCUGGGAUUUGAUCAACUCUGGAGUUAUAGGUCUCCAUUUGUUUGCCAUUGGCCUCAAUUUUCUUCUCCCCCGAUUUCACACACUUUGUCAGUUCCUUAAGCAUUUUUAUUCUUUCGGGGUUGGCCCCGGGCUCAGCUUCACCCGGCCUUUCUGUGACUUGCUCAUUUCUUUGGGUGUUUUCAUGGGAUGGUUCGGGCUAAAAUCUGCUGGGGGUGUGGCUUUGAUUCUGCAGUUGUGCUAUCGCCACCUAUUGGGCAUGAAACAUUUCGAAGAUCGUCCGCAUAUUGAUUCAGUCUCCUUCACCUUCGGGCGUACCUCAAGUCGUUGGUUGGGCUCUCCGCGAAUGUUGUUUUUCGGGUCGGUCGACAGGUUAGCAUCGAUGGUAACAUGUGAGUUGGCAUCUAUCGGGUCUGCAACUGGGACUCCGUUGGGAUCAGCAGGGGGCACCUCGUUUCUAGGUACUACAUUGUUAUUUUCGCAAUGAUGGACAGACUCAUCAUCAACGUUUAAGUGAGCAGACUGAGAGUUUGACAUUCUUAGGUAGAUCUAAAAUUAAAAUCUCAAAGAACAAGCGCAAAAUAGAGUGUGUUAUGAAAAAUUAUAUCAAACUACCACUACUAUCCUUAGCCCCAUGGUGGGGGCCAAAUUUUUUACCCUUAAAAAUAGAUAACAGUUAAAUUUAUACACAAUUUUAAGGAUAUGUGGACUAAUUAACUACAAGUGUCUAAUAACGUUAGAUGAGAAAAUUAAAGAUAGAAUAAACAACCAAAUCAGUAGUAGUAUUGAGCUCGGUUAUGAGCUUAACAAUUAGCAUGCAUUCGAUUCGGAGCCAAAUAUUUAUGAAGAACAAUGAGCUAAAAUAAGAACUUUGAAUAACUUUUCGAAGCAGAGAAAAGAAAUGUAUGUUGCCUUGCUAUGCCUGUUUUAGUGUGUCUCUUGAAUAAAAAUUAUCUCCUUUAUAUAGUAGGAGAGUAUCAUCCCUAGUACAAUUCUAAAAAAGGUAAAAAAUCUUCUUUUUCAUUAAUUACUGAUCUGCUGCCGAUACAGGCCGAGAUUCACAUCGUAAUACCCGGUCUGGCGCGGAUAUCACGGCCCUUCGCUAGCUGUGUGCACUGCUUUGUAGUAUUUUUCAGAGUCAUGGGGCUCGAACAGGGCCCGGGGCAUGGUCUCGAUAGCUUCGAGGGUAGGUGUUUUGUUCGGGCCUUGAUACGAGAGGUUCCCAAGUUCGAUUUCGAUUCCUUGUAGUUAUGUCCUUGCUUCGUUUGUCCCACCGAAAAAUCGGGGUGCUCAUUAGCCCUGGUUACCCGUAUACACUCUUCAUAUUCAAAACCCUACAUAUUUUUUGUCUUUCUCUUUAAUAUUCUUACUCACAUUCUUUCUCCAAGAUUUUAUUAGUUUAAGUGUUCGACAAUACUUUUAAACUUCCAAUAGCUCUAUACUUCUAUUGCUCUAUAAUAACUUAUUUAAAAUUAACAAUAUCUCAAGAAAGACUAAAUGAGUUGAGUAUAGUAUCAAUUGAAAAAAGAAUUAUUUGAAAAAAUAUUUAUAAAAAUAUUAUUAACAAUUUUAUACCUUAUAAAGCUAGAAGAAUAUUUCAAACAAAAAUAUAUACAAUAAAUUCUUUUUAAAAAUUUAUGCCUCAUAUUAAAUUUUGACCCCGCAUAUACUUGAGCGGCCCCUAAUUUCUUGGCGUUGAGCUAUCUGCAUGGAAGCCAACUCCCAUGUCGCUUACUACUACGAUGACCCUUACUUGAUUUCUGCUCCGUUACAUAUUCACAAGAUCUAAUCAUAUCUUAUAAUUACCUACACUAUCUUGACUAUGACAAUACGUAAAAGAUUUGUAUCAUACUUUAUAUUCAUAAUACGUAGGAAGCUAACUCAAUCCAAAAAGUAUUAAAAUCUCAUGUUGAGUCAUUAUGGUUUUAGUAUUCUCAAAAGAAUAAUUCUUUUUCAAGGAAGAUUAGACAUAUCGCGUGUGGACAAUAGAAGCAAGGUGAUGAUGGCUACUCACUUCAUGCAUUCACACGUAUUAUUAGCAUAGUUCCAUGACCUUUUUGGAUCCUAAAAAAGUUUCAUAACCUUUUUACUAUUGAUAUUAUUGUUAUUUGUUUUGCCAUUAUUUUAAGAUAAAAUAACCAAAGUAAAUAUAGUUGUGGAAUAUAGGUAUAUAAUAUAAAAUCAUGCUACUGUUUUAGUAGUAAACCAGUAAUAUGAGUAUUGAAUAUCUUAGAUGUAUAAGAAAGCAUAAAGAAGUAUAUGGGCAAAAGCAGAUGUAGAAAUUGACUUGGUUUUGCCAGCCUUUGUCCUUUCUUCAAUUUCCAAAGAAGCACCUCUACCUUUUAAUGCACUUAACUAUUUUGAUAUUUCAACAAAUCGUCUCUACCCUACUUUUAUUCCUAAAUCCUAACUAAGACACAUGAUCUUAGAGUUUUUUUUGCAAAAUUUCUUUCCUGAAGGACAAUGUCGGAUGGGAUAGGAUAGAUCAUAAAAAAUAAAAAAUAAUAAACAAAAUUAUAGCUAUUGUCGUUUGUAGAGCUUAAUAAGUAAAAGCUGAAUCGGGAUUUAAGCUUUAUGGUUUUUAAAUUUUAGGAUAGUAUCAUCCGGUGUUAGUAAAUGGGUUUUGAAUUUAAUAUUUAGAUAUACUUAGUGAAUUUCAUAAUACAAAUACAUGAUUUGAACUAAAGCUAUUGAGUUUAACUUAACUAGUACAUCGACUUCUAGCUCCACUCCUGUCAAUAAAAGGUUGAGACCAAAAUGUUAAAUAUAUUUGAGGAAACAAUCGAAAAAUAUGAACGCAUGUUCAUAUCUAUCACUAAAUUAGAUAAAAUACUUUUUUUUUUAGUAUGUUCCAAAAUAAGUGACACAUUUCUAAAUUUAGAAAUAAUUCAACUUUAAACUAUUCAUUUUACUCAUUUUACUCUUAAUGAGAAGCUUUUAUAACCACACAAAUAUCAUGGCCCCACAAAGUUUUUACCCCUUAAGUUUUUAAGGUCAUAAGUUUCAAAAGUCUUUUCUUUUUUGUUAAACUUCAUGCAGAAUGAAACUAACUCAUCUAAAUUGAAAUGGAUGGAGUACUAUUUAGCAAUAUGUAUCUGAUACCAUCUACAUCGAUGUUCACCACCAAAAUUAUUAAAAAGAUCUCUCUUACUAUUAAGACAUAGAGGAAUAUAACUGGAACACCCUCUGAAUAUAGUCGCAAGAAGUUAUUUUAUUUUAUUUUUCUUGUUUAUCCAAAGUGAGACAAAGAAAUAAAAAAAUCGUAGCUGCUUCUAAUUUCACCUAACUAAUAGUGUUCCGAACCUAUUUUCUUUUUGGUACAUUUCAAAAAGAAUGAACUUUUUCUAAAUUUAGAAACAAUUUAGUUUAAACUUCAAAUUAUACCUUUAAUGAGAAGUUUUUAUAACCAAACAAUUACUCUGGAUUUCUUUUAACUUAUUUAGGACCACAAAUUUCAAAAGUCUUUACUUUUUUUUAAACUCCGUGUCCACUCAAACUGCAUCACAUAAAUUGAAACGGGAGUACUGUUUUAGUUAAAUGGAUUUUCGUAACCUUUUAAAAGCAUUCCACUAUCUCAUACGUAUUGUUUUAUUCGACCUAACAAUCUUAUGUUCAUAGGUUGGCCGCUUUUAGAUGUCUAUUUCCUUUUCUUUCUUCUUUUCACCAACCCAUUGCUGUCUUACUUCCAAUUUCCAAAAGUGGAAACUCCUGUAGAAGUAACAAGUGCCCCCAAGAGAGUUGAAUUUUUCCCCGAUUAGCCCUUAACUCCUAAAGUGCGCAAAUAUUAAUUUAUUUUAGGAACAGAAAGACAAAGAAUCUUGAAUAAUAAUGCUUAAUUGGUAAGUAUUACUCUGACAUUUCUCCUUCCUUUACCACUUGCAAAUCAAGAGAGAACGUACUUAACUCACAGCUACCAAGCUUCAGAAGGGUUAAUUAAUAGUCUUAACCGUGUACUUAUAAGACCACAAACUGAACACAAUUAACAUAAAUAAUCUGCCACACCUCCUUUUUCCCGCAGGAUAGGGAUAGCGGAGUUUUUCCAAUUUAAGUGACAUUAAUCGAAUUGAGAUUAUUUGUUUAUUUUCAGAGUCGUCACUCGAAAUUAUUUAUUUACGGUGUUCCGAGUCACCAUUUAUUUUAAAAUCUCAAAUCGAGGAAGUUUUGACUCUGUUUUAAAGUCUGCAAAAACCAAAAAAUCGGGUAAGGAAUUCUGUUAACCCGGGAGAAGGUGUGAGGCACUCCCGAGUUUCGUGAUUCUAGCAUGGUCGCUUAACCAUUAAUAAUUGGCCUAAUUAUCUGAUUUAUUAUAAGUUUUAAACCUAUUGUGCAUUUUUAACCUUUUACCGCUUAUAAUUAUUUAUGGAAUUAUUUUGGAACAAGUCACGAUGUCGUACACUUGUCGUUUUGGUACACGUCGCAAACCGCGACACAUGAAAUGCACCCGCAAUUUACGACGUGUUUAUUUUAAUUAUUGUUUGAAGUUAUGGUCGGGUCACAUGAAAUCCACACCCGAAUGGGAUUUACGUAUUACGACUAUGCCACGGGAACCGUACCCAUAGUUUUGAUGAUUUAAUUACGCGCCUAAAGCAAACUACAAUGUUUAUGGAUUGUUAAUAUCUAGGUUUGAGAUAAAAACAUGAAGGUCAUUUGUUUUGGAUGGACUGCAGAUAUUCUCGCCUAAGUCCGCUGGGGGUGAUGAAUUGGUAAAAAGGAAAAACUCUUAUUAAGGAUUUCAACAUGGCCCAAGUAUAUAGGAUGGGCCUAAGACAGAUUCCAAAUUUGUAGGGCAUGGACUGAAGUUAUACUAAAAAAAGAUUCAUAGAAUCUUCAAUUUAUAAAUACAUCGUACUCAAAAAACCCUUCAGGGUCUGGCCCAAUUAUAUUAGCUUGACUAAAAUGAAACUGGCCAUCAUGACUAGCCCAAUAGCACAGGAAGAUUACAUUGCACAAAGAAGCAUUAAUUAAUAAUUUAAUAAGCAUGAGAAUUAGGAAAAAAAAAACUACUAGUUAACAGUUUAAUUAAUUACAAGUACUAAAGAGUUCGCAAGAAUUUCACACGAUGCUAAAUGUAGUAGGAUUUACAAAGUUUUUCCCUAAUAUUAAUCUACAUGCCAUUAAUGAAUUAAAAUAAACCGUGACAACCACUGUAAUUAUCACUUAAUAUAUCUAAACACAUAUUUCCAAAACUCAAUACAAUGGAGCUUAAGGUUACAACAAACUGUCCAUUAAUCAAAUUUUCCUAACAAGACAAAAAAAAAAACUAAAUGAAAUUGUCUAAAACUUUAUUAGAGCUGGUUCUAUUUCAGCUGAGCCCUCUCCCAUAGAAUCAAUCUCCUGGAUCUUACUCCAUUUGCCAGAUUCUCACCUUACAUGUUCCUGAUGCAAUCAUGACUUACUCUGAUUUACACAUGGGUUGCUGUGGGCUGAUUCCAUGUCCUUAACUCAAACAAUGCUCAAUGGUCACUACUCAAAAUGCCGUAAAUUUCAUAAUAACAAUUAGUUCAAUUGAAUGCAAAUAAACCAAGUCUAGAUCCAACUUUAUAAAGGUUAUGCAGAUUUAACUCAUUUCAAUCAUGAACUAAGCUUAUACAAAUAUCAUUUAGCUUGAAAUCAAUUAGCUAUACCUUAACUAACUAAAAAAAACACAGCAACAGAAUCAAUAAGCACAGCUAAACAGAAUUCACAGUAGCAUUUGAAAUAGAAUUCCAGCUUUCAUUAAAUAUCAAGUUCAACAUUUGAGGUUUCAGAAUAUACCUAGAUGCAGAAAACAGCACUUAACAAGACCAAAUAAAGGUCAGAAAACCAGAAGGGCAAAGCUCAGCAAUCCAAAAACAGCAGCAGCAAACAAAUAAUAACAAAGAACAGCUCCAGAAUCAAACUUCAAACUUGAGAUAUCUUAGGAAUUCUAUGUGUGUUUUUUCUACUAUUAAUGCAGGAAUUGAAAAGGAAAAUGCAAGAGUUUUCUAUUGAGAAUGCAGAGAAUUCAAUGUGUUUUCAAAUAAAUCAGUGUGUGUGUUAUGAAAGAAUGUGAGUGCCUUUAUAUAGAGCAGGGAUGUAAAGGGAUAGGAAUGAGAGGUAUUCCCUUAAAAUCAGGAAAUAGGCAUCUUCCAAAACAGAAAAAUGGACAGCUGUCCAAUUUCUGGCACCUUCCUAAAACAGAAAAUAGACAACUGUCUAAUUUCUGGAUAUUUCACUCUUAUCCUUAUCUUUUUUCUAAUCAGCUUGGGACAUCUGUCCCUGUUCUAGAAACUUCCUAUCUAUUUUACCUUAUUCCAAUUAUUUUAUUACACUUUAGUCCCUACCAUUAUCUUCUAGAACCUUCCAGACACUUCUAGAUUUAGACUCCCUGAUUUUAAUUUUCAAUUAACUCCCUUAAGGUUUCUAUUAUUACCCCUUCAACCCUUUUAAUUCCAAUUGACAUUCAACAUCAGCAACCAAACAAUCAAAAACCAACUCAAAGAUCAAAUGAAAAUAGAAACAAACGACUAAUUCACCUAACUACAUUACUAAACUAAUUAAAUCAAUUAAAUUAAUCUAAAUAAUAUGCGAUUAAACUAAAUAUCAUGCAAUUAACUUAAAUAAACCUAUUUUAAUUGAACUAAUCAAAUAACAAAUUAAACACCUAAAAUCAGUGAUUCAGAGAAGAAAAAAAUAUAGAAAAGAGAAAUGAGGGUAUACCUAAAUCGGAUUGACUUGACAAAAGAGGUCUAGUUGCCAAAACUUCUUUUGCCAAGAUACCCGUCUGGAACGUGAAUCCCUGACAGGAGAUCUUGGCAGGAGGAUCUUUGAACAAACUAGUUAAGGGCUGAGGUUUGAUUAGAAGAAAAAAUCAGAAAAGGGGAAAAUCUAGGAGUUUGGCUUUUUUAGAUCUGAAAUUGAAGGGAUUUGGUGAGGGAUUUGGGAAAACUAACGGUAUAUUUGGGUUGAGGGUGAAGAGGGGAUUGUAGGGUAGGAUUUUGAGGCGGUUUGGAGAUCGAUCGCCGCCGUGGGCGAUUUCUGGCGGCGGUUUAGGGCGGCUAUUAGAGAGAGGUGAGAGAUGAAGGGUGAGGGGUUUAAGGUAUGAUUUUGGGUGUAUUUGGAGUGUCGCCGUCACCGUAGGCAGUUUUCGGUGUGCAGCGACAUCGGAGGAUUUUGUGGCGGCUAGUAAGUUGGGGGGAGAUGGAGAGUGAGGGAGUGGAGGGG
rnacentral:lncRNA from 1 species